rnacentral:lncRNA from 1 species
GUCAGCAUCAUAUUCAUUGCUGUAAGGUUCUGUAAUCCAAGCGUGACAAUCAAAAUAAUGCUUCACAUAACUGCUGUUGUAAGCCUCUCCGGCGAAAGCCGUCUUGUCCAACCCAAUGCUAUCAAGUAUGGCCACCACUGAAAGCUGAGGUGGUCCCUCAAUGUUAGAGCAGCUCAUUAUGCUGAACAGAAGAAGGUGAAGACUAAGAUGAAGAAAAUACAGAGCAAGUUACAGGGCAAGUGUGUCAGCAGUGCCAGCUCAGCUAACAGCUCAGCAGAUUAGUUAAAGAUGGUUGUAAGCAUGAUGUGCAUUGUACUGAAGUUAGUUAGCUUUGAUUACAGUUAGUCUUUGGAUUAGUUAAAUGAAGUUACCGUGAUUGCAUUGUAUAUAAACAGGUGAUGCUUUGUAAUUAAAUGUUAAGCAAAAUAAAAAUCAAAGUUUGUUAAGGAAAUAUCUCCAGAAUUAUCAAUUCAUUUUCUUAGUAACCAAACAACUUUAUUUCAUUUUCUUUCAGUGCGGAGAGGCCGAAAAUUUGCUGGAGGGAUACCAAUUAAUUUGGCAGAUUUCUGAAGAGCGAAAUGUGUUUGAUCGGAGGCAUAAACAACCAACUUAGUAAUGUUGUCAAAGCCUCCUCCAAGUUUUUCCAAUGCUUUGUCUCUUGCAGCUGCCAGAGUGCAAACGAGGGAUUCACAAGUGCUUCCGUGCAGGACACCACCACCUGUUCCGGAAAACAAAAAUGAAGAAGGAAGCUUGAGCAUUUUCCCCAUCCAAUCCAUCACAAUGGAUUCGAGUUCAGUUGCUACCGGAGAAGCGAGCCAGUUGAAGCCAACCACGUUGAACCCUGAACAAAGCAUCUCACCAAGAAAGCCAGCAGUGCUUGCAUUUGCUUGGAAAUAACCAAAGAAAUUGGGGCUUUGCCAGUGAGUGAGGCCAGGUAAGAUGCAGUCGGUGACAUCUUUUAGAAUAUCAUCCAAUGACUCUGGGGAAUGCGGGGCUGUGUCAGGCAACCGAGCCGACAAAUAACCAGGCUCUACUUUGCUUUGAACAGGGUAUUUCUCGAUGUUUUUGUAAUAAUCAGCAAUGAAAUCGAUAACAGCUUUCGAUUCGUCAGAGAAGCUCUUUGGCAUUACUCUUAACACAUGAGGCAAGAAUGGAACAAAAUCAUAAUACUAAAGAUCUUUUUAGUGCAAACUAUGGGAUGAUGAAUGCUAACUACUCUCAGUUUAGAGGAAAUAAUAAGAGAGGUGGUUAUAGUGGAUAUCAAGGGCAAUUUAAUGCUGGAAAUAGGAAUCAAAAUGGAGGAAGAGGAAUGUCUUUCAAUUCAUUCUCAAGAGGUUUUCCAGCUGGUGGAUAUACUGGUAAUGCUGGUGGCAGAGGACAGCAAAUGAAUGCAUAUGCUUAUAAACCUGUGCUUAACAACAGGCAUAAUUUCAAUGUGAAUCAUGGCUCAACUUCAAUGCCCAAUGGAAAUGGAUCUGAUGAUAAUGUGCUUAUCUGUCAAAUCUGUCAUAAAGCUGGACAUGCAGCUGAUGUUUGUUGGCACAGACACUUUGAUGGCUAUGCUCCUCAACCCAGACAAUUUGGAAGGGGCAGAGGGCAUAAGUCUGCUUAUAUGGCUAACUUUGAUCCACAAAUUGGCUUUACUUCACAAUUUGAAGAUUCGUUUGCUACAGAAUAUCCUGGUUAUCAUGGGUACCAUCCACCUGAUAUGAAUGCAUCAGUUGCAUCAGUAAGUCAUCACUCAUCUGAUAUGCAUUCUGUACCUGGAGCAGCUUAUAUUGCAAAUUUUGAAGGACCAGCUGAUGAAGGGUGGUAUCUUGAUAGUGGAGCUACGCAUCACAUCACUAACAGCAUGGCCAAUAUGCAUAUCAGAGAUCAAUUCACUGGAGCAGAUCAGCUCAUUAUUGGAAAUGGACAAGGUUUGCCCAUAACUCAUGUUGGUGAUGCAUCAUUUCUCUUUAAAAGUUCCAAUUCUACACACAAACACUCACCUAUAGUACUUAAAGAUAUUCUGUUGGUGCCUUCCUCUCAGUUAUCAUCAUCUUUUCUUUCUCAUAUGUGUUCCAAUAAACCUUUGUCUAUGCUUUCUUGUUGUUGUUUCAAUUCUGUUCCUUCUGGAGUAUUUACAGAAUCUUAGAAAUCAUGUAAUCAAACUGAUGAUUCAUCUUGUAAAACUUCAGUUAAUAAAGCUAUUUUGCUUCAUAGAAAGUUUGGUCAUCCCAAUCAUCAAAUAUUAACUCAUAUACUCAAAACAGCAAAAUCUAUUCAUUUACCUGCAUAUCAAAAGCAACAAAUGCAUCAGUACAUCUGUGAGGCCUGUCAAAUGGGCAAAACACAUAAACUUCAUUUUCCAAUUACUGAAACCAAAACCUCCAAAACUCUAGAACUUAUACACACUGAUUUAUGGGGUCCUUCUCCCAUUAUUUCUAGAGAUGGUUAUCAGUAUUAUAUAAGUUUUGUAGAUGACUACAGCAGGUAUACAUGGAUUUAUCCUUUGAAGCUAAAGUCUGAGGCAUUAGAAGUCUUUAAGCUCUUUAAACUGCAGGUUGAAAAUCAGUUUAGCACAACCAUUAAGAUGAUGCAAUCUGAUUGGGGGGGAGAGUAUAGACCAUUCACUGAGUUUUUAAGCCAAUUUGGUAUCAUCUUUAGACAUCCUUGUCCUCACACUCAUCAUCAAAAUGGGUUAGUUGAAAGGAAGCAUAGACAUAUUGUUGAAUUGGGUCUGACUCUCUUAGCUCAAGCUCAACUUCCCUUUAAGUUCUGGUGGGAUGCAUUUCAUACUGCUGUAUAUCACAUCAACAGACUUCCAUCUCCUGUUUUGCAACUUUUAACCCCAUAUGAAAAGACAUUCAAACACAAACCUGAUUAUGAUUUUCUCAGAUGUUUUGGGUGUUCUUGUUAUCCUUACUUGAGAGAUUACAAUAAACAUAAAUUUGCCUACCAUUCUAGUAAGUGCAUAUUCAUUGGUUACAGUCCUUCACAUAAGGGCUACAAAUGUUUACACCCUUCAGGUCGAGUCUAUGUGGCAAGACAUGUUACCUUUGAUGAAUCAGUUUUUCCUUAUGCCACUGAGUUUGUUUUUCAUAGUCAUGCUAAAACUGAUUCUCAAAUUUCUCAUUCCCAUACACCACAGCAAAUCCAUCAUAUCUCUUCUUUGCCUGUCAAUAACAGCACUGGUAAUCUGAACUCUGUAAGAUCUGGAAGCAGCAGUUCAAGUCACUCAGAUCAUCUAGAACAGACAGCAACUGAUCAGAAUUCACAACAAGCUACCAUAAAUGACAGGUCACCUUUUCAUACAUGUCCAACAAUUGUUGAAUCUAUACAAAAUAUUCCAAAACCUCCACAUCACUCUUUGCCUAUACAAAGUCACCAUCCUAGCAACACUUCUUUCUAUCCAUAUACACAACCAAAUACACAUCAGAUGAUAACCAGAAGUAAAGCAGGGAUUUUCAAACCCAAAAUUUAUACUGCUGUGCUUACUCACAAGGAACCAGAUACUGUGCAAGAAGCAUUAAAUGAUUCAAAGUGGCUACAAGCUAUGAGGGAGGAAUAUGAUGCCUUGAUUAAGAAUAAUACAUGGACAUUGGUUCCAAGACAAGCUGAUCAGCAUGUGGUUGGAAAUAAAUGGGUGUAUAGAAUCAAAUAUAAUACAGAUGGAAGUGUAGCUAAGUAUAAAGCUAGACUUGUUGCAAAGGGUUUUCAGCAAGUGGCAGGGAUUAACUAUUUUGAGACAUUUAGCCCAGUUGUGAAGUCAGCUACAGUUAGAGUAAUACUUAGCUUGGCAGUGAUGAAUCAGUGGAGAAUAAGGCAAGUGGAUGUCAAUAAUGCCUUUUUGAAUGGAGAGCUAACAGAAGAAGUUUUCAUGUCUCAACCUGAUGGCUUUAUUGAUGCUCAGAGAUCUGAUUUUGUAUGCAAAUUACACAAGUCUCUGUAUGGGCUCAAGCAAGCUCCUAGAGCCUGGUAUGACAAGCUUAAAGGAUGCUUAAUAAGCUGGGGUUUCACUACUACUAGUUCUGACACCUCAUUGUUUGUUAGGAAGAUCAAGACAUCUAUGAUCAUAGUUCUUAUAUAUGUUGAUGACAUACUGAUCACAGGUCCAAAUACUGAGGAGCUGGAAGGUUUUAUAACUGAAUUCAGCAAAACUUUUGCUCUAAAGGAUCUGGGAGUGUUAUCCUAUUUCCUUGGAAUUGAGGUAUUAUAUGAUGCAGAUUGUAUGUACUUGUCACAGAGAAAGUAUAUCAGAGAUUUGUUAUCGAAGGUAGAAAUGACUGAAUGUAAGGGCAUUGAUACACCCAUGAGUACUGGCUCUAAACUGCAAAAGAUAGUUCAGGGGGAACUUGGAUACUAUCUUGAAGAUCCAACUCAUUAUAGGAGCAUAGUUGGAGGAAUGCAGUACCUGAUACUUACCAGACCUGAGAUUGCGUUUGCUGUAAACAAGCUUAGUCAGUAUGUAGCUGCACCAACACUACAACAUCUAAUGGCAUGCAAGAGAGUUAUAAGAUAUCUAAAGGCAACUCAAGAUUAUGGUUUAAAAUUUUUCAGAGAAGGAAGCUUAACACUCACUAGUUUUACUGAUGCAGAUUGGGCAUGUGACUUAGAUGAUAGGAAAUCAGUUGGUGCUUAUUGCAUUUAUUUAGGCAAUAAUUUGAUAUCCUGGUCUUCUAAGAAACAAUCAGUGAUAACCAGAUCAAGUGCCGAGAGUGAGUAUAGAGCUUUGGCAUCAGUGAGUGCAGAGCUGACAUGGUUACAAUCCUUAUUUUCUGAGUUGGGAAUAAGUUGCAUAGAAAAGCCAAUCAUAUGGUGUGACAACAUUAGUGCCACUGAACUAGCAAAGAACCCUGUGUAUCAUUCAAGAACAAAGCAUAUCGAAAUUGAUAUGCACUUCAUUAGGAAUAAGGUUCUUGCUGGUGAGUUGAUUAUUCACUAUGUACCAAGUGAAGAACAGAUUGCAGACAUAAUGACCAAGCCUCUUUCAUUUGUAAGGUUUAACUACUUGAGGUCCAAACUCAAUGUCCAUCUUUGUCCUCUGAGUUUGAGGGGGGCUGUUAGAGCAGCUCAUUAUGCUGAACAGAAGAAGGUGAAGACUAAGAUGAAGAAAAUACAGAGCAAGUUACAGGGCAAGUGUGUCAGCAGUGCCAGCUCAGCUGACAGCUCAGCAGAUUAGUUAAGAUGAAGAUAUACCGGCUUCAGCUUUAGAAGUUUUGAUGCGAUCAAUGAUUUUGGAAUCCAUGUGCUUAAGUUGUUGCAUCCGUUGCUUAAUAUCAGUGAUUCUGCUUUGGAGUCCUUGCAGAGCAUCAAAAAUGUCCUUGCUGCAGCUGCUUUGAGUCUUCUGUUGAGUGAUGCUGUUGAUGAAUGUGUCAAUCACCUUCUCAGAUUCAUACGUAAACCAAUUGAUUUCGUCCAUAACGGUCGCCAGAUCUGGGUCAUGACUUUCCUCCUCCGCCAUUUUUUCGAACAGAAGGAGGGAGAUAUCAUCUUCAAAUUCGCUCAGCCAAGAAGUAACGAUUUCAACCUCCGCAUGAAGGUUCUGAAUAGGUUGUUUUGCAGCAUCAGGCAACGUGACUUCUUCACCAGCUAACACCCUUCUCAGCCUCUCUGAAAAUAGUCUGAAGUUGAUGUGCAUAUCUCCUCCUCUCUCAGAUUCACCCUGAAAUCAGUCCUGUAGCAUGCAAAGAAAUAAUUAAAAGAAAAACAUGCUUUAAAGCUCUCAAUUCAAACAUUAGUGCUGGCUCCCAUACCUCCCUUCUCUUAGCUAGCUCUCCGGUCAAGAAGUUGAAUCAAGAUCGUUGACUCUCAGAUUAUAACAGAUCAAGGAAGAAUCUUACAAUAAUCUCGUCUCCCAUAUGAUCAAGACCAAUUUGUUUUAUACAUCCACUUUUAAGAAAGGAAGGGUAAAAACAAUUCCACUGGGACUAUAAAAGCUUGUCUGAAAAGAAAAGAACGGAGCAAGCACAAGAGCGUUAUCAAUUAUUUAAUAAUUAAUAACUAAGCCGUGGAAAAAUGCAAAAUCAUGUCAGGUGUUACUUGUUAAAUUUAUUGCGAGACUUGCAUGUAUCUAUAUCACAAAUAAAAUUUGUAUCCCAGGGUUAUAAAUGUAAAAUUACUCAAAUAAAUAUGCAUUCUUAAUCAUGUGUGAUGCUGUCUUAUUUCUGAGAAAGUACUAAAUCGUUUGUAAAAUUUUAUAGUUAAUAUAUGUUCAAUUUUCUUUUUAGCAUUCUUUUUUAAGAAAUGAAAAAUGAUAAAGAAUUCUAACAACGGGUGACAAAAAUAAUAAUAAAUUGUGCAAUGUUACAAUGUUAAUUGAAAAAUAGUUAUAAUUUUUUAUUUAACAUUAUAAAUAAAAUCUAUAGUUGUUUUCUCACUACUGUAUCAUUUUUUAAUUCAAAUAUCAGUAUUAUAUGAGCUCUCACCUUUUAGAAAGUAUUAUAUCAUAAGACACUAUUUAUAAUUAUUUUCAUUUGAGCCCUUAGUGUUAAAAAUAUAACAAUCCAUCAAUGAAAUCAAUGAUAAUGGAAUUCUAAGUAGGAAUGGCAGAAAAAUCAAGUCUAGCUAGAGCAUGUUUUCUAAGUAUUCUGGCUGGUCUUGGGCUCCGGCUAAAAAGUUCGAACUCAGCUCGAAAGCCAACAUUGUAUAGUGGGAAUCUAGGACCAAUCACAUGGAGAUGAUUUGUAAAUUUUUGUACACAAUUUUAGUAUGCAUAUCAGAAGAGAGGCAGCAAUCUUAGUUGAUACUUUUAUUUGACAUAUGAUGUAAGAAACGGAACAAAGAUUGUAACGCCACAAAUUUUGCAAUUCAGCAUCCAAAAUAUCACUAGAACUUGCAAGACAAGCUUUAAUCUCUUCAACAAAGGUCGAAUUGCGGGCAGGAACACAAACGCAGAGAUGGGUAUCAAGAUCGCAUUCGAAACGACUGACAGGGAUUGUCACAGUCGGCAUUGCUUUUACAAGUGACUGCUUUUGAUUCCGGUUGAGCAUCAACUGCCGGCAUGGAAAUAUUAAACAACACACUUGCAUAUAUAAAUGCCAAACAAUUAAUUAGCCUAAUGCUAAUAACACGCCUGCAUAUAUAAAUGCCAGCCAAUUAGUUGUCAUAUUAUAGUUAAUUAUGCAUGCAUUAAAAAGAUGAGGAAAAUAAGAUUAAGGAACAAACAUGAGGCCACCAACAGAGUGAUGAAAAAUGUGGAUUUAAGUUUAAGUUCCAUAAUGUUUAUGUAAGCAAAAGUGCAAAACUGAGAGUCUGUGGAUAAUGAUAUUAUUAAAUUUAAUAUGGGUUUGGUUUGCAUAGAUUCAUGAAUUUCUCUAGACAUUAUAUGCGCCGGGGGAGAAUUUAAUCCACUUGACAACUAAAAAAUUCAGAAAUCAAACCUCGAUUUGACAAAUUAGAAAUUUAAAAAUUAAAUUUUUUUCCAUAUGCAUGCUCUCGUUUUUCUCUCUAUCACAGCGGUAUAAUUGGAAUUAUUGUUAUGACAAUUUGAUUCUCUUUUCUUACAUGUUGCAGGAGUCAUGUCCUCCCGUUGAGGUGACAAAAUGACUAUGGAUUGUGCCUGAGUGGAGUACACCACCAGUAUGAUUAUCUCACUCCCUUUCGAGGUUUUGUUGCAGUAAUUUCUCAUCUUUUAUAGGGUACCCUGCUCUUCAUUGCUUCUGUAGAAGUCUUAUGAGCUAAUUGCUUCCGAAUCUUUAAAUUUCUUCAAUGAGGAACCUUUGUUUGGAAAAUUGAUUUUCAUCUGAUCCGAGAAGGGUGCUUUGAAGCAGAGAGCUUACGAAAUGCAGCAUGCAAAAUCAUGACUACAAUGCAGUAGACUAAUUGUUAGCUCACUCUAAGCAAAGGCAACGUUCAUAAAAGAUGAAGAAGAGUUUCUAAUAUUUACCAACAUAACCGAUAGCAAGUGCACAGAAUAGAGUCAUCUGAACAUUCAGUAGCAUAAGAACAACCAAUGUAGCUGCAAAGAUGAGAUGUAAUUACUACUGUGAAGUCGACGAAAGAAUUCCACUAUUUAUCAACAACUAGACUGUAGUAUAAUGGAAAGACCUGCCAAGGAAAGUUUAAAGCAAAACUCAUCCAGAGAAGGCAAGAACAUUAGUAUAGAAGCAGAAGUGCACACAUUCAUAUUUAGGGGUAACGAGAAAUGUAUCAUAAAUCACUUGCUCUAGCACAGUACUAUUUCAUGCUAAUUUUCUUGCUCGUUCUAUGGUUAGGACCCUUUGAGCGGAAAGAAAUCAAAUCACAAUGCUUAUUCUAGCUAGAAACUCCUGAAGUCCAUGCUUGAACCCUGUGUCAAUUGGUCAUAGACUCCAUAUUCUCCCAAAAGUAUGACAUUUUUUUCUUCCACUGAUUAAUGGAACUUAAAACUGUUUUGCCACAAUCUUAGUCAUACAAACCCUUUCUCUUUACAUUUCUUAAGGUCAUCAGACCCAAACCAGAACAUGUUUACUUCCUAGGAGAAAUCUUAAAUAUCUUAAUCAAUACGGAACUGUGUAGUUCAGACAGCAUUCCCUUGGCCAACUAGACGUAACGAUUUGCAAUGUCCUAGUAAGUCUAUGAGUGGAACUAACAGUGCCCUUCCAAUACGGAAAAACAAUCGUCAAAAACAAUUUUUUUACCCCAUCAACCACAUACAGUAUAAGACUGUAGCUGGUUAUCUCAAUAUCGGCUGCCAUUUUGAUUCAAAGAAGAAAUAUUUGAGAACUCACCACAUUGUGCAAUGCGAACCAGAACCUGCCUAAUCACAGGAUGCCGAUCCCAGUUCCAUUUGUCACUACAGAACUUGAAAAAAUCCCAAAGUGCCAAACUUGAUAUCAACCCAACAAGUGCAAGUGGCAUCUGGUAUCUAUAAGAUGGAGACAGAGACAAUGUCACUAGACAGAUGAUACACAGAAAAAAAAACUUGUAAUACAACUAACACACACAAUACUAUGAUUAAAAAAAUAUCUCCAUCAGUUAAAAACUAAACAAUGGAAAGGCGAGACUCUAUGAACUAAUGCCCUGAACCAGCACAAAUACCAAUUCUCCCGGAGUAUUUUAAGUAUUCAUAUAGUUGUUUCAAAGCACAGGAAAAAAAAAAACAACGCAAAAUUGCAAACUCAUAGUGUUGUUAUUUAUCAAUUGAAACCCAGAAAAAAAAAUCUGUAACUUAAUUAUUCAUUUAAGCAGAUUGAAACCCUUACAAACACAGGUAAGCAAAUCAAAAUUAUCAUUAAAAAUCCAAUCAAGGCCACAUAAAUCUAAUCACAUCCAAAAGCAUCCCAAAAUCUCGUUCAAUAUUCAUACACCCACAUACAAAAACCAUUCAAAAAUUUAAUUUUUUUUAACUCAAAAUAAUAACUCAGGAAAGGAAACAAAAUUCUUACAGAGAGCAAGCAAAGAAGAGGAUGAACAAAGAAGCAUAAUUCCUGGCAUAACGUUUAACAUUCUCAUGAACUCUCAACUUAAGGGUGUGUGGGGAAGAUGGAAACGAGUAAGACCCAAGAGCCCCAAUAAACUCACGGGUCCAAGACGGGGUGUUGGCUGAGAAAUCAUCAGUGGUGAGUUUAGCAAAAGGGUUGGCGGUAAGAAGAGAGAUAAAGGUGUAUAAAUAAUGUAAAAGGCUGUGAGUUAUGGUCGUGGCUGUGGCUGUUUCUUUGGUGGAGGCUGUUGUGACGGCGGUGGCCGAUGUCGUGGUGGCGGUGUCAAGGCUUUCGAGGUAGCCGGAGUCGCGUAGCCAUGACUCGAAUGCUGGGUCGGUUACGUUUAGAGAUAACGGGUUGGAUGCGAAUACCUUCCCCAUUGCAAAAAGUUAUCCAAUUUCGGUUGAACGAGGGUCACUAAAUUAUCAAAAUAUUAAUAACUAAUUUGUAACAAAAUUCAUAUGAUAUGAUAUGAUGAUAUAGGCCUUGGUUAGUGGUUUUCUAAACAAUUUAUUAUUAUUAUUAUUCUCUUAAUCAUUCCAAGUUUAAAUUUCGAAGAGGUAGGGGAUAGAAAUAAAUUAUAUUAGGAUUUGUCGAUUUUUCAAUAAAAACUUCAGUAUUAUAUGCUUAAUUGUUUUAAAGAAUUUUCUUUGAGUAUUGUUUUGAGUAAAUAAAUGUGAUUAAUUUAACAUGCUUAAGGAUUUUUAGUAUUUUAAAGACCAUACAAAGUAUAACUUAAUUUUUUAAAUUUAAUAGAUGAGUGUGUAGAACAAUAAAGUAUUUAAAGUAAUUAUUAGAGGAUAAAUAGGCAUAUCCAAUACUUUUAUUUUUUUGAAAAGAAAGUAAAUCUUUCAUAAAUCACAACACCUCAAAUACAACUUGAAUCUCGACUGGAAUAGUUCCUAGCCACAUAGAAGAAGAAUUUCUUCCCAAAGCUAACUUAGCUAGAGAGUGGGCAUAAGCAUUACAUUGACUUGUUAUGUGAUGAACAACUUUUUGAAAAACUUUCAACUGAUUUCGGAUCUCCAGAAUUGUCCAAAAAAUUUCUGUUUUGCUGCUCUUGGUGUUGUUUACAAGUUGAACCACCUCUAAGCAAUCUGACUUAAUGAUCAAGGAAGUUAAAUCUGCUUCUUUUGCCAACUGAAGCCCCCAUUGCACAGUCUCUGCCUCAGCUAAACUGACUGGUCCCUUAAGAUGAAUUUGAUUAAUACCGGCUGCAAUUAUCUUUCCAUUAGAAUCUCUAAUCACUGCUCCCACGCCUGCAAUCUGAUUCUUAGUAUUGAUGGCAACAUCCACAUUAAUUUUGAAAAUAUUUUCAGGGGGAGGGAACCACUUCUGUUGUUUCUCUCCUCUGGGGUGGGCAAUAUGAGAAGGCUUUGUCUUUCUUACUCUUUGAAAAGCUGAGCCUUUACAACAUGAGCAGGGAGGGGACUCCACUUUUGAUGCAUCAUAGAUAGUUUCUUCUCUGCAAAAACUUUGCCCAAAUUUCUUAAGUCUCUUAAAGGCAUCUAUCAGAUCUGCCUUUGCAACACUUUCCACAAAGUAGAAACUUUUCUUCUCAAAAUUAUGCAUCAUAAAAUACAAAACCAAGCAAAAUCAAAUGAACAACCCCAAAUUUGUAAAUCUGGGUAGACAAACAAUAAUAAACCACCACAAAUCUCUAGAUAUGAGUGGAAGAAUACACCACCACAGAUUUGAAAAUAUGAGUGGAAGAACAAAACCACCACAGAUAUGAGGAUCUGAGUGGAGAAAAUAAGUAAAGAAAAUAAAAAAAGAAGGUUUCGCUAGAAAACCAACUCAUAGAGCUGAUUUUUCGGCGAAAGAAGAAGGUGAAAUGUUACUGGAUGUUCAGAGCCUUUUUUUUCUGGAAAGGCAUAUCCAAUACUUUAACUUAUGGUUGGUUGUUUUUUUCACUGAAUUUUCUAAUUUGAAUUGAAUCAAUUACAAGUUGUGACUCGAGCUCAAGAGAGUUGAAGAGAAAGAAAAAGAAAAAUGGAGUCCUUCUCUUGUCCCUUUUAAGUGAAUAUAUUUAGGUUGGGUACCGCAGGGUAGUUUAAUCUUUUCUACUGCAUGGCACCUCUUUACUCAAAUAUCAAAUGAGCUUGCUCUUCACGUGACACCAAAUUUACCAAACUUUAUUUUUUUCCUUGAUUGGCUCGUGUAGGACAGUCGAGGUGUCAUUUGUUUUUUCACCGUUCAACUUCUUAUUUAUUAUUCUUAUACCACAUGUCAGCUUUCAACUAGUCCAUAAAUAUCCUUCAAAUUUUACCUCCAAACAAAUCUAAUAACCUCUUGAAAACAAAAAAUUAAAAAUUUACUCAAUCAUUCAAUGUUAAGGAAAUUGGCCAAGUAAUGGAAUGCUAACAAACCAAAUUAAAUUUCUACAUUUAAUUUUUUUUCUCAUGCAUGCUCUACUAAAAAUAUUUGAUGUGGUGCUAAUGCUCACUGCAAAGUAUAUAUUAGAUGCUCGUGCAUAUACCGUAGGCUAUAGCUAUACAAAAACUUAUACUUGCGUUCUCGAAUGCACACACUUGCACGCAAAAUUCUAUUAUUGAGAGUCGCUGCUUUCUAUAACACGGCCUUUUUCUAGCCUUUCAUUAGACGUGGUUUCAAUUUAUUUAACCAUUAGAGGGACACAUCAGUAGUCACAAAAAUGCCCCUCUAAAUGGCAAUUCUUUUAAUCAUUUUGCUGCCGCUCUUCCUUCCAGUCCCAAGUACAUAGCCCAAACUUCAAUUUUCUCUGGGAAGGUAAUGAAGCGUGGCUUAGUCUCAGUAAUAUGUCUUCCAUAUUCCAUGGAAUGAGCCAAAAGAGGAGUACUUCUAUAGUUAGUAGCAACUAGCAAUCAUAUUGAUUCUUAAAGGAAUUUUCUACAUCAGAUAAAGAAAGAGCAGCAGAGAACAAAGCUGUUAAUCAAUCAACACAUGUAAAGCAGUAUUAGUAUUUCUGCCUUAUUGUAGUGCCUAAGCGGGUAUUAGGAUUUCUCCACAAGAACGUUUACUAAGACAUUCAGCCAAGUGUGAAGUUCAUCAAUAAUUAAUCUUUUCUGGAAAUAAACGGAACAUAUUGAGUGCCAAACUUGCCCAGCCUUUGAAACAGGAUUUCAGAGCAAGCAACAGUGUUGAAGUCAACAAAUUGUUGAAAAAUAAUAAUAAUUAAAAAUUAUAUUUUUAAUUAUUUUAUUCUUAGCAUAGUAAUUCAUUUCUCCUAUAAAUAGUUAAGGAUUUCAUUCAUUUGAAAUCGUCCCAAAAUUGUUAAGCUUAUAAGUUUCUAAGCUUUUGAGGAAAGUGAGAGAAGUGUGUCUGGGGAAUUUAUCUUUCCUGCAGAGUGUGAGAGUACUGGGUAUAUUUGGGUUUCUGGGAAGUGAGAUUCGUUACUCAAAUAUUGUACUCUAUUAAUUGUUAAAUAAACAAUUAUUCUUUCUUGCCUCCGUGGAUGUAGGUUUAAUUACCGAACCACGUAAUUCUUGUGUCCUUUAUUUUUCUAUAAUUAUUUGGUGCGCUUGAUUCCGCAUUCCGCGCACAACAAGUGGUAUCAGAGCCGAAGGUUCUUACUUGGGGGGAUACGGUACUGUUCACGUAUACGGUACUAUUCCCGUAUUCGGCACUGUUCACAUACGGUACUGUUCACGAAUACGGUGGAGACGGCCAUUUAUACUUGGGAGACAGUCUAUUGUAAGUAGUGUAGAUGUAAGUUUAAUUACUGAACCACGUAAAUUCUUGUGUCCUUUAUUUUUCUGUAAUUAUUUAGUGCGCUUGAUUCCGCAUUCCGCGCACAACAAGUGGUAUCAGAGCCGAAGGUUCUUACUUGGGGGGAUACGGUACUGUUCACGUAUACGGUACUAUUCCCGUAUUCGGCACUGUUCACAUACGGUACUGUUCACGAAUACGGUGGAGACGGCCAUUUAUACUUGGGAGACAGUCUAUUGUAAGUAGUGUGUAUUUUUGCAUGUCUAGGAAAGUUCUGUUAACAAAGGCGAUAAGAGUCUAAGGAUUCUGGUUUUUAAUUGGGAUCGAGUUCCUGUCCAGUUUUCUGAGAACUUUCCUGGUGCAUUUAUUCACGCGAAAUUAACAUCAUAGAGACUAUUUUUCAAGUGGAAAUAGUUCGUUGAGAAAAUAGUAGAAGGUGAAACUUCCAGAAUUGGGGAGAGAUCUACCGAGACUAUUUCAGGAGACACUUCAGGUGGGAUGCGAGAUUUGUCAAAUCGCUAUUCAGCACCUGUUAUAGGAGGCCAGAAGAUCGAUGUUGAAAAGUUUGAUGGGAAAAUCAACUUCGGCAUGUGGAGGCGCGAAGUUAUGGAUGCCCUUAUUCAAAUCGAUCUCGAUGUUGUUAUGAAAAAUAAAAGAUGAGUAUCGUCUGAAGCUUUGGUGAGCAAAGAUUGGGCGAUGGAGAAACAAAAGAAGCGUGGUGGAAAGAAUUCUCGAUCCAAAUCGAGAAGCAGAAAUAUAGCUCGAGAUGAGUGUGCCUUUUGUCAUGAAAAGGGCCAUUGGAGGAAAGAUUGUCCAAAGGCUCAAAAGAGAGAUGGGAAGAAACCAGCAGCAGCAAACAUGGCACGGAAAGAUGAGGGCUCUGAUUAUUCACUAAGUAUUACUCCUGCAGCAUACGUGGCUAGUUCGAGCGAGUGGAUACUUGAUACUGGAGCAACUUAUCAUUUGUGUCCUAUUAAGGAAUGAUUUACGGAUUUUCGUAAUUUGGAAUCCGGUGCAGUUGUGAUGGGGAAUGAUCAACCUUAUCGCACAAUGGGGAUAGGAACAAUUCGGCUCAAAAUGUUUGAUGGAAUGAUCAGAGAACUCAAAGAGGUUAGAUUUGUUCCAGCUUUAAAGAAAAAUCUAAUUUCUGUGGGUGCUUUGGAAGCUAAAGGCUACAAGGUUACCAUUGAAGAUGGUAUAAUGAAGUUUACACAUGGGGCUAUGGUGAUUCUGCAAGGGGUUCGGCGUCACAAUCUGUACUAUUUGAAGGGAGGUACAACUGAUGAAGCAAAUGUUGUUGAAGCGCAUAGUGACACCACCAAGCUAUGACAUGUACGACUGGGACAUGCUGGAGAGAAGUCUUUGCAAACUCUGAUGAGACAUGGACUCUUAAAAGGUACCAAAACCUGUAAAUUAAAUUUAUGUAAGCAUUGUGUAGUAGGCAACUGAUGAAGCAAAUGUUGUUAAGGCGCACAGUGACACCACCAAGCUAUGGCAUGUACGACUGGGACAUUAAGAGUCUAAGGAUUCUGGUUUUUAAUUGGGAUCGAGUUCCUGUCCAGUUUUCUGAGAACUUUCCUGGUGCAUUUAUUCACGCGAAAUUAACAUCAUAGAGACUAUUUUUCAAGUGGAAAUAGUUCGUUGAGAAAAUAGUAGAAGGUGAAACUUCCAGAAUUGGGGAGAGAUCUACCGAGACUAUUUCAGGAGACACUUCAGGUGGGAUGCGAGAUUUGUCAAAUCGCUAUUCAGCACCUGUUAUAGGAGGCCAGAAGAUCGAUGUUGAAAAGUUUGAUGGGAAAAUCAACUUCGGCAUGUGGAGGCGCGAAGUUAUGGAUGCCCUUAUUCAAAUCGAUCUCGAUGUUGUUAUGAAAAAUAAAAGACACUUGUAUAAUGAAGAAAUUUAGGAUCGUAUGAAUGAAAAAGCCUGUGGUCAGAUCAGAUCUUGUUUGACCAAGGAGGUGAAAUACUUGGUGAAAGAUGAGGAGUGUGCGGUGACUUUAUGGCGUACAUUGGAGGAGAAGUACCUGGUGAAAAGUCCUGAAAAUCGCCUUCAUGCAAUGAGCCAAGUAUAUGGUUUUCGAAUGAAGCCUAGGGUGUCAAUGCACGAUCAUGUUUCAAGAUUUGAAAAGUUACUUGCUGAUUUGAAGAAUCUUGAUGAAGAUAUUAAGGAUGAAGUCAAGGCUAUAAUUCUGUUACACUCACUACCAGAGGAAUAUAGCCAUUUUGUGACUACUUUGAUAUAUGGGAAGAGUGUGAUCGUCUUUAAAGAUGUUUGCACAACAUUGACUAGCUUAGAGAUUCGGAAUAAUGAUAAAAAUUCUGAACGAGCAUCNNNNNNNNNNNNNNNNNNNNNNNNNNNNNNNNNNNNNNNNNNNNNNNNNNNNNNNNNNNNNNNNNNNNNNNNNNNNNNNNNNNNNNNNNNNNNNNNNNNNNNNNNNNNNNNNNNNNNNNNNNNNNNNNNNNNNNNNNNNNNNNNNNNNNNNNNNNNNNNNNNNNNNNNNNNNNNNNNNNNNNNNNNNNNNNNNNNNNNNNNNNNNNNNNNNNNNNNNNNNNNNNNNNNNNNNNNNNNNNNNNNNNNNNNNNNNNNNNNNNNNNNNNNNNNNNNNNNNNNNNNNNNNNNNNNNNNNNNNNNNNNNNNNNNNNNNNNNNNNNNNNNNNNNNNNNNNNNNNNNNNNNNNNNNNNNNNNNNNNNNNNNNNNNNNNNNNNNNNNNNNNNNNNNNNNNNNNNNNNNNNNNNNNNNNNNNNNNNNNNNNNNNNNNNNNNNNNNNNNNNNNNNNNNNNNNNNNNNNNNNNNNNNNNNNNNNNNNNNNNNNNNNNNNNNNNNNNNNNNNNNNNNNNNNNNNNNNNNNNNNNNNNNNNNNNNNNNNNNNNNNNNNNNNNNNNNNNNNNNNNNNNNNNNNNNNNNNNNNNNNNNNNNNNNNNNNNNNNNNNNNNNNNNNNNNNNNNNNNNNNNNNNNNNNNNNNNNNNNNNNNNNNNNNNNNNNNNNNNNNNAAGUCUUUGCAAACUCUGAUGAGGCAUGGACUCUUAAAAGGUACCAAAACCUGUAAAUUAAAUUUCUGUGAGCAUUGUGUAAUAGGCAAGAAAACAAGGGUUAAGUUUGGUACGGCUAAUCACGAUACUCGUAAGAUCCUUGAAUAUAUUCACAGUGAUGUAUGAGGACCAACUAAGACUGCAUCAAUUGGUGGAAGCCAUUAUUUUGUUACAUUUGUUGAUGAUUUCUCUAGACGUGUGUGGGUGUACACCAUGCGAGGAAAGGAUGAGGUUCUAGAGAUUUUCGUGAAAUGAAAGAAAUUAGUGGAGACUCAAACUGGCAGAAAGAUCAAAGUAGUACGAUAUGAUAAUGGGGGUGAAUAUACUUCUGAUCCAUUCUUGCAAGUAUGCCAGAACGAGGGUAUUAAAAGACAUUUCACGGUGAGACAUACUUCGCAACAGAACAGUGUGGCUGAGCGUAUGAAUCGUACUUUACUGGAGAAGGUACGGUGUAUGUUAUCUAAUACUGGUUUAGAUAAAAAGUUUUGGGUUGAAGCUGUGAGCUACGCAAGUCACUUGGUAAACCGAUUGCCUUCUGCUGCAAUUGGAGGUAAAACUCCUAUGGAAAUGUGGUCUGGAAAGUAUGCACAAGAUUAUGAUUCCCUUCGUGUAUUCGGGUGUCCAGCUUAUUAUCAUGUCAAAGAUGGUAAACUGGAUCCUCGUGUUAGAAAAGCUAUCUUUAUGGGAUUCAAAAGUAGAGUAAAGGGCUUCAAGCUUUGGGAUCUCGAAGACAAAAAGUUUGUGUGUAGCAAAGAUGUCACAUUUGAUGAAGCUUCAAUGAUCAAAGCUUCAAGUUCUCAGCAGGUGGAGAACAAGACCAAAGAGGUAUUGCAGCGGGUGGAGCUUGACGUAACUCCAUAUGUACCAGUUAGUUCUACAUCAAAGAAGAGUUCAACUAUAGAGGUGACACCUAGAGUUGAAGAAGAGGUUGUUUUUUCUGAUGUCCCACAAAAUGAAGAAACAAUUGAUGAUGUAGAUAAUGAUGAUUUUAUAGCAACAAGGAGGCCAAGAAGAGAGAUAAAGAAACCCAGAUGGCUUACUAAAGAUAUGGUGGUAGCCUAUGCACUUCCAGUUAUUGAUGAUGACUUCCCCAACACUUUCGGUGAAGCAUUACGCUGUAGUGAAAGUGAUCAGUGGAAGUUAGCCAUGGAGGAAGAGAUGAAAUCUCUCCAUCAAAAGCAGACUUAGGAACUUGUAAAGUUACCAAAGGGGAAAAGGGCUAUUGGCAAUAAAUGGGUCUACACCAAAAAGCAAGGAUCUCCAAAUCAAACAACUCCUCGAUACAAGGCAAGGCUCGUGGCAAAAGGUUUUGCUCAAAAGGAAGGUAUUGACUACAAUGAAGUUUUCUCUCCAAUUGUAAAACAUACUUUCAUUCGUAUCCUACUUGCCUAAGUUGCAGAAUAUGAGUUAGAGUUGGCUCAAUUGGAUGUUAAGACGGCGUUCUUGCAUGGAGAUUUGGAGGAGGAAAUCUAUAUGAUUCAGCCUUGUGGUUUCAGAGUUACUGGAAAGGAGAAUCAUGUGUGUAGGUUGAUUAAAUCUUUGUACGGACUGAAGCAAUCGCCAAGGCAGUGGUACAAAAGAUUUGAUCAAUUUAUACAAAGGCAGAAAUUCACCAGAAGUGAACACGAUCAUUGUGUUUACUUUAGAAGACUACCAGAUGAAGCUUUCAUCUAUUUGUUACUCUAUGUCGAUGGUAUGCUUAUAGCUUCGAAGAAUAGAGAUGAGAUCGAAAGAUUAAAGAAGCAGCUGGCUUCUGAGUUCGAGAUGAAAGACUUAGGUGAUGCACAGAAAAUACUUGGGAUGGAGAUUCGUAGAGACAAGAAGAAUGGGAGCGUAUGGUUGACUCAAAAGUUUUAUUUGAAGAAAGUGCUAGAAAGAUUCGGUAUGGAUGACAAAAUUAAAUCGAUAUGUACACCUCUAGCUCCUCAUUUCAAAUUAAGCUCUUAUUCAUGUCCUAGAUCUCAAGAGGAGUGCGAUUACAUGGCUCAUGUUCCAUAUGCUAGUGCUGUGGGUAGUCUUAUGUAUGCUAUGGUAUGCACAAGGCCCGAUAUAUCUCAAGCAGUGAGCAUGGUUAGUAGAUACAUGCAUAAUCCGGGUAAAAAUCAAUGGCUUGCGGUAAAGUGGAUUCUCUGAUAUCUAUAUGGGACAGUUGAUGUUGGGUUAUUGUUCAAGAAGGAUUGUGGUCAAUAAUGUGUUGGGUAUUGUGAUUCUGAUUUCGCUAGAGACCUUGACAAGCGAAGAUCAACAAUGGGCUACGUAUUCACAUUGGGUGGAGGUCUGGUUAGCUGGAGGUCGAUUCUACAAUCGACAAUUGCUCUAUCCACUACGGAAGCAGAGUAUAUGGCAGCAACUGAAGCUGUAAAAGAAGCUAUCUGGUUGAAAGGCUUAUUAGGUGAUUUGGGAGUAAUCUAGGAGAACAUUGCGGUCUUCUGUGAUAAUCAAAGUGCGAUAUUCCUUGCGAAGAAUCAAACAUAUCACGCUUGGACGAAGCAUAUAGAUGUGAAAUAUCAUUAUGUGAAAGAGAUUAUCGAGAGCGAUGUUGUGUUGUUGAGAAAGAUCGAUACCAAAGAUAAUCCAUCAGAUAUGUUGACCAAGGUAGUUUCUGGAGUUAAGUUUCAACAUUACUUGAAAUUAAUUCAAAUCCUUCGAUUGUGUUAAGAUAUGUCCUUCGGGAAUUUUGAACUACGGUUGGUUUGAUCCCAAAUUUUAGAUACGUAGGCAGUCAUAGAGAUGCAACCACUUUGGGGAUGAUGGCUUGUUGGUAGUCGACUCAAAUUUGAAAAAUUUUCGCCGAGGUGGAGAUUUGUUGAAGUCAACAAAUUAUUGGUGCAAAUUUGUUGAAGUCAACAAAUUGUUGGUGCACCAACAAUUUGUUGAAAAAUAAUAAUAAUUAAAAAUUAUAUUUUUAAUUAUUUUAUUCUUAGCAUAGUAAUUCAUUUCUCCUAUAAAUAGCUAAGGAUUUCAUUCAUUUGAAAUCAUCCCAAAAUUGUUAAGCUUAUAAGUUUCUAAGCUUUUGAGAGAAGUGAGAGAAGUGUGUCUGGGGAAUUUAUCUUUCCUACAGAGUGUGAGAGUACUGGGUAUAUUUGGGUUUAUAGGAAGUGAGAUUCGUUACUCAAAUAUUGUACUCUAUUAAUUGUUAAAUAAACAAUUAUUCUUUCUUACCUCCGUGGAUGUAGGUUUAAUUACCGAACCACGUAAAUUCUUGUUUCCUUUAUUUUUCUGUAAUUAUUUGGUGUGCUUGAUUCCGCAUUCCGCGCACAACAAAUAGAACAAAGACAGAAAAUACAUUCAACUGAACCCAACACCAGAAAGCAUCACAAAUAUUAUUUAUUUUUUGUACACAAUUAACGAACCAUCGCUGAAGCACAAAUCAAUGAACUCUCAACUGAAAAUCCGAAACGAAACUUCUUAUUUAUGAGUAGACAGCGGAAACAAAGAAACCAAAAAAAAGUCCACCACUGUAGGAUCAGGAUUUGUCUGUGUAGACAGUAGAAGUGAAGAUGGAAAGGAUUCUGGUUUAAAUUGAAGCUCAGGCUGUAGUCAUGAUGUUUUCUGCUCUGAUUUCACCUACACAAGUCAUUAAAGAAAUUGUGAAAAAGAAGAAUUUUAAAUUACAUUUUUUUCCUUAACUAUUAAAACAAAUGAACGCCGAUGUCUGCUAGGCUCAUGGUUGAAUGUGGAAGAGUAUUUAAGUCUCCGCUGCUGCUAAAUAGGGCUUGAUGAUUGGGGUGAGUAUCAGAAACUCUAAAGGGUACUUAAUGUUGAGACAAACUAGAAGAAAACACUCUGUAUAACCAUCUUUAUAUUGAAGAGAAGGGGGAAAAAGUAUAUGAAAUUUGAUAAAUAAUAAAAAGUUGAAGAAAUUAGAUAAAACACGAAACAAAUAUCAAAUUCAAUAAGGGCUAAUCAAAUUCCGUAAGGAUAUAGUUGAAUGCUGCACUGUUCCUUAUCCUCAAAUUCCCUUAGCUUUUGUCUCAGCUCUGGCUGAGGCCACCAGCAAUCGAACUUGUUUAAGCUCUUUACGCACCAGAGCUGUUCAUGCAUUUUUUUCAAGUAAGGACAAGGGUUGAUAAUCAAGCAUUCUAGUUUUGGCAUGGCUCCAAUCCCCAUAGUCCACUCCUCUAGGCAUAGCAUUGAUUUCAGGUGCAAUACCUUGAGAUUUGGAAAACCAUGGGAGCCACAAGUUAGCUUCCUACCUGAAUAUGAAUUUUGCUUCAGUUUGAGCACUUGAAGAAGUGGCAGCUUUUCUAGUGCGGGCAUGGGAUCCUCCAUAAGUUCAGUAUUAGAUAAACUCAAGUGGGUUAGUGUUGGAGGAAAAUGGGAUUCAACAAGGACAAUUUUAGAGAAAGCUGGCAUCUUGCUUUCGUUCACCAACUUCAAUGAUUCGAGGCAGCUUAAUCUGCAAAGACUACCCAUGUGAGCCAACUACCCAUGUUGCGAAGAUGAGCGACUUUUAAGAGGAAUAAAACUGUCUGCCUCUUGAGGGGUAUUUAAGAAAACAGUGUACACCAGAAGAAGGAAUGAAAAAAGAAAAUUAAUCUUCCAUCGUAGAGAAGGAGAGAAAAUUUAUAUUAUUUCAUCUUUUUUUCUUAUUCUGCUUUAGUUAUUUCCUUUAUAGUCAACUAUCUAAUUUACUCCAAAUCUAACUUAAGCAUCAAAGGGUUCUCGCCAGAUCCCCCACAGGCGAGUUGUGACCGGUUUCUGUAGCUUUCAAGUUGCAGAUUUAAAGUCCAUAUCAACAUUCAAAUUUUGUUCGUACUAGUUUUCCACCAAAAACAAAUUCAGCUGUUGAAGUCCUUUUUCAGCAUCAACAUCUUGGACAUUCUUAAGAUAGCAAAAUCAAUAAACUCAACAUUAUGUUACUGGCUAAAGAGUGAAGAAACCAUAAGAAUCCAAUGACAACCAAAGCAGAAGGAUCAAUUUUAAUACAAAAGGGAAUUCCUCUGCUGCAAACGAGGGCUUUGAUGUGAUUGUAAAGAAUUGAGAGUGAGCAGCAGUACAUCCUCUCGCCAUCAACUUCAUUGCACUGCAUUACAAGGCAAAUGUGAAAACGAUCACAACUGCUCUUUAUUCUCUUAGUGCAAUUGGGCUGCUAAUCAACCAAUAGAGAAAGAACUAAAUUUUAAAUAUUAAAUCUUAAAUCUUUAUUCGCUACAACUAAAUUUUAAAUCUUCCACUUUCAGAACUUUACUCGUUAAAUCUCCUCUUCAAUUCUACCUAGUCCUUACUGGAUCCUUAAAGUCACCAAGGAUUAGUGAUGGUUUUUUAUUUUACGAGGGCUGUUGGACAACCCAGAUUGACAAGGGCUAAAAUCUCCAUAUAUUUGGAGGCUAUGAAGAUUAGACAAUAUGCCCCAGUUUCUUUUUGUUGUGUUUAAUCCUCUGUUAGUACCAAGAUCACACACUUAAGACCCUCUUUGACGUAUCAAGAAUCAUUCCCAGAAAACCAAACUCAAAAUUGAAUCAAAGUGCCUACAUCCACUGAAGAACAAGGACCAUUUCACAAUCAUUCCAAGAAUAUAAAACUUUUUCUCUUUAAGUCUCUCUCUUUCUAUGGCUUUGAUGAGACAUGUGAAGAUGACCCAACAACCAUUUCACAAUCAGUUUUAAGAUGAUGAGAUGUGAUCACAGCACAAACAUUUUUCGUCUAACUGAAGUAAUGAGAUUGAACUGUACCACUAUUCAAAAACUAGAAAAAAGAUAAAAUAAAAUAAAAAACAAUAACAUAUAUGCAACUUGAAUGUUGACAAAUUGAAUACACACCGGUGAAUGUGAAAUAGAAAGUAAAACAAUUAAUCAAACUUUUGUACAAAAUAUUAAUCCGAAUAUGACAUAAUCCUUGAAAACAAAGAAACCAAACAAUUUCAGUGAAGACUGGAUUCUUAUUGAAAUUGAAACUUUGGCUGCAGUACAGUUAAGAUAUUUUCCGCUUUGCUUUGACCUACACAUUCAAGUAAUUGAAUAUCUUAUUUUUCAGUUUUUCUUGAUUAUUUCAACAACCAAUACAUAAGGGUUCUACCUCUUCUAUAAAUAAGGGAUUAAUGAUUAGUGUCAGUAUCAGGGAAUAUAAUGGACACUUCCAAGUCUUUGUUGUGAAAAAAAUUAGAAGCAACCACAAUUAGAAUGUAGAAAACACUUUAUGGUAUCAUUAUUAUUUAGGCUGCUACGUACUAUCAAAUCAAUCAUAGAGACUAGAUGUUUACGUGAAAUUAGAUAAAUAAUUAGAGGUUGAAGUUAUUGGAUAAAAAGGAAAAAAACUUACAUCAAAUUCGAUCCAUGCUAAUCAAAUUCCAUAUGGGUAUAGCUGAAUGCCAUACUGCUCCUUAUCCUCGAAUUCCCAUAGCUGUUGUCUCAGCUUGGGCUCAGGCCACCACAACUCCAAUUUGUUUAAGCUCUUUAGGCACCAAAGCUGUUCAGGAAUCCUUUUCAAGUGAGCACAAGGGUUGAUGAUCACGCAUUCUAGUUUCGGCAUGGCUUUAAUCCCCAUAGUCCAUUCCUCUAACCAUAGCAUAGAUUUAAGGUGCAGCACCUUGAGUUUUGGAAAGCCAUCAGAGCUACAAGCCAGCUUUCUACCUAAAUACUUCAGUUUGAGCACCUGAAGAACCGGCAGCUUUUCUAGUGCCGGCAUGGGAUCAUCAAUUAGCUCAAUAUUCGAAAAACUCAAGUGGGUUAGACUUGGAGGAAAUUGGUAUUCAGCAAGGAUGGUAUUGGAUCGCCGUGGCAUCUUGCUUUCAUUCGCCAACUUCAAUGACUCGAGGCAGCUCAAUCUACAGAGACUUUUGGACAACAAAGAUUGAUAAUAACUUAAAUCUCCCCAUAUCCGGAGAUUUUGAAGAUUAGGUAGUCUGCCCAAUAUCUCUUCAGUAGAGCAGCAAGGAUGCAAGGCUAAAAUGAAAUUGAGAUUUUAUAGAGAGCCACAAUAUUUUCCUGGAUGUGCAGGAAGUGUGAUCGCUCCAAAAUUUAGAUACCUCAGUUUGCUCAUCUUCCAAAAUUCAUCUGCUGUAUGAUCUAUGUAGCUAAAGGGCAUCUCUAGGGUGUACAGGUUCAAAAGACUGCUUAAGAACGAUGAAGGCAGGCUUUUGAGGGAGGGGAUAAUACUCUGAGAAAUUUGAACAUUUUACAGAUUUUCUUGCAAUAAGUGGGGUCAAGGUAUUGGCUUCCUGAAGUGAGGUACAACAAAGAAUGGAGGAACGAGUCAAAAUCAUCUAAAAAUGUAAAAUGAUUCAAUUUUCCGUGAGCGGUGAAGCGUUUCACAUUUUCCCGUAAUCUAACUUCCUGAUCCAUGAUUGGGGAAAUGAUAAAUUCCCCCUUGAAAGCCACAGUCAACAAUGCAGGACUGCAACUCCCAGGAAUAGAGCUUGUGUUGAUUCUGCUUAUAUCACUUCUCUUCCCUGCAUCAACAAAGGCUCCAUUGAUUAGUUGUUCCAAGUACUUCUCAGUAAUUGCCUCGUUGUUGUCUGGAAUGAAACCUUCAGCUAUCCACAACUGAUAUAAUUGCUUGGUUCAUAUCUCAAAGUGUACGCGAAACACAGAUAAGUAGAGACAACAAAGUUUCAAGUAAAAAGGUAACAUACAAUAUGCAACGACUUGAAGCCCUCGGGGUUCAUCAAGUGCUUCCUCUAUAUUUUCUUUCAGUGAGAUGCUUCCAUGAUAUAAGAUGUGGAAAGGCCAUCCUUGGUAUGUAACUCUCAAUGGUCCUCCAGUGGGCACAAAAUCAAGCCCAAUGUUCUCUCCAUUUUCGAACUGAAAUGAGGUGACGAUCUCAAUUUGACUGAGUGUUAUCAAUACUCUACUUCCAAUCUGAUUAUCGGGAAGUAUUCUCGAAUAACAUCCCAUACUGAUAUUCUCCACACAUUAUCAAGCACAAUCAAAUACCGCUUGGUCAUUACAUAUUCAUGAAGAAUAAUUUUUUUCAUUUCCGAACUUUCUUUCAUAAUUUCACUUAACCUACGUGAAGGCAUCACAAACUUAAUAAUGUCGUAUAAUAUUUGGUCAGCAUCAUAUAGUAAAGACUCUUCAACCCAAGCGUGACAAUCAAAAUAAUGCUUCACAUAGUUGCUGCUGUAAGCCUCUGCGGCGAAAGCCGUCUUGUCCAAUCCAAUGCUAUCAAGUACGGCCACUACCGAAAGUUGAGGCGGUCCCUCUAUCAAUAGAUCUAAUAACUCCUCCAUUCUAUUAUCUAGACCCACCGUGUCCCUAUCCUUAAAAGAUGAGGAUGCAGGAAAAUUACCGGCUUUUGCUUCAAUCGAUUUGAGCCCAUCAAUGAUUCCGGAGUGGAUGUGCUGAACUUGCUGCAUCCGUUGUUUUAUAUCAAUGAUNNNNAUUUUGUCAAUGAUAGCCUUAAAAUCUUCUAAUUCUGCAAGAGUUUGACCCUCUUUUGCAUUGACUUGCCACAUAAACCAAGCAGUGUUGUAUCCACAGUCCCUCAGCCAAGAAGCAAUGAUUUCAGUCUCAGUGUAAAGGUUCUGAAUAGGUUGUUUAGCAGCAUCGGGCACUGUGAAUUCUUCACCAGCUGGCACCCUUCUCAGUCUCUCUGAAAAUAGUCCAAGGUUGAUGUCCAUAUCUCCUUCACUCUCAGUAGUCAGUAGCCAGCAGCUCUAGCAUGCAAAGAAAAUAAUUAUAAAAAAAAAAGUUAAAAGCUCUCCUUUUACUUCAACAUUAGUCAACAUAAUCAACUGAGGAUGGCACCAAUACCUCAUUCUAUUAAGAAGUUGAAUCAAGUUCAGGUGGUUGUCAAAGUAGAAUAGAUCAAGGCAGAGCAGUACUGGAAAAUGAAUCUUAAAACUAAAUGCUGCAGGUGCCGUGGGGAUACUGAUUGAUAAGAGGAAUUAUAUUGAGAAAUUAUUGAUGUACAAUAAUGAUUUUCUGCACAAAAUCUGAGGUAUAAUGUAUGUGUACAUAAAAUAUUCUUUAUGCAAGAAGAUAAAAGGGUGUCUUAUAAUUUGUGUUUUAUAUAUAUGUGUAUGAAGAAAGUAAAAUAGGCUAUCAAGACUAGUUUCUUUUUUGCCCUAUCAAAAGACUGAAAGAUUAAAAAUAAUUCCACUGGGACCAUAAAACUUGUCUAGAGAGAAAAAGCAUCACCUUAGAAUCUGAUUCAUGUUAAGAAAUUGAGUUUUCUCCCAAGAUCACUACAAAUAAUUUGUCAAGAAAUAAAUUAACAGAAAAAAUUAAACGGAGAAUACAUCAGUCACACAUCACAAGAUUUACAUGGAAAACUCUAAAUCCGGAAGAAAACCACGGCUGUUGUCAAAAGACAACCAGAGAAAAAAAUAUUCAUUAUGUAGAAAAUUAUUACAACCACACUCUCAGAAAUAAUUUCUCUCACCCAAGCCCCAAAUACAUGAUCCCGAAAAAUAUUCUUUAACAAAACAAACCCGUAAUACCCAUAUUGAGGAGCCAAAUACUCCUAUUGAAUGCUCUUAAUUGGAUACAAAAGUGAGGAGGAGAACCCUCCUAUUUAUAGGCAAAAACUUGCAUAAUUAUGCCCACCAAUUUUGAUCAAAAUUGGUGGCUUAGCCAUCAAAUUUGAUGAACAAAUUUUGGUCAACAAAUUUGGUGGUUAAGCCACCAAAUUUGAAGCCACCUUUCUUUUUUUUAAAUCAAUUUUCAACAAUUCAUUGAUGCAUCUAAUGCAUAAUAGUUGCUAUUGUUAGAGAUUUUCUUUUCAAGCGCUCUACAGACUACAACAGAAUACGUUAUAGUUUGAAUCGUUAGAUGAUCAUUCCAAUAGGGCUAAAGGUGUUCAUGGAUUAGAUUCAGAUAUAUAUGAUUCCAUCUGAUUUGGAUUUGGAUGUUGCCAUAUAUAUCCGAUUGGAUAAAAUUUGUGCAUCUGAUGGAUUGGAUCCACUUUAAUUUAAACAAUUUGAUUGGGAUUGCACUACUAUAUAUAUAUAUAGGAAAAUGCUUAACGUCGGGAAGGCUGAGAGAACCCUGAGAGAAACGGCAGCUUGUGCUACCGUUUCCCGCAUGUUCUCUUAGCCCCACCCCCACUUUACUUUAAGCAUUUCCUCUUUUGUUUUUUAUAUUAUUUUAUCUCUCUUUUAUUUUUUUCUUCUUUUAUCUUCUUCUUCUUCUCUUUUUUCUUUCUCUCUCUUUUGCAAUUUCUUCGUUACUUAUCUCCAUCAUCAAUUUCAUCUUCUUCAUCAACAACAUCAUCAUCACAAUUAUCUUUAAAAUUCUAGUUAUACAAUCCAAGAGGGGGGUGAAUUGGAAUUCUAAAAAUUAUUCAAUUUAUAAAGAAAAACUUAAUGCAAAUAUAAACCAAAUUCAAAGUAAUAACAAAUAAGUUGAUCACAAUAUAAAAAGAUAAGGGAAGAGAGAUUCAAACACAGAGAUUUUUACGUGGUUCGACCAACCUCGCCUACGUCCACGCCUCCAAGCUUUCCGGGCUUGAGGAUUCCACUAAGCAAGCAUCCAAGGCUUCAAAUGCUUACACUUGACUUCCAACAUGUCAAUAACCUUUACAACAAGAGAUUAUCCCAAUCUCUUUAAUCCAAGUGUAUCCCAACACUUACAAUCACUCAAAAUAAAAGAUUACAAAUUUGUUUUGCCUCUCACAAUAUUUAAGAUUACAAAAUGAUGCCCAAUAUGUGAAUAGAUGAAGCAAGAAUGUGUUCAAAGCUCUAUGAAGAUUGUAUUCUCGAGUAUAAGCUCAAUAGUCGUGUUGUGAUCAGAUUUGUUUGAAUUUGAAUGAGCUUAUUUAUAGUUGGAGCUGAAAAAACUAGCCGUUACAAACUGUCUGCCCGAAAACGGUUCGCCGUUAAGCAUUAACGGUUAACCGUUUAGGCUGGUCAAAAGUUACCGUUGGGCCAAAUUUCAAAUAAAUGGUUUGCCAUUUAGGAUUACUCUUUCGCCGUUAAAUUUCAGAGACCUGCAAGAUAAACACCAGUUAUCCGUUUACAUUAAACGGUUAAGGAUUUGCAUGAAGUGACUUCUCUGGAUAUUAUCGGUUAACCGUUUGUAAUAAACGGUUCGCCGUUUGUUUUCAGUUACCUGCAAAAUAAUUUAGCCUUAUCCGGUUUUAUUAAACGGUGCCAGAAGAGUGCAACCUUCAAUUCUGGAUUUUAUCGGUUAACCGUUUAAAUAAACGGUUCACCGUUAAAUUUCAAUAGCCUUCCCAGCUUUUUGUGUUUUCCGUUUUUCUUAAUCGGUUAGAGCUUAGGCAAUAUGUUGCUCUCUGGUUUUAAUCGGUUAACCGUUUGAAAGAAAACGGUUCACCGUUUAUUUCCAGAAUCACAUUUUAAACCAGAUUUUGCAGAGAAUCAUUUUCUAAUUUGAAAGACCAUCUUUUAUGAAUAUGAUUAGAAUGAUUAUAAGGCUUUCGUUUAUUAAGGAAUAGCUUCAACAUUUUAAUAAAAAAUCAUUUAAAGUUUGUUAUCAUCAAAAUCAAUAUUAUUAACAUAUUCAUGUUAACAAUCUCCCCCUUUUUGAUGAUGACAAACUUUAUUCAAUAUUUUGCUCCCCCUUAAUAUAUGCUCCCCCUAAAUGUAUGGCCAAAUUAAGAAAUGUCCAAUAAAAAGACUUUUGCUCGAGAAAAUAUUUUUAAAUUCAUUUUAAAUCUCCUCAUAAUUAUCUCCCCCUUCAUCAUCAAAAAGAAAAGAGAGAAAGGAAAAUCGCAAAUCCGUUAAAGAAGUUACCCGAUUUUGGCGAGUGAAAAUUUUGGCAGAGUUUCCCCUUAAAAUGGAUCAAAACCACUAAUACAAAAUGAGAUUAAAACACUUACAAAAUAUAUUAACAACAACUCCAUCAUUCAACAAACCAACAACGCCAUGAACAAACAAACCAACAACUCCAUUAACCAAUAAACCAACAAUUUCAUCAACCAAUAUCAAGUCAUCCAACAUCAAGAACAUCAUAAAAACAUGUCAUCAAAAUCCAUAAAGAGCAUAUAGAGGUAGCAAUGUAUAUAAAAAUAUAAAUGGCAACACGCAAACAACCAAAAUAUGAAAUGUAUGUGCGAAAAUAGAAUUCAGAAACUAUGGAGGUGGAGAAGAUGUGCUCCCCGGAUCAUAGCCAAAAUAGUGGAGAAGAGUGUGCUGUCCAGCGAUAAGCUCAUGCUACUGAUCAAUGCUCUGCUACUGGAAGGUCUGAAAGUCAGAACGUAACUGCUGGUGGUCACGGGAAAAAGUGUCCAACCGAUCAAGAAUCAGCUGCUGGCGCUCCGAAAUUCGGUGAACAUCAGCAAUCAACUGCUGCACAACAUCUGAAGCAUGGGGCUGAACUAGAGCUGGAGGUGGUUCAGAGGCAGAUGGGUGCUCAGGAACAUCAGAUGGCUCAGGAGCAGGAGGCUGCUUGGGAGCUAGAGGCGGCUCGGAAGAGGAGGGAAUAUCAGCACCCAUCGCACGCUCCUCAGAGUCAGAGUCAGCUGAAGGCCAAGGGACAAAACGGCGAUGAGGAGGAUGAGGAUGAGCUCCUAAUCUAAAAUCUGGAAGCUUAUUGGGAGGAUAGACAUCGUUGAGCAUCCGAUCGUCCUCUGGAGCAAUCAAGGUAUCCCGGUUUUUGGAGUUGUUUGUCUUUAUCCACUCACCAUUCUUCCUAGUAAAACCGAUACUAGUCAUGGCCUCAGGACCAAUCCCUCUAGUCUCCAUAUAAGUGGUAUCAAGAAGAGGCACCUCAAAGCGUCGUAGUAUCUUAGUAAUGAUACUGCCAUAUGGAAGCAAGUGGUGGUUAACUGCGGGAGUACUCAACAUGUGCCGCACAAUAACAUAGCCGAGGUUAAUGGGACGGCUUGAAAUGAGACUAUCUAAUAGGCCAACGUCCAACCUCGUAACCUCAUCCGAGUGAACCUUCCUAGGUGUCACUAUGUGCUGUAAAAUAGUGUGAAGAAUGCGAACUUGGAGAGGUAAAAGUUGAGACCGAAAAGGUAGAAGACAGAUCUCAUCAGACAAGUCUCGACGACGACAAAUAUUACGGACUCCAUCAGUAUGAUAAAAACUGUAAAAAAAAAGGGCUUUCCUAGAGGUGUAAAUAUCAUGACCCUCACUAGAGAUACCAAGAAAGUCAGCUAGGUCCGCAUCAUCAAAUUCAAUAGGCACAUCGCCGACUUGAGUAACUAUCCUAUUUAGGCGAGUUGCGAAGAUUUCCAUGUUCGAAUAAAAGACUCGUACUAAGUUGGGAUAAACUCGGUCAUCAAAGUCAAUGGCAGACUCCCAAGGCUGAAGCAUAUCCCUAAUACUUCUACCACAUACAACUAAGGUACUGAAAUCAUCUAUUUCAACAUAAGAAGAGUCAAGUACCUUUCGACCAUUGAAGCGAUUCUCGAACCGCUUGGCCAAGGAAGGCAUGGGGAAAUGAAUUAUUGCGAAUUCAGAGACUUCCCGUAGUGGUAUAGGGUUCCUUGGAGGCACAGAUUUUCGCCUGAGAUUUCUCCGAGGGGGUGCAGCCAUGGUGAAGCACAAAGGAGUUUGAAAAUUACUGGAGAGAUGUGAUGAGAAGAAGAUGAAUCGAUUAUUUGCUUAGGAAUGAGUAAAUGAUGUGAUUUUGAUGCUUAAUUUGGCUGAAGAAGGGGAAGAAUCGGGUUAAAAAGGAAGAAACCCGAGCGGCCGCAGUUAGGGUUUAGAUUUGGGAUUUUUCAAUUUUGGGCUUGAUUUGAGGAUUUGAAUCGGUGAAAGUGUUCUAAAGGUGAUAAGAAAUGAUGUUAUAGGUUUGAUUUGACAAGAAAAACAAGAAAAAUGAAGGUUUGAGGGGAGAGGAGGAUUCGGCUGUGCAACAAUGGCCGAAACGGUGAAGGGGCAACUGGAGAAGGAGAAGAAAAAACCUUUGAACAGUUUUAUAAUCACGAAAAUGGUUAACCGUUUAUUUAAACGGUUAAGGGGUAACUUCCAGAGGCUAAAGAAUGGGAAACGGUUAAAGGUUAAACUCUUAACGGCUGAGGAGUAACUGCUAGCGAGCUCUCUGAUUUUAAACGGUUUACCGAUUGCAACAAACGGUAAAAGGGUUAAAAGGCAGUCAACUUAAUCGAGUUUUUGGAAUAAAAUGGUACACCGUUUAUUGGAAACGGUUAGCCGUUUAUUUUAUCAAUAAUUUCGCACAUUUGAUUUAAUUUUUUGCCAGCAAAUAAUACAUUCCAAGAUCAUUUAAUUGAUCUAAAAAUGUUUCAUGAGCCAUUUUAAUGCAUGAUUCAUGAACAUGUAUUGAAGCAAUUAAUUCAUAUAAUCAAUCAAGAAUUAACAAAGCAAGCACAUCAUUUGAAUAUCAAGCUUAAGCAUUUAAAUCAUCAAUUCACCAAGAAGUCAAUCAAUUCAAUACACUCAGUAGCAUGAAUAGUAACGUUAAUGUGAAAAUUUCAUCAUUCCAAGUUCAUGCUGAAUCUUUGAAAAUUGUUCUUCACCAAGAGGUUUGGUAAAAAUAUCCCCCUUUUGAACAUGAUCUCUCAAGAAAUGAUGUCUUAUUUCUAUAUGCUUGGUUCGAGAGUGUUGAAUAAGAUUCUUUGAAAGAUUUAUAGCAUUAGUAUUAUCACACUUAAUAGGAAUUUGUUCUAGGUUAAUACCAUAGUCUCUAAGUGUUUGUUUCAUUCAAAGAGCUUAUGCACAAUAACUUCCUGCAGCUAUAUAUUCGGCCUCUGUAGUUGAGAGUACAACAGAAUUUUGUUUCUUGCUAAACCAUGAAACAAGUGAGUGACCUAGGAUAUAGCAUGUUCCACUAGUGCUUUUCCUAUCAACGUUAUAACUGGCAAAAUCCGCAUCCGAAUAACAUGUUAAAUCUAUAUGAGUUCCCCUAGGAUACCAAAGGCCAAUAUCUACGGUUCCACUCAAAUAACGGAAAAUUCUUUUAAUAGCAAGCAAAUGAGAUUCCUUGGGACAAGAUUGAAAUCUUGCGUACAAGCAUACACUAAACAUGAUAUCGGGUCUACUUGCAGUUAAAUAAAGUAAAAAUCCGAUCAUACCUCGAUAUAUUUUUAUAUCUACUUCCUUGCCUUUUUCAUCUUUGUCAAGUUUGGUUAUUGUGCUCAUUGGAGUGUUUUUGGUCUUUGAGUCAUCAAUGCUGAAUCUUUUGAGUAGAUCUUUUACAUACUUGGCUUGAUUUAUGAAAAUUCCUUUCUCAUUUUGUUUUAUUUGCAGCCCAAGGAAGUACUUCAACUCUCCCAUUAUACUCAUUUCAAAUUCAUUACUCAUGUAAGAUGAAAAUUCUUUACACAACAAUUCAUUAUUAGAACCAAAAAUAAUAUCAUCAACAUAAAUUUGAACAACAAGUAUGUCUUUUUCCUUAUGUUUGACAAAUAAAAUAGUAUCCGCUUUACCCAUUGAAAAAUCAUUUUCUAAUAAGAAAUUCUUAAGUCUAUCAUACCAUGCUCUAGGUGCUUGUUUUAAGCCAUACAAAGCUUUAAAUUACUUAUAAACAUGAUUUGAAAAUCUUUCAUUUUCAAAACCAGGGGGUUGUUUUACAUACACUUCUUCCAUUAUAAAACCAUUCAAAAAGGCACUUGUCACAUCCAUUUAAAAUAAAAUAAAAUCUUUAUGACAUGCAAAUGCCAACAAUAUUCUAAUUGAUUCUAGUCUAGCUACGGGUGCAAAUAUUUCAUCAAAAUCAAUUCCUUCUUCUUGGUUGUAACCUUGAGCCACUAAUCUAUCUUUAUUCCUUACAACCACACUGGAUUCAUCCAUCUUAUUUCUAAAUAUCCAUUUAGUACCUAUGACGGAUUGAUGUUCCGGUUUAGGAACUAAUUCCCAUACAUUGUUUCUUUCAAAUUGAUUUAACUCCUCUUGCAUUGCCAUAAUCCAAGAUCAUCAUUUUCCGCAUCCGCAAAGGAUUUGGGUUCAAUUUGAGAAAUAAAUGCAUUAUGCUCACAAGUAUUUCUAAGAGAUGAUCUAGUUGUAACACCUCGUGAGGGAUCUCCUAAAAUUACAUCCUUAGGGUGAGAAGAAACAUACCUCCACUCCUUGGGAAGUGAUUGAGAUGCACUUUCAUUGUGUUCUACAUUCAUUUCUUCAUGUUGCUCAUCUUGAUUCCCAUGAGACGUAUCCUUUUGGUUAUCUUUUGAUGAUUCUUUUUUUAAGUCUUCAUCUACAUCAUUAUCAACAACAACUUUCUCCGUAGAUGAGGGGUUAGACUCAUCAAAAGUAACAUGCAUAGAUUCUUCUACAACUAAUGUAUUUUUGUUAUAAACUCUAUAAGCUUUGCUUGAGUUUGAAUAUCCAAGAAAAAUACCAACAUUAGAUUUUGGAUCAAAUUUGCCAAGAUUGUCUUUUGUGUUCAAAAUAAAACAUUUGCAUCCAAACACUUUGAAAUAACCAAUGUUGGGUUUUCUAUGUUUCUAAAGCUCAUAUGGAGUUUUGUUAAGGUUAAGUCUAAUCAACACACGAUUUAAAACAUAACAAGCGGUGUUGACGGCCUCGGCCCAAAAAUACUUAGGCAAUGAAUUUUCAUUCAACAUAGUCCUAGCCAUUUCUUGAAUGGAUCUAUUCUUUCUCUCAACAACUCCAUUUUGUUGUGGAGUUCUAGGUGAUAAAAAUUGAUGCUCAAUGCCAAAAUCAUUACAAAAAAUCUCAAAUGCAUGAUUUUCAAACUCUCCUCCAUGAUCACUCCUAAUGCAUGCAAUACCAUACCCUUUUUCAUUUUGUAUUUUCUUACAAAGCACUUUAAAGGUAUCAAGAGCAUCAUCUUUAUUGGCUAAGAAUAAUACCCAUGUAUAUCUAGAAUAAUCAUCCACUAUCACAAAUGCAUAAUAUUUGUAAUUUAAACUAGCAUAUCUAGAGGGUCCAAAUAAAUCUAUGUGAAGAAGUUGAAGUGGUUUUGAAGUAGAAAUACGAUUUUUAUUUUUGAAAGAUGUUUUGAUUUGUUUUUCAAAUUGACAAGCUUCACAAAUCUUAUCUUUUUGAAAACCAAUUUUUGAAAGACCUUUAACUAAAUCAUUUUUCAAAAUUUUUGAAAUCAAAUCCAUACUUGCAUUUCCUAACCUUCUCUGCCAUAACCAACUAUCAUCAUGCAAUGCCGAAAAACAUUUAUCAAGAGUAGAUGCACAUUCUAUGUCAAUGAUAUAAACAUUACCACAUCUAUUCCCACUUUUCAGUCAUGUGCCUUGAACAACCAUUGUCCAAGUAUCAUUUAUUUUUCUUCUUCUUUAAGCCCUACAAGAAAAAUCUCAAGUUUUAGGUACCCAAAGCUUUUUUGGUCCUUGAGAGUUAGCAACGGUUCCUUUUGGAACCCAAAUACAUUUGACACCAUAAUAUGCAUUCCUUUUCACGGGACAUCUAUAUUUCAUGUGACCAUUUUGAUUACAAUAAUGGCAAACAAUCUUAUGAUCACGUGUGGAGGUAGCUUUAACAAAAUAAUUCUUAUAAUACUUUUGCUUCAAGUUAGGCUUAUACCCAAGUCCUCCUUUAUCAAAAACACAUUUUUGUGAGUUAAGCAUAUUAUCCAACAUCUUUUGCCCAUUUGUAAAUUUCAAAACAAUUUCAUUCAAUUCAUUACUCUUUUUCUUGAGCAUUUCGUUCUCAUUUUUCAACUCAUCUAUGUGUGAUUCUAAAUGCUCAUGUGAGAUGCUAGGUUUCUCAUUUGAUAAUGCAAUUUCAUCAUGCAAUGUUUUGUUCUCUAUUUCUAGGCAUGCAAUUCUUGCAUUUAGAGAUUCAUUUUCAUUUUUAAGCUUUGCCAUUUCCUUUUUAAGACAUACAUUCUUUUUACCAAUCUUCAUCAACUCAUUAUGCAAUUCUUUAAAAGCAUCAUACAAUUCAUCAUUGGUGGGAUCACUUACCUCAUUGAGAUCAUCAUCCCCUCUUAUUGCCAUAAGCACUAGGUUUGAUACUUCUUGCAAUCCUUCUUCAUCACUUGAAUCUUCCUCGCUAUCAUCCCAAGUUGCAACCAAUGCUUUCUUCUUGAGUUUUUUGAUAAGUGGGCACUCCGAUCUUAUAUGGCCAUGCUUCUUGCAUUAAUAGCAUGUGAUUACCUCUUUCUUCUCCCUUUGGUUCUUGAAGUUUCUGAAAUUUCUUCGCUCUACGGUUUUCUUGAAGAAUUUUCUGAACCUGCUUGCUAGCAUGGCUAGCUCUUCAUCAUCCGGUUCACUCUCCCCAUCACUCUCAUAUUUUGAAGAUUUGAGAGUAAUGCUUUUCUUCUUCUCCUCAUGCCCUUUUUCUGCUGCCAAAUCUUCUUCAUAUGAAAUGAGAGAACCAAUUAAAUCAUCGAGGGCUAAAGUAUUUAAAUCUUUGGCCUCUUCAAUAGCGGUUCUUUUUGGUCUCCAUUCUUUUGGAAGUGACCUAAUGAUUUUCUUAACUUUUUUGCUAUUUGAGAAGGUCUUUCCUAAGGCUCUUAGGGUGUUUACUAUGUCCGUAAAUCUCGUAUACACAGAGUACACACUCUCAUUUUAUUCCAUUUGGAAUAACUCAUGUUGUCGAGUGUACCUACUAAUUUUUGACUCUUUCACUUGAUUUGUGCUUCAAGUUUGUGCUAAAUUUCAUUGGCACUUUCACAACUAGAUACUCGAUGAAAUUCUUUUUUAUCAAGUGCACAAAAUAAAGCAUUCAUAGCUUUGGAAUUUAGAGAAGCUUUUCUCUUUUCCAAUUCAUUCCAUUCCGUUGAAGGUUUUGGAAUAUCUUCCCCGAAUUCAUUUUUAGUUAGGGGCAAAAACAGACCAUCGCGUACAACUUCCCAAAUUUCAUAAUCUAAAGCUUGCAAAUAGAUUCUCAUUCUAGUUUUCCAAUAUGCAUAGUCAUUACCGUCAAAGAACGGUGGUCUAGUUGUGGAUUGCCCUUCUCUAAAGGUUGAGUCAUUUAGGGUUGCCAUAGAUCUUUUACUCUAGACGAUUAAGUCCUAAUAAGAGAACAAGGCUCUGAUACCAAAUGAAAUUCUAGUUAUACAACCCAAGAGGGGGGGGUGAAUUGGAAUUCUAAAAAUUAUUCAAUUUAUAAAGAAAAACUUAAUGCAAAUAUAAACCAAAUUCAAAGCAAUAACAAAGAAGUUGAUCACAAUAUAAAAAGAUAAGGGAAGAGAGAUUCAAACACAGAGAUUUUUACGUGGUUCGACCAACCUCGCCUACGUCCACGCCUCCAAGCUUUCCGGGCUUGAGGAUUCCACUAAGCAAGCAUCCAAGGCUUCAAAUGCUUACACUUGACUUCCAACAUGUCAAUAACCUUUACAACAAGAGAUUAUCCCAAUCUCUUUAAUCCAAGUGUAUCCCAACACUUACAAUCACUCAAAAUAAAAGAUUACAAAUUUGUUUUGCCUCUCACAAUAUUUAAGAUUACAAAAUGAUGCCCAAUAUGUGAAUAGAUGAAGCAAGAAUGUGGUCAAAGCUCUAUGAAGAUUGUAUUCUCUAGUAUAAGCUCAAUAGUCGUGUUGUGAUCAGAUUUGUUUGAAUUUGAAUGAGCUUAUUUAUAGUUGGAGCUGAAAAAACUAGCCGUUACAAACUGUUUGCCCGAAAACAGUUCGCCGUUAACCAUUAACGGUUAACCAUUUAGGCUGGUCAAAAGUUACCGUUGGGCCAAAUUUCAAAUAAACGGUUUGCCGUUUAGGAUUACCCUUUCGCUGUUAAAUUCCAGAGACCUGCAAGAUGAACAUCAGUUAUCCGUUUACAUUAAACGGUUAAGGAUUUGCAUGAAGUGACCUCUCUGGAUAUUAUCGGUUAACCGUUUGUAAUAAACGGUUCGCCGUUUGUUUCCAGUAACCUGCAAAACAAUUUAGCCUUAUCCGGUUUUGUUAAAUGGUGCCAGAAGAGUAUAACCUUCAAUUCUGGAUUUUAUCGUUUAACCGUUUAAAUAAACGGUUCAUCGUUAAAUUCCAGUAGCCUUCCCAGCUUUUUGUGUUUUCCAUUUUUCUUAAUCGGUUAGAGCUUAGGCAAUAUGUUGCUCUAUGUUUUUAAUCGAUUAACCAUUUGAAAGAAAACGGUUCACCGUUUAUUUCCAGAAUCACAUUUUAAACCAGAUUUUGCAGAGAAUCAUUUUUUAAUUUGAAAGACCAUCUUUUAUGAAUAUGAUUGGAAUGAUUAUAAGGCUUUCGUUUAUUAAGGGAUAGCUCCAACAUUUUAAUAAAAAACCAUUUAAAGUUUGUUAUCAUCAAAAUCAAUAUUAUUAACAUAUUCAUGUUAACAAUCUUCUUUUUCCUCCUGUUAGUUUUGUUUCUUCUUCUCCAUCAACAUCAAAAUUUGGUUUCAUCUUCUUGUAUAAUUAAAAGGCAAGCACCCCUUUGACUUGGAAUCAAAAAAUCGAAAUCAAUACAGGUGUUGUUCUUCAUUUUUUUGGGUUUUUUAGAACAAAAAAUAGGGGAAAUACACUUGGAAUAAUGGAGAGACCGGACGAAGUGACGAACCGGACUGGUGGUGUCUGUCGUGAUGAGCUGAAGAGAAAGAGGUGGUUGUCGGUAACGAUGCCAUUGAUGAGAGAGAGUGCCGAUGAAAUUGAGGGAAGGGAGAAGAUACAGUAGUUUCUGGUGCUGGAGAGAUGAGUUGACUGCAACAAAAGGCUGACUGCAGCAAAUGUUAUGUUAAAAAGAAAAGAGAAAGUAACGUGGGAGGUGGGGCCAAGAGAACACGCGCGAAGCGGCAGCACAAGCUGUCGUUUCUCUUAGGGUUCUCUCAGCUUUCCCGACGUUUAGCACUACUCGUAUACUGCUGUACGGCCAAGGCGGAUGUACGGUACAGCAGCCCUUUCAAAUUUUUGUCUGAAAUAUUUAUCAGAUCCGAUUUAUUUUAAAUCCGAUCGAUUGUAUUUGAGAUUCAGGUUGGAUUCGAAUGAUUUUUUUUCCUAAUCCAAACAAUUCAAAAUCCAAUCGCACUUAUCCAAAUCUAAAGUGCAAUAUUCAUCUCUUUUUCAUAUAUCCUUUGCUAAAUGAAAGUAAUCAUGAUGUCGGGCCCUUCUUUAAAAAAAUAAUAAAAAUCUUCAAUUUAUAUGCAACUCCUUUCUCAUUAUUACUCUUCUUUGUGUUCGACUAUUGUAGUGCUUUUUCUUCUGAGAUAAACUUUAUAGUCCCUAGUGUGAUUGUUUUUACCUUUUCUUUCUUGAAAGUGGAUAAAACAAAUUGAUCUUUGAUUGAUACUUGAUGAUGUCCUAUUUUCUUUUUAUUUUCAUAUUUCUUUUUUCUAACAUAUUGGGGUACGCAAUUGAAAUAGAGGUUCAUUUGUCACAACAGUCCACGCUAAUAUAGACUAUCAAGUUGUGACAGGAAUUAGUCCAUUUGUGCAGCCACAUGACAACAUUUAAAGUCGUCCCACUGCAAGCAAAUAAAAUUAGGUGCCACGGAUUUAAUGGGACAAUCAAUAAAAUUAUGUCCACUGUUUUUUAUUUACUCAUAGUUUAUAAUUAAGUUUUAGAAUAAAUAUGUGACUAGAUUUUAUUUGACAAAGAAAUUGCGUACACUCGUAUGCAACUGUGACAUCUAACUAUCUCUACCAUUUCCAAACCAGAACUUCUAUGUCAUGUUUAAAACACGAGCAAGGAAUUUUAAGUUGGAGAAAGACUUUAGGUAGAAUAGAGACACAAUAUAUGAAAAAGUAAAUGUAUGCGUUAUGAGAUUUUCGAAGACAAGCAUAUUUGUUGACUCGGUAGUUACAUCGAAGUCUUACUCUUCGAGUUAAGUCAACGGUGCAAAAUUCAUGGAAUCUGCAUUUAAUUGUCUGGCUAAUGGGUUCUCAAAUUGCAAAUGAAAGAUAAAAAGCUUUGGUUACACACACACACCCAAAAAGAGAAAAAAAAAUGCCGCCACUGGGCUAGAUACUGUUUAGGAAAUGAAAUAUGGUGACUAAGAUAAAGGUGUUUGCUCAUACAUUAUCGUGCUCUCCUCAAAGUAAAAGUGAGCAAAUGGUUGAGCAGAUCACCUCGACCAGGAUGUUGUUUGGUGACCUCGAGCACAUCACCUCGACCAGGAUGUUAUUGGUCACCUCGAGCCGAUCAUCUCGACCAGGAUGUUAUUGGUCACCUCGACCAGAAUAAUAUGUGGUGACCUCGAGCACAUCACCUCGACCAGGAUAUUAGUGCUCACCUCGACCAGAAUAAUAUGUGGUGACCUCGAGCACAUCACCUCAACCAGGAUGUUAUUGGUCAACUCGACCAGAAUAAUAUGUGGUGACCUCGAGCACAUUUUCUCGACUAGGAUGUUAUUGGUCACCUCGACUAGGAAGUUACCAGGAAGCACGAUUCAGUCAAAACAUUUUCUCCGAAAUAUUAGGGACCAUAUUCUUAGUGGGCUGAAAAUUAGUAAAAAUUAGUAGUUUUCUUGAGAAUUCUAGGGGAGAGGAUAAAAACCGCUAUAGUUUCCUAUAAAAACCCUAGGAAGGGGAAGGAAAAAAGGGAUUCUUCUAGCUCUCUCUCUCUCUCUAGGCAACUGAAUCCAUUGGACCUUUUUCUCUCUCUACCACUGGAAAAUUUCUCUUUCGCUUAGGAUUUUUUUAAGAUUAAUUAUUCUCAGUUAUUUUCCUUUAAAUUUACUUAAAAGCUUUUUUGUUUAAAGCAAUCAUAAUUAAUUCACAUGAAUUGUGGUAUGGAUUUUUCCAAGUAAGACCCAAAUCGCUGACUUGAGCAUCGGAGGGUUCUUGCCAGAAAAACUUUCGGCACUUUCUGACUGUUGGUUGUGCUCACAGGCUCACAGGUUAUCUGCUCAUGAGUUCUCUGCUCAUGGAUCGUCUGCUCAUGGAUCAUCUGCUCAUGAAUUGUCUGCUCAUGGGUUGUCUGCUCAUGGAUUGUCUGCUCAUGGGUUGUCUGCUCAUGGAUCGUCUAUCCAUAGAUUAUUUGCUCAUGGAUUGUCUGCUCAUAGAAUAUCUGCUCAUAGAAAUUCUGCUCAUGGUGUUAACUAAUCAGCAGCUUCCCACCAAACAAAUUUAAUGCUGAUGCAGGGAUUUGAGAUUCGAUCCACUCAUCCGGAUUUCGGCAUCAACAGAUACAAUUAGCUGAAAUGAGGAUAUUAAAAAGAACACGUGCUCUAUUUAAUUGGUAGAGUAUUAAUGGAGCUUGUGUAAUUGUACAUUUACUGUUUUUUAAGGUUAUUUUUCAUAUAGUAGAAAGAUCAUAAAAUGUUUUUAUUGAAUUACACUCAUUUAAUGUAUGUAUGAUAUAUAUGCGUAUGAAUUAAAUAUAAAUAUAGAUAAAGGACAGUGUAUGCCAGCAAGAAAACUUUUUCUCUAGAUUGAAAAUGAUUUAAAAGAACCAUUUUUCUCCCACUAAUAUCUUCAAAAUCAUUAUUGUUAAUAACAGAACCCAAAAAAUAAUUAAAUAAUCUCUUGUUUAAUAUGUUGCAUGCUUGCAGAAAAUUGCGGAUGAUUGAACCAAUAAUUCAACCUUUACUCCAUGAGCUUUAAACUAAUAAUCUGUCAUCAGUUAUUGUCUAAAUAAAGAAAUUUAUGAAUCGGUAUAAAAUGGGGUCCCAAAUCCUGACCUACAUUGAAAAUUAGGAUAUGAAAUUUGUAACAAAUCUUAUAUAGGGUUUGUAUCUCGAUUGUUAUCUGGAUAAUUUUGCCAGCCUAGGUUCACGUAUUAACAGUUAGAGCGGGAGAUCCCAAAAAAGGGUAUCUUGAAUUUAACCAAAUUCAUUAUAAGGAUAUAUGGACCCAUUUGAUUGCCUAAGGGAUCUCGAAUGAAAUUUUCAAACAUCUCAAAUCCUGCCUUGAUUAUUAAAUUGGAAGAAAACUAGAUCUUGAAUCUCAACUCGAAUAAUAAAUCAGAAUGAGAAAUUUUUAUCAAAUCUUGUAUCAUUUAGGACGGACUCCCAAAUUCCAAUCGAGAUUUGAGGAAUUUUGUAUUAGCAACUAGAGCCGAAGAUCCCAAAAAAUAUCUUGAAAUUAACCAAAUUCACUAUAAGGUAUGAACUCAUUUGAUUGCACCCUUAAAAAGUAUUACAGAUGACACCACACAAUCAUAUUAUUAAAACAAACCAAACCACACAUAUCCAGGCUUAGCAUGUAUAUAUAAGAGCACAAAAAAUAACUUCUUUCUCGUUAUAAAGGAGAACAGAAUCAGCUAGAAGCAGGGGAAUCAAAGUACAACAGAAAAUAAAAGAAAAAAAAUGAUACACAUUCAUUUGUUCAGCAAAAACCAAUGACUAUAAGGUGAGCAUGAGGCAUCAACCUUUAAAAUUGGACAGAAUAAGCUAAUUCCUUAAAAUUCACAUGCUAAUACUAUUUAUAAUUUCUAAGUCCAAAGUUUAAAAUAAUAGGUAGUAUUUGUUCAAAACAAGCAUUUAUAAUUAUUAUUCGGAUGAUUAUUUCAAGAAUCUAAGAUAAUAACAAUCCAGUAUUCAAGUUAUUUAUGAAUGAUUAGGGCUUAAAAUCUCCAUAAAAUUGGAGAUUCUGAAGAUUAGGCAAUAUGUCCCAGUUUCUAUUUCUUGUAUUUAGUCCUCUAAUGUAUCAACAAUCAAUGCUAGAAACCCAAUCCCCGAAAUUGAAUUAAAAAAAUAUAGAAAACAUAGAGCAAAUCAACAGUAGAUUCAGCAGCGAUGAUGCCUACAUCCAAACUUCUCUUCUAAUGGAAGUGAUGCAGAAUUCCCUUAAGAUAAUUAUGACCAUUAACAUGUAUUACACAUGGUACGACCAAACCACACACGUCCACACUGAACUGGAGUUUCAAGCACAUUACGAGAAUGAAGACACACGAAUAGAAUAUACACAGUGAAUCCAAAAACUUGACAUGAUUGCUUGUAGCAGAUCCUUGAAAACAAAGAAACCCAACAAUGUCCUGCAUCAAUCCUGAGGACUCAAUAAUGUGUAGACAACAGAAGUGAAUAUUGAAAGGAUCAAGGCCGGAUUCUAGUUGAAAUUGAAACUUUUGCUGCACUACAGUUGACAAAUUUCCCGGUCUGAUUUCACCUGCGCAAGUAAUUUAAGAUCUGAAAUUAUAGUUUUUCCUCACUGUUCAACGAUCAAUACACAAGGGUUCUGAAAUUAUAGUUUUUCCUGACUGUUCAACAAUCAAUACACAAGGGAAAAUGGUCGGGGUCAACUUCAGGAUCUGUGAUGAACACUUCAUCUCUAAUGUUGAGACAAAAAUUAGAAGCAACCACAAUUAGAAAACACUUUAUAGCAUUAGGAAGCUGCGUACUAUCAAAUAUAUUGAGGAAAAGAAAAAACAUAUGUAUGAAAUUAGAUUAAUAAUUAAAGGUUGAUGAUAUUGCAUAAAAUGAAAAACUUACAUCUAAUUAAAUCCAUGCGAAUCAAAUUCCAUAAGGAUAUACUUGAUUGUCAUACUGCGCCUUAUCCUCAAAGUCUCGUAGCUUUUGUCUCAGCUUCGGCUAAGGCCUCGAAUUUGUUUAAGCUCUUUAUGCACCAAAGCUAUUCAGGAAUCUUUUUCCAGUAAGCACAAGUAUUGAGAAUCAAGCAUUCUAGUUUUGGCCUGGCUCCAAGCCUCAUGGUCCACUCCUCUAGCCAUGGCAUUGAAUUCAGGUGCACUAUCUUGAGCUUUGGGAAACCAUCAGACCUACAAGUCAGCUAUCGACCUGAAUAUGAGUUUUGCUUCAGUUUGAGCACUUGAAGAAGUGGCAACUUUUCUAGUGUUCAAGUGCAGGCAUGGGAUCAUCCAUUUGUUCAGUAUUAGAGAAACUCAAGUGGAUUAGACUUUGACGAAGUAGGUAUUUGGCACAGACGAUUUUGGAGAGCCUUGGCAUCUUGCUUUCAUUCACCAUCUUCAAUGACUAGAUGCAUGAGUUUAUUCAUCUUCCAAAAUUCAUCUACAGUGUAUGAUCUAUUUAGCUAAAGGGCAUGGCUAUGGGGUACAGAUUCAGAGAUUUCUUAAUAAUGAUGAAGCCAGGCUUUUGAGGGAAGGGAUAUUCAGCUUCAAAUAUCAAAAGAAAUAAAGUUUCAAUUUUGGAUGGAAAUUGGCUGAGAACAAGAGAUCCCAAGUCCAUUACUCAACCGAUUUUCACCCAAUCUAUGGGGUCAAGGUGGUCGCUUUCUGAAGUACAACAAAGAAUGCAGGUGCGAGUCACAAUCAUCUAAGUAAGCAAAAUCACUCUGUUUUUAAAAAACGUACACACGUUUGACAUUUUUUCGCAAUUUACCUUUUUGAUCCAGGAUAGGGGAAAAGGUAAAUUUCGCUUUGAGAGCCAUUUGCAACAAUGAAGCCCAGCAACGACUACGAAUAGGGCAUGUGUUGAUUCUACCUCCAUCGCUUCUCUUCUUUGCAUCAACAAAGACUCUAUUCAUUAGUUGUUCCAAGUACUUCUCGGCAAUUGCCUCGCUAUUGUCUGGAAUGAAACCUUCAGAUAUCCACAACUGAUAUAACUGCCUGGUGGAUGUCUCUAGGUGUACAGGAAACAUAGAUAAGUAAGGAAAACAAAGUUUCAAGCAAAAAGGUAAACAACUCUCAAUGGUCCUCUAGUAGGCACUAAAUCAAGCCAAAUAUUCUGUCCACUUUUAAACUGAAAUGAGGUGACGAUAUGAAUUUCAGUGAGUGUUAUUAGUACUCCACUUCCAUUCUGAUUAUCCGGAAGUAUUUCUUGAAUAACAUCCCACACUUCAAUGCUUCACACAUCAUCAACCACAAUCAAAUACCGCUUGAUCAUUAGAUAUUCAUGAAGAAAUUUGUUUUCAUUUCAUAAUUUUUAUCCUUUAUUACACUCAACCUAGAUGAAGGCAUUAGAAACUUAAUAAUGAUAUCUAAUAUUUGGUCAUCAUCACCAUCAUAGCUGUAAGGCUUUGGAACCUAAGCGUGACAAUUAAAAUAAUGCUUCACAUCACUGCUGCAUUAAGCCUCUGCAGCAAAAGCCACAUUGCCCAACCCAACGCUAUCAAGAUGGCCACCACUGAAAGCUGAGGUGGCCCCUCUAUUAAUAUAUCUAACAACUCCUCCAUUUUGUCUUCUAGACCCACCGUGCCCCUAUGUCCUUGUUGAGUGAUGCUGUUGAGAAUGUGUCAAUGACCUUCUCAGAUUCAUAUGUAAAGCAAUUGAUUUCUGGUGCCAAGGUCUGGGUUGUCAAUUUCAUCUUCUCCUAUUUUUUUGCAGCAGAAGCUAGGACAUAUCAUAUUCAAAGUCCCUCAGCCAAGGAGUAACGAUUUCAACCUCGGCACAAAGGUUUUGAAUAGGUUGUUUUGCAGCAUCAGGCAAUGUGACUUCUUCGCUAGCUAACGUCCUUCUCAGCCUCUCUGAAAAUAGUCUGAAGUUGAUGCCCAUAUCUCCUCAAUCCAAAAAUUAGUGCUGGCUCCCAUGCCUCCCUUCUCUUAGCUAGUACUCCACCCAAGCAGUUGAAUCAAGAUUGCUGACUCUCAAAUUAGAACAGAUCAAGGCAGAGCAGUGCGGGAAAUGAAUCUCACGAUACUCAGUCUUCCAUAUGUUGCAAAAAGAAUAAAGCAAAGAGAAAUAACUACAACAUCAUCAAGUAUCAAUCAAGACCAAUUUGUUUUAUACAUCCACUGUCAAUAAAGAAAGGGUGAAAACAAUUCCACUGGGACCAUAAAGCUUAUCUAAAAAGAAAAGAACAGAGUAAGCACAAGAGCAUUAUCAAUUAUUUAACAAUUUAAGCUGUGGAAAAAUAGAAAAUCAUGCCUGCCACUUAUUAAAGAAGCAAUAACAUAGCAACGUCAUAAAAGCAAUGGAUACAAUCAUUGCUAUAUGUUGAAAUUAACUAACUUCACAAUCUGGACAUGAACUCAUUUGAUUGCAACCAUUAAGUAGACUUAUAGAUCACAUGACACAUGAUCUUAUAAAUGGACUAAACAUAACAAAACACACAUCUCCAUGUCCAGGCUUUGGUGGCUACAUAAUUACAAAACAGCAUGUAAGUAUAUAAAUACAGAAAAAAAUUAUAAGACACAAAAUUUGUUCACAAAGUAAGAAAUUACCUCUUGUUGAUGAGUCCAGAAAUGACCGAGGUGUAGUUUUAAUUGAGCUGACGAUCUUCCUCCACAUACAUCACCAUUUUUUCUUUUUUGGACGCAAUGAGACAUGACUUGGCAUCAUUGUCAUUGAAAUACACCAGAUAUUUCUAGAAUGCCUGCGAAUCUAAUUUAUUUCCAAACACACUUGAGAAUUGGGAUUGUCAAUAAAAGAUGAACAUUGAUCAUUGAUGUGUAGGUUUCAAGUAUUUUGUGUAUGAUGCGGAGAUAAAUUAGAACUCUACAUGACCAUCUGAAGAAUUUUUUCUCAAAUGAAUCUUUUGAGUUGGAAUUUAGACAGAUUCACUAUCUAAGUAUCUUGAAGCAGUGGAGAAUACAUAUGACAAAGGUUGAAGUAACUAAUUUUAUGAGCAGGAACUGAAAUGAUUUUGGCAUGAGAUUACAACAGGUGAUUAACAUAUAUGCUUCGUCUAAGGCAGCCUCAUUUUAAGUGUUAUUUCAUCAGGUCAACAAUCUUCAGGAGAAAAAUGAAUCAAGGGCAAUAAAGGAGGUGGUUGAUGCUAGUGAUUCCUGAGUGUAGCAGCAAAAAUAAAACUAAAUUGUAGAUUUGCUGUAGUCUUACAAUAGACUCACCCUGUCCUUGUCCUUGUCCUUGUCCUUCUUCUUAUACUGAUGAAUAUGAGGCCGAUGAUAUUUCUGUGAAUAAAGAAAAUGAUAAUAGAAAUGGAACCAUUGGGCAAAUGGUACUGCUGUACCGUACAUCCGCCUUGGCCGUACAGCAGCAUCAGUAUGAUAAAAACUGUAAAAAAAAAGGGCUUUCCUAGAGGUGUAAAUAUCAUGACCCUCACUAGAGAUACCAAGAAAGUCAGCUAGGUCCGCAUCAUCAAAUUCAAUAGGCACAUCGCCGACUUGAGUAACUAUCCUAUUUAGGCGAGUUGCGAAGAUUUCCAUGUUCGAAUAAAAGACUCGUACUAAGUUGGGAUAAACUCGGUCAUCAAAGUCAAUGGCAGACUCCCAAGGCUGAAGCAUAUCCCUAAUACUUCUACCACAUACAACUAAGGUACUGAAAUCAUCUAUUUCAACAUAAGAAGAGUCAAGUACCUUUCGACCAUUGAAGCGAUUCUCGAACCGCUUGGCCAAGGAAGGCAUGGCAAAACUUAAUUAAGGCAAAUGGGUAUUCAACCACGUUGAGUUUUAUUCAACGUGGGUAUUAAUGGAUGAAUGAUUUUGGUAGAAUUAAAGUUUUUUUUUUCCGUUUUUGUUUCAUUUGUCAACUCCAUUUAAUCAAUUAAUCUCAAUGGCUAUAAGGAUCAUUUUUAAUGCAAACGGGUAUUUCUUUGCUGCAAAAGACGGCUUUGGUGUGAUUGUAAGGAAUUGAGAGUGAGCAGCACAUCCUGCGUGCCAUCAACUUCUUUGCACUACAGGCACCCUCUGCAUGCUGUGAAGGGAAAAAUGUGAAAACCAUUGCAUGCUGUGGGGCUGCUAAUCAAUCAAUAGAGAAAGAAUUCAGUAAUCAAUUCUAGCAAAGCUUCCAAAACGUGCAGCACUAUAGAUUAAAUCUUCCACUUUCAGAACUUUACUCAUUAAUCUUCUGCUCCAAAUCACCAAUGAUUAGUGCUGGUUUUUUAUUUUACAAGGGCUUAAUCUCCAUAUAUCUGAAGACUAUGAAGAUUAGGCAAUAUGCCCCAAUUUCUUUUUGUUGUGUUUAAUCCUCUGACAGUACCAAGAUCAAACACCUUAGACCAUCUUUGAUUUGAUGUAUAAAGACUCGUUCUCCGAAAUCCAAACUAAAAAUUGAAUCAAAGUGCCUAAAUCCAGUGAAGACAAGGAUACAAGCUUUCAAGCUUUCACUAUUUCACAAAUCAAGGUUACCAGGAUGUAGAGCUUGUUACAGAGAACAAGAAUAUACAACUUUCUACUUUAACUCUCUCUCUCUCUCUCUCUCUCUCUCUCCAUAGCUUUGAUGAGAUCUGAGAAGAUGACCCAUCAACCAGCCUUAUAAACUAUGAUAAGGCCAUCUCUAACAAUCCCAGAAUUUUCCUGCACUUUUUUAACUAACCCCAACUGACUUUUGACCAGCAUUCUCGCCCUUAUAAUGACUGACACGUCGGUGAAAUUCCAAAAAACCGAACAACAAUGUCGUUCUGCCAGUGUUGAGAUGAUGAGAUGAGAUCAAAGCACAAAUACUUUUCUUCUAACUGAAGUACUAAGCUUGAAGUUGAACUGUACCGCUACUUAAAAACUAGAGAAAGAAAUAAAAUAAAAAUAAAAACAUAACAUAUAUCAAUUUGAAUGUUGACAAAUUGAAUACACACCAGUGAAACUGAAAAUAGAAAGUAAAACAAUUAAUCAGACUUUUGUACAAUAUAUUAAUCUGAACAUGACAUUAUUACUUUUAGCAUGCAAAUCCUUGACAAUUUGAAUGUUGACAAAUUGAAUACACACUAACUGAAGUACUAAGCUUGAAGUUGAACUGUACCGCUACUUAAAAACUAGAGAAAGAAAUAAAAUAAAAAUAAAAACAUAACAUAUAUCAAUUUGAAUGUUGACAAAUUGAAUACACACCAGUGAAACUGAAAAUAGAAAGUAAAACAAUUAAUCAGACUUUUGUACAAUAUAUUAAUCUGAACAUGACAUUAUUACUUUUAGCAUGCAAAUCCUUGAAAACAAAGAAACCAAACAACGUGUAGACAACUCAGCAGAAGUGAACACUGAAAGGAUGAAGGCUGGAUUCUGGUUGAAAUUGAAACUUUGGCUGCAGUACAGUUAAGAUAUUUUCCGCUGUGCUUUUACCUGCACAUACAACUGAUUGAAGAUCUUAUCAUACAGUUUUUAAUGAAUGGUGUCAGCAUCAGGAACUGUGAUGGACACUUCAAGUUUAUGUUGAGACAAAAAUUAGAAGCAACCACAAUUAGAAUGUAGAAAACACUUUAUAUUAUGAUUAUAGUUUAGGCAGCUGCAUACUAUCAAAUCUUUUGUGGAGAAAAAAAAAACUUUUAUAUGAAAUUAGAUCGAUAAUUAAAGGUUGAAGUUAUUGGGGAAGAAGAAAAAACUUACAUCAAACUCAAUCAGGGCUAAUCAAAUUCCGUAAGGAUAAAUCUGAACGCCAUACUGCUCCUUAUCCUUGAAUUCCCGUAGCUUUUGUCUCAGCUCUGGCUGAGGCCACCAGCAAUCGAAUUUGUUUAAGCUCUUUAUGCACCAGAGCUAUUCAGGAACCCUUUUUAAGUAAGCACAAGGGUUGAUAAGCACGCAUUCUAGUUUUGGCAUGGCCCCAGUCCCCAUAGUCCACUCCUCUAGCCAUAGCAUUGAUUUCAUGUGCAAUACCUUAAGCCUUGGAAAACCAUCAGAACCACAAGUCAGCUUUCUACCUGAAUACGAGUUUUGCUUCAGUUUGAGCACUUGAAGAAGCGGGAGCUUUUCUAGUGUCGGCAUGGGAUCAUCCAUUAGGUUAGUAUUAGAAAAACUCAAGUGGGUUAGACUAUGAGGAAAUAGGUAUUCAGCAAGGAUGAUUUUGGAGAGCCGUGGCAUCUUGCUUUCGUUCACCAACUUCAAUGACUCGAGGCAGCUCAAUCUGCAAAUACUUUGGGACAACAAAAAUUGAUAAUAACUUAAAUCUCCCCAUAUGCAGAGAUUUCGAAGACUAGGCAGUCUGCCCAAUAUAUCUUCAGUACAGCAGCAAGGAUGCAAGGCCGAAAUGAAAUUGACAUUUUCCAGAGAGCCGCAAUAUUUUCCUGGACGUGCAGGAAGUAUGAUUGAGCCAAAAUUUAGAUGCCUGAGUUUGUUCAUCUUCCAAAACUCAUCUGCUGUAUGAUCUAUGUCGCUAAAAAGCAUAUUGAGUGUGUACAUGUUCGAAAGAUAGUUGAAAAAUGAUGAAGGAAGGCUUUUCAGGGAAGGGAUAUUCAACUUCAAAUAUCUUAAAAGAGAUAAAUUUUCAAUAUUGGACGGAUAUUGGUUGAGAACAAGGGAUCCUAAGUCUAAUACUCUGAGAAGUUUGUACAUUUCACAAAUUUUCUGCCAAUCUAUGGGGUCAAAGUGGUCGCUUUCUGAAGUGAAGUACAACAAGGAAUGCAGGUGCGGGUAAUAAUCAUCUAAGUAAGCAAAAUCGCUCUGUUGUUCUAGAGCACAGAAACGUUUGACAUUUUUUCGUGAUUCACCUUUUGCAUCCAGGGUAGGGGAAAAGACAAAUUCAGCAUUCAAAGCCACUACAAGCAAUGAAGGCCAACAACGACUACGGAUAGAGCAUGUGUUGAUUGUGCCUCCAGCUCUUCUCUUCUUUACUUCAACAAAGCCUCUAUUGAUUAGUUGUUCUAAGUACUUCUCAGCAGUUGCCUCGCUGUUGUCUGGAAUGAAACCUUCAACUAUCCACAACUGAUAUAACUGCCUGGUGGAUAUCUCUAGGUGUGCGGGAAACACAGGUAAGUAAAGACAACAAAGUUUCAAAGGAAAAGGUAACAUGCAAUGUGCGACGGAUUGAAGGAAAAGGGGCUUAUCAAUUGCUUCCCUUUUAUUUUCUUCUAAUGAGAUGCUUCCAUGGUAUAGGAUGUGGAAAGGCCAUCCUUGGUAUGUCACUCGCAAUGGUCCUCCAGUUGGCACUAAAUCAAGCUGAAUAUUCUGUCAGUUUUCGAACUGAAAUAAGAUGACGAUAUCAAUUUUAGCGAGCGUUAUUAGUACUCUAUGUUGAUGCUGAAAUCUGCUCGCCCUUUGCCCGACAAGAUUUUUACACUAACGUUCACGUUAUCAAUAAUGAAGAUAUCAAUUCCUUCUUACUUCAACGAUUGCUCCAGCCACUGAAGUUGGAGUUGUCCCUUUUUUUCUCACUAAGCCUGCGUUCACAAAAGUGGAUCAGAGACACCGGUGGUUUUGCCGGCGCAAACCCUCUGAUGCCUAAGUUAGCUAAAGGUGUUUAUGGGAAAACGGUGCAAUUAGGGUUCAAAUAAUUUCUUAGAAUUAGCUCACUCUCGGUAUUAAAAAGCGUCUGGAUACAAUUUGGCAGAGUUUUCCCUUCUCUCAUUUUUUCUUCCCUUUUCUUCAUUGAUUUCUUCUUCUUUUAUAGCCGCUGUCCCACGUUCCUGUUUAGCCUUAAUCCCUCCUUUUUCGGGUGGUGGCAGCCCCUCAUGGGACUCUAACUGCUACAUUAUGGGCAAACGUGGGAUCUCGCGUCUCCCGCAACGGUUCUGGAAAAAGCGCAACUACCGUGAUUCUGUGGGAUCGUGUUCCCACUUUUUCGGGGGAUGGGUAUCGGCUCGGUAUAUACCUCUGGUCAGUAUACUCCCCUGGUUGGUACUCGUCUCUAGUCUGCUCAUAUUUGUCCCCGUGUUCUGCUCGUACCAUUUGGCUGAGAUGAUCCAUGCCGGGGCAGAAAUAGUAGCAUGGCCGACCUGAUGCUUUUAUUUACUUAACACCAGUCCCCCAGUUUAUGGUCUUGCAAGUGAAAUGAAUUAAGAAUAGAAACUGAUAGUCAAAUGUUACCAACCCGGGGGCUUCUCAUCUGGUCUUCUAUUUACCGGGACGGACCUGAGGUACCAUUUUUCUUCUGGGGAGGUUCCGACCUGAGCAUGGGCCUUAAUGAGCAUAUCCAUUGCAUAUCUGGGCUUGCAUCUAGCCUGGCCUCUUGUAACGGUUAGUGACGUGGCAUCUCCAGACUGUUCGUAUUUGAAAUUUGAAACGACGGGCUAUUCGUCCUCGAUAUACGGUAAGUGAGCUGGCAUCUUUAUCACUUAAAUGCUUUCAUUUCCUCCUUUUCGUUUCAAAUCCCUAGACUUACAUCAUCAUCGUUUUGUUAUUCGUCUCUCCGUCGUUAACCUACCCCCUCUUUGAACUUUACUUACACUUCCCGUGUUCGGAGUAUCUACUUGCUGGGUUUUUUCUCUGUCACGGCAGCGCUAUCAGGGCCAGUUCAUUCCAGGUAUUGCUUUUAAUCUCUUCCCUGGUUGUUGUUGAUUGGGUUCUGUGUUGCCCCCUUUUGUAUCCGUAUACUUGAGUUUUCUUUGUUUUCUUUUGGGAUUCUGAUAUGUCAAAUCGGAAAAGGAAGUUAAUUGUUGAUGAGAGUGAUGAAGAAACAGGGGAUUCAGACCUUAACGUGUCAAUACCCACCGAUUUCUUAGGUCCCUCCAGUAGUGUAGGUCCUUCCCAUGGCAGGGAUAUCCUUGAAUACCCACGCCCCCUGACCAUUUCGCCUUCCCCUGAAUUAGAGCUUGUGGGGAAUAGAGGUGGACCCACAUCCAGCUCUGGUGAAGAUCACAGUUAUGGUGGGGUUGGGGUCCCUGAAGAAGUGGGUGAUGGCGAGAGAAGCAGUUCCGAGCCGAGCGGACCCUCUAGGAAAAGGAACUUUGGCCACAUAGUGGAGGCAGAUUCUUACCCUAUUGAUUUCAUAGCUUGUGCCACCACCCCCACUGAUCUAUUAAAGCUUAGGAACCUCUACAACAUUCCUGAGGAGGUUCUCCUUGUAGUUCCUGGGAAAGGUGAUGUACCUAGUCGGCCUCCGAAGGGGUACGUGACGAUGCACUUGGAGAGUUUCAGACUAGGAGCUCGGCUGCCCCUUCAACGUUAUUUUGCCAAGAUAUUGGGUGGUAUGCACCUGGCCCCAGGUCAGCUACACCUAAACGGGUGGAGGGUUCUCUCGGCUAUGUUUGUGCUGUGGGAGAGGUGCGGGUCGGAGGAGCCUUCCCUUGUUGAAGUGAAGCAUCUGUACCAGCUGCGAAGCAGCCCAAAGGAGGCGGGCUGGUACUACUUCAUGUCCAGUUUUGCAAAGAGGAAACCGAUCACUGGGUUUCCUUCUUCAUGUAAGAAUUGGAAGAACAAAUUCUUCUUUGCUGGAGGAAACUGGUGUCCAGCAGUCCGGUCGCUUGGUGGGGAUAUUUACCUUCCAAUGCAUUUUAUCACCCCAGGUCGUUCAUUUUUGCCUAUAUUCUUAAUCAAAAUUGCUACUUAUUGAGUUCUUUAACCUUGUUUGUUUUUUUCAGAAUCUUGGGGUUUGGUUAAGGACCUUGAAGACCGACCCUUGCUCCAGGUUGAAACUACUCUGGUGAACGCGUCUACCUGCCAAGACCUGCUGUCACUAAUAAACUUGGUCGGUUCGGGCUUAGUGGACAUUGUUGCCUGGAUGGAUAACAAUAUCCUCAGUGCAAUGAGCAGAAAGCGUGGUCGGGCUCCGAGCAGCUCCAGCAACCCUCCUCCUCCUCCGAAGAAAGUCAGUGUUAGCCCUUCUAAGGCUUCUGUUCCUGCUCUGCCCCCUCCUCCACCUAGUAAGAGUGUCGGGGAGAAAACUAUUGACAAGAGUUCUGAGGUCAGUACACGCUCUGGGGACCGAUCCUCCCCUCUUCCAGCUCGUGAUCAGGGUGACUACCUGAUCCUGUAUCAGAGGGACUAUGGGAAGUCAGUGGGACCGAAGAUGGUCCAGGACAUUGAGAGCAUGAAUCUCAAUGAAUUAGUUGGUUCUGUCCAAAGGGUCUCCUUCAAGUUGGCCACUCUAGUAUCUUGUUACAAGAAUAGGAUCACGCGCCAAGAGAGGAAGCUCCAAGCUGAGAACCAGGACUUGAAGAAGAGGGUUGAGUCUGUUGAUCGCUCGAAGGAGAAGCUGGUCGAGCUGAACGGGUAGAUUAUGGAGCUAGAGGAGAAAGUUGCGGUUGCUGAGUCCACUUCCUCCAAACUUGAGGGUGAGUUGGGUGACCUGAAGUCUGAUCUUCAGGUUACUCAAAGUGAAAGAGAUACUCUGAGGACUGCCCUUGAGGGAGAAAUCAAAUCCUUGAGUGAGCAGCUGGCUGAGGAGAAAGGUAAAUCCGCUGACGUGGACGAUCGGCUGGAUGCCGAGUAUGACUCUGGGGUUGUUUUCUCCUAUAAGUGCAUCAUGUCUGUGCUUAAGGAAGAAUAUCCCGAGCUGGACAUGAGCAAGCUGGAGGCUGGAGUAUAUGGCAGAGAUCGGCCAGGCAGAUAAAGAGUAGGGUGAGCAGGAUCAAGUGGAGGCUCCUUUAGAUGGGGUGCAGGAGGGGGAAGUUGGGGGACAUGCUUUUGAAGUGGGACAAGGGUCCGUGCCUCCUCCUCCCGGUAUUGCUGAUCUUCCACCUCCAGAGAUAGCUGAUCCUUCACUUGCUAAAGCCGUUGACCCUCCUAAUCCUUAGGUCUAUUUUUGUAUAGACUCUAGAUUUUCAUUCGUUUUGUAAACAUUUAAAUGCUUAUAAAUUUUUAGAUGUUCUUUACUGGCUUUCUUGUCUGGUUUUUGCUCAUGGAUUGUUUCUGCAAAUUAAUUUGACAAUUUAUCUGAUUUUGCUUGUUGGUUCUUUAGUGGACCGAGUAGGAAUAUGCAUCCGCUUGCCUUAGUAAAUUUUUGCAAAAUUGCCUGUUGGUCGUUUGUUGACCGAUCAAGAGCAGGCACUUACUUGCCUUAGUAGAAUUUUCGUAAAAUUGGCUGCUGGUCUUUCGUUGAUCGAGCAUAAGCAGGCACUUACUUGCCUUUGUAAAAAUUUAUUGAAAUUGCCUGCUGGUCUUCGUUGAUCGAGCAGGAAUAGGCACUUGUUUGCCUUUGUGGAAAUUUCGUAAAAUCGCCUGCUGUUCUUUCGUGGGCCGAGCAGGACCAGGCACACACUUGCCUUGGUAAGAAUUUCAUAAAUUUAGCUGUUGGUCUUUCGUUGACUGAGCAGGAGCAGACACUUACUUGCCUUAGUAGAAUUUUCAUAAAUUUAGCUGCUGGUCUUUCAUUGACCGAGCAGAAGCAGACACUUACUUGCCUUAGUAGAAGUUUCGUAAAUUUAGCUGCUGGUCUUUUCGUUGACCGAGCAGAAGCAGGCACUUGCUUACCUUAGUAGAAUUUUCAUAAAUUUAACUGCUGGUCUUUCGUUGACCGAGUAGAAGCAGACACUUACUUGCCUUAGUAGAAUUUUCGUAAAUUUAGCUGCUGGUCUUUCGUUGACCGAGCAGAAGCAGACACUUACUUGCCUUGGUAGAAUUUUUUUUUAUUGGGUUUGCUAGCAGGGGGAUUUCGUGCUGAAUUCAUCUUUAUUGAAAUUUGAAUGCAUUACAGGAACACAGAAUAUAUGUAUGUGCAACAAGCCAUCAUGCAUUUAAUAGAAAUAACUUAUGAAGACUUAGUAGAGCACUUUGCUUACUGGAAAUACUUCUUCAAGUGCUCGGCGUUCCACAACCUCUUUACGUCUCGUCCAUCUGUGUACACUAACUUAUAAGCUCCUGGUCCAGUUGCUCGUAUCACCCUGUACGGGCCUUCCCAUUUCGGGCCAAGAGCGCCAUGGUUGGGAUCCCUGGUGUUUUGGUUCACCUUCCUAAGCACCCAAUCUCCUGGUCGGAACUGCCUCACGCGUACGUUCUUGUUGUAAUAACGCGUGACCCUUUGCUGACAUUGGGCCACUUUCUGCGAGGCCCCUUCCCUUUUCUCCUCCAGCAGGUGCAGGCUCAAGAAGAUCUGCUCGCCAUUUUGCUCCUCAUUGAAGUAUUCCGUCCGAUGUAUUCGUACUCCAAUUUCUGCUGGGACUACCGCCUCAUGACCAAAAGCUAAGGCAAAUGGGGUUUCCUCUGUAGCGGUUUUGUGAGUUGUCCGGUAAGCCCACAGUACCCCUGGUAGCUCGUCAACCUAAGCUCCCUUCUUCUCUCCCAGUCUAGUCUUCAGGAGUUUCUUUAUCACUUUGUUGGCUGCUUCCACUUUUCUGUUUGCCUGGGGGUGUGCGGGGGUGCAGAACUUCAGGUCCACCCCUAGGUUCCGGCAAAAUUCUCUGAAGUUGUUGUCAAAUUGCCUUCCAUUGUCGGUGAUGAUGGUAUAAGAGAUUCCGUAUCUGCAGAUGAUAUUCUUCCAAAUAAAAUCCGUUGUCUUUCUCUCCGUGAUUUGGCUAAGGACCCCCACUUCUAUCCACUUGGUGAAAUAGUCUAUUGCUACAAUUGCAUGGGUUGCCGCUCCUCGGCCUUUCAGUAACGGACCAAUCAGGUCGAUUCUCCAUUGAGCAAAAGGCCAUGGGGAUGUCAUAGUGGUGAGCUUUUCUGGGGGUUGUGCGGGAACCUCUGAGAAGCUUUGGCAGAUUUUGCAACUCUUUGCCAUCCUUUUCGCAUCCUGGUGCAUGGUCGGCCAAAAGUAUCCUUGCCGGAGUGCCUUGAAGGCUAAAGUUCUUUCUCCUGAAUGAUUUCCACAUAUUCCUUCAUGAAUCUCCCUUAGUACAUAGUCUGCCUCCUCAUCAUCCAAACAUCGCAAAAGGGACAAGGUGAAUUCUCGGCGAUAGAGCACCCUAUCGAGCAGUGCAUACCUCGCUGCUCGGCGUUUUAACUUUCUUGCUUGCCUUUUGUCCUCCGGUAAAAUGCCAUCGCGGAUGUAUGCGAGAAUCGAGUCCAUCCAAGAUUCUUCGAUGCUUAUUCUCAUUACCUCUACUUCCUCUCCUAUACUCGGCGAGGCCCUCAUCUUUAGUGGAACUGACUUAGGUAAUUUGGGAUCUACUGUUGCAGCCAUUCUUGCCAACAUGUCUGCUCGGUAAUUUUCAUUCCAGGAUAUCUGCUUCACCUCUACCUUUUUGAAGAGUUCAACCAUUUGUUUCGCCUUCUUCAAAUAAAGCCCCAAUUUCUCUUCCCUUACUUGGAAUUGAUCACUGAGCUGAUUACAUAUUAGCUGGGAAUCUGCUUGGAUUUCUACUCUUUCUGGGCUUCGGAUUAUAACUCCUGCUCUAGAUCCCUGUUCACUACGUGACCCAUCAACCAUUACCAGCCACACCCCCUUUGGAUCCUUCUGUUCCACUAGUUGUUCCUCCUGGACCUCUUCCCCUGGUUCAACACGGUCAACCAUAAAAUCAGCCAGGGCUUGGGCCUUGAUUGCUCCUCGGGGCCUAUAGGACAGGUCGAAUUCGCUCAGCUCCAUGGACCACUUUACUAACCGCCCUGAUGCAUCUGGUUUUUGGAGCAUUUUCCGGAGAGGUUGGUCGGUCAUCACAAUUAUCGGGUGGGCCUGAAAAUAUGAUCGCAGUUUUCGUGCUGCCGUUUUUAAAGCCAGUGCCCAUUUCUCCAUCAAUGGGUACCUAGUUUCUGCGUAUACCAGGGCUUUGCUAGUGUAAUACACAGGGUGUUGCUUCCUUUCUUUUUCUCGGACUAACACUGAGCUGGUGGCCCAUUUUGAGAUUGCCAAGUAUAAAAACAGUUGGUCACCUUCUCUCGGAGUUGAUAGUAAUGGGGCGUGAGCCAGAUAUUCCUUCAGCUGCCCAAACGCUUCCUCACAUUCUGAUGUCCACUCCAUCUUUCUCCCUUUCUUUAUGGUUUCGAAAAAAGGGUGGCAUUUAUCUGUGGCCCGCGAGAUGAAUCGGUUCAAUGCUGCCAAUUUCCCUGUAAGGCUCUGCACCUCCUUAACUGUUCGUGGGGACCUCAUUUCUGUUACCGCCCGUAUUUUUUCUGAGUUGGCCUCGAACCCUUGGUGGCUCACCAGGAACCCCAAAAAUUUGCCAGAGCUGACCCCAAAUGCACAUUUCUCCGGGUUUAGCUUCAUUCCAUACUUCCUCAGUAGUUCAAAGGUCUCUUCCAAAUGUUUCACGUGAUCACUCGGUUCUUUGGACUUUGUGAUCAUAUCAUCCACAUAUAUCUCCAUAGUAUGACCGAUCAAUUGCUUGAAGAUCUUGUUCACCAACCUUUGAUAGGUGGCUCCUGUAUUUUUCAGGCCAAAAGGCAUCACCCUGUAGCAAAACAAACCCAUGUUAGUUAUAAAGGUGGUGUUUUCCUCAUCCUGCUCGUCCAUGGGUAUCUGGUUGUAUCCCGAAAAGGCAUCCAUGAAGCUGAGCAGACUGUGACCCGCUGUUGAGUCCACCAAUUGAUCUAUCUUUGGUAGGGGAAAACUGUCAUUCGGACAUGCCUUAUUAAGAUCUGUGAAAUCCACACACAUCCUCCAUUUUCCGUUGGCCUUCUUUACCAGUACUACAUUGGAAAUCCACUCUGAGUACUUGGCCUCCCUUAUAAAUCCUGCUUUCAAUAGUUUCUCCACCUCGGCAUUUAUGGCCUCGUACCUUUCCUAGUUAAAGCAUCUUCUCUUCUGCUUCACCGGCCUCGCCUCAUUCUUGAUUGCCAACUUGUGGCAAGCUACCCCGCGAUCAAUUCCUGGCAUAUCCUCGUGAGACCAGGCGAAUAUAUCUGCAUGAGACUGUAGGCACUUUACCAGCUCGCCUCUUACUGUCCCAACCAAUCCUGAACUGAUCUUAACCACUCUGCUCGGGUUGCUUUUGCUUACCGCAACUUCUUCCAGUUUCUCAACGGGUUCUUGGCGGCCCUUUUUAGACUCUCCUCGGUUAUCUAGAGAAGUAACCUGUAGUGUCUCCUUGGCCGCUGUAGCAUAACAACUCCUUGCCAUUCUCUGGUCGCCUUUUACUACACCAACCACUCCAUUUACUCUGUAUUUCAGUGCCAGAUAAUGCGUAAAUACAACGCAUUGGCUUAUCCUCAUGAAGGGUCUCCCCAGUAUCAUCUGGUAAGGGCUUCUUUCCUCUACCACGACAAAGUCCAGCAUCAUCGUUCUUUCAAACGGCUUUGUCCCCACAGUAAUUGAGAGUUCGAUGAUCCCCAUGGGAGUUAACCGUCCCCCUCCAAAUCCCUUUAAGGAUGUAUUUGUCCGUUCUAAUUUCAAGUCUGCAAUUCCCAUAUCAUCUAGGGCCGACUUAAACAGGAUGUCAACCGAGCUGCCCGUGUCUACCAGUAUUCGUCCCAAUUCUGUACCAGCCACCAUUGCCUUAAUCACCAGUGCAUCCUCAUGAGGAUAUAAGAUACCCUCUUCAUCGUCAUCUGUCCAUAUAAUGGGAACUUGCCGCACUUUUGCCUUCUUGGUUGCUGGCAAAUUGAAAAGCACCUCUUUGCUAGUCAUGGCGUAUCUCCCAUAGUUCUUCCGUGCCUUGUUCGAAUCCCCAGCCAAUGUUGGCCCUCCUGCUAUCACACGGAUAGUCGGCUGUUCACAUUCCAGGCCCCUCUCAGCUCCUUCAUCCCGCGUGUACUGUGAUUCAAUGACGGAGGACACCCCAUCUACAUAUUUAUCCAAAUAACGGUUUCUCACCAAAUCCUCCACCUGGAUCUUUAAGUCACGACAUUGGCUGAUUGUGUGACCGUGAGUGUCGUGAAAUUUGCAAAAUCUGCUCUUAUCCCGUCGGUGAGCAGGUUUUGUUAUAGGGGUUGGAGGGUACAACAGGCCUCGUCCCUCGAUUCUCUCGUACAACUCCUCCAUAGGGACUUUUAACGGGGUGUAUUGUCUAUACGCUGAGCUCUGGUCAAUUAGCUGGACUACUCGGCUAUUAUGAAUAUUGUCCCAAGCGGAUAUUGAAGGUAGCUGACCUGAUCGUCCCGUUCUGGAGUUGGCCGUGUGUAGUGCUUUGGGAGCGUUGUGAUAAGGAUGGUUAGCCAACUGCCGGAAUUCUCGUUGCCGCUCCAGGAAUGGGGGGCGCGGGGGCUGAGCCCUGUUGCGGUCUCUGAGCCAUGGGGUAAGGGCGAGACCGAGCUGAUACCGCACCCAUCAUUGAGGAUUCCCCAGCUCGCUUUCCCGACUCGCUCCCACUUGGGGUUCUCUUUUCCUUUCGUCUCAGCUCCUCCAGCUGUUCACUCUUUAUCCUUGCCGAUUUUUCCUCUUCAAUUUCAAUGUCUCUCUUUGCCUGCUCAUACCUCGCUGAGUAAUUCUGCACCAGGAGACUUCUCAGGUUAUACCAUAGCCAGCCUAUCCUCACACCCUCCUUUAAUCCGCUUAACGCCUGCGGGUGAUUGAAAGCUCCCAAAUUAAACACGGCUCGGUGGUAUCGUUUUACAAAAUCUCGAAGGGAUUCUUGUUCCUCCUGCUUCAUCCCCAUUAGUUCCAUCAUAUCAUCCUCUGGGGCCAUUGCUCCUCGGAACUGUUCGACUAACUCUUGGCACAUCUGCUCGUACCCUCUAAUACUUCCUCGUGACAGCUUGCGGUACCAUUCUCGAGUUCGUCCCUCCAGUGUCAAUGGGAACACCCUACACCUCUGAGCUGGUGUUAACCCCUGAACACCCGUCAUGUCGUUGAAACGUUCAAUAUGCACCAGUGGAUCACUUCGCCCGGAGUAUUUGAGGUCGGGGAAGCGAAAAUCUCUUGGGAUUACAAUACCCAUGAUCUCAAUUGAUAGUGGAGAUUCUUCAUCUAGCAUUAUCCUCCAGCUCGGGGGCUUUCUCUUGCCUUGUAUCUCCUCUAUCACUUGCGCUAAUCUGCGCACCUCUCCCUCCAAUUCUACAGCACGGUCAGGAUCACGCGCAGCUAUCUGAUCUCGCUCCUACUCGGCAUUUUGCAACCCCUGUCUGAGCUCUCCUUCAUCAAUACUGGCCCCUCGGCCAUCAGUUUUCGGUACCCAUCUAGGGCGAGGUUGGUCCCUCCCUUCAUCUACUCGUUCUCCUGGAACCCGACUAGUGCUUCUGUGGGGAUGCACCCCAUUAGGUUGGUCUGCCGGCGGAGGGAUUUCCUCAACUCUACGCCUCCGGAGGCUGGGUUCUGCUCCAACAUCAUCUCUUCCUACGGGGGUUUCACAAUCCUUUCUCCGCUCAUCCCUCAGCUCAUACAGUAUGGUCGCGAGAGUCUCCAUUUGUUUCUUCAUCCGCUCCAAUCGAUCUUGCAUCAUCCUCUCCCGGGCUUCAUUUGUAAUUUCCCAGAGAGUGAUUGUCUCCACAGUUUCAUUAUCCUCCCUCAAAGCAUCCUUCCUCGGCACAUCCAUGUCUAAUCGUUCGUUGCUUCUCCGGUAACUACUAAUUCAGUGGUAGCUUUUUAUCCAGCUCCCCACAGACGGCACCAAAAUGUUGAUGCUGAAAUCUGCUCGCCCUUUGCCCGACAAGAUUUUUACACCAACGUUCACGUUAUCAAUAAUAAAGAUAUCAAUUCCUUCUUGCUUCAACGAUUGCUCCAGCCACUGAAGUUGGAGUUGUCCCUCUUUUUCUCACUAAGCCUGCGUUUACAAAAGUGGAUCAGAGACGCCGGUGGUUUUGCCAGCGCAAACCCUCCGAUGCCUAAGUUACCACAAGGUGUUUACGGGAAAACGGUGCAAUUAGGGUUCAAAUAAUUGCUUAGAAUUAGCUCACUCUCGGUAUUGAAAAGCGUCUGGAUACAAUUUCGCAGAGUUUUCCCUACUUUCCUUUUUUCUUCCCUUUUCUUCAUCGAUUUCUUCUUCUUUUAUAGCCGCUGUCCCACGUUCCCAUUUAGCCUUCAUCCCUCCUUUUUCGAGUGGUGGCAGCCCCUCAUAGGACUCUAACUGCUACAUUAUGGGCAAAAGUAGGAUCUCGCGUCUCCCGCAACGGUUCUGGAAAAAGCGCAACUACCGUGAUUCUGUGGGAUCGUGUUCCCGCUUUUUCGGGGGAUGGGUAUCGGCUCGGUAUAUACCUCUGGUCAGUAUACUCCCCUGGUUGGUACUCGUCUCUAGUCUGCUCAUAUUUGUCCCCGUGUUCUGCUCGUACCAUUUGGCUGAGGUGAUCCAUGCCGGGGCGGAAAUAAUAGCAUGGCCGACCUGGUGCUUUUAUUUACUUAACACUCUACUUCCAUUCUGAUUAUCCGGGAGUAUUUCUCGAAUAAUAUCCCACACUUCAAUGCUCCACACAUCAUCAAUCACAAUCAAAUACCGCUUGGUCAUUAGAUAUUCAUGAAGAAUAAUUUUUUUCAUUUCAUAAUUUUUAUCCUUUAUUUCACUCAACCUAGAUGAAGGCAUCAGAAACUUAAUAAUGAUAUCUAAUAUUUGGUCAGCAUAGCAGGUGUAAGGCUCUUGAACCCAAGCAUGACAAUCAAAAUAAUGCUUCAUAUAGUUGCUGCUGUAAGCCUCUGCGGCGAAAGCCGUCUUGUCCAAUCCAAUGCUAUCAAGUAUGGUCACUGCGGAAAGUUGAGGUGGUCCUUCUAUCAAUAGAUCUAACAACUCCUCCAUUCUAUCAUCUAGACCCACCGUGUCCCUACUUUUAGAAGAUGAAGAUAUACCGGCUUCAGCUUCAAAAGUUUUGAUGGCAUCAAUGAUUUCGGAAUCCGUGUGCUCAAGUUGUUGCAUCCGUUGCUUAAUAUCAGUGAUUCUGCUUUGGGGUCCUUGCAGAGCAUUACAAAUGUCCUUGCUGCCGCUGCUUUGACUCUUUUGUUCACUGAUGCUGUUGAUGAAUGUGUUAAUCACCUUCUCAGAUUCAUACGUAAAGCAAUUGAUUUCAUCCAUAAUGUUCCCGAGAUCAGGGUCAUCAAUUUCAACUUCUCCUAUUUUUUGCAUCAGAAGGCAGGAGAUAUCAUCUUCAAAUUCCCUCAGCCAAGAAGUAACGAUUUCAGUCUCGGCAUGAAGGUUCUGAAUAUGUUGUUUUGCAGCAUCAAGCAACGUGACUUCUUCACCAGCUAACACCCGUCCCAGCCUCUCGGAAAAUAGCAUGAAGUUGAUGUCCAUAUCUCCUCCUCUCUCGGUACCACCCUGUAAUCAGUCCUGUAGCAUGCAAAGAAAUAGUUAAAAACAGAGAGUUGGAAAGAAACUUUGCUUUAAACCUCCCCUACCUCCGUUCUCUUAGCUAGUACUCCAUUCAAGAAAUUGAAUUGAGAUUGUUGACUCUCAAAUUAGAACAGAUCAAGGCAGAGGACUACGGUAAAUGAAUCUUACAAUACACUGUUCUCCAUAUGUUGUAAAAAGAAUAAAGCAUAAGAGAAUAAAUAGGUCUUGAUCAAGGAUCAAUCAAGACCAAUAUGUAUUAUACAUCCACUUUCAAGAAAGAAAAGGUCAAAACAAUUCCACCGGGACCAUAAGGCCUAUUUGAAAAGAAAAGAACAGAGCAAGAUCUUUAGUAAUUUAAGCUGUGGAAAAAUGCAAAAUCACGUCUACCACUUACUGGCGUGCAAAAAGUUUUAUGUAUCCACUGAAACAUUUAUUGUUGAUGAAUGAAACUGGUCUUAGGUUGACCUACACAACUCUUUCUCUCGGUACUCCAGUAGUGCAAGCAUGUUAGUUUAGUCAGUAGUUUCUCCUACACAUAAAUGAUGUUUAUUAUAGAAUUUUGAUAAUGGGUACAAUAAGAAAGUAGUUGCAAAGAAAAUAUUGGGGGUUGAUGUGAUAUCUAUUGACUUGGAGCAUAAUAAAUAAUUACAAAAUCACUAUUUGUCUUUAAUUUUCAUCAUACUCCUUAUUAAAAAAUUAUUAUGAUUACAUAGUCAGUGAUUUAUAUUCACAGAAGACAAAAGUAAUGAAUAAAUAAGCUACCACUUGCAAUUAAUAAAAUGGUAACCCUAUCUGGUAAGGUAGCCCUGUUCAUUGAAAGCAAAAGCAACAGAAUCGUUCACUGUGCUGCCACAAAAUGAUUGUCAUGGAAGGCACCAAAGUUUCCAAGUAACAGACAAAGUCGAAGUAGUUAGCACUAUGAAGCGAGGCUGAAAAUCUUGUUCCUCACGUUAAAUAAUAUUUAAUAACGACCUACUGCUAAUCAUUGUGUUUGUUAAUCUCUGCCUUAUGCCUUAGCUUUAAUAGCAUCUCCAUGUAAUCCUCCCAACCCACUACACGGGAUCAGAGUAUUAGCCAAACAUGUACAUAGAUAACUACUCUCUGUUUCAAUAACUUGUAAUCUUAUCUUAUAUCUCUUUACCGUUAUCUUGUAAUUAUCAUAUAGGCUAUGGCUUAGCUUGUAUUUAUCUUAUAGGCUAUGACUUAUCUUAUAGUGUUUGGCUUAUCAUCCAAGUAUGCUUGACUUGUAUAAAUUGUAACGUUACUCAUUGAUAAAUUAUUGAUUCAUACAAUUUCUUUACAGAGUCAGGCAAGUAUGAAGUUCAUCAAUAAUCAAAUCUCUUCUGUAAAUGAACAAAGCAUAUUGAUUGAGUGCCUAACUGUAGCAACUGGAGUGCUUAAAACCAGAGAUACCUCAGUUGCUGCCCAAUAUCACAAUCCAAUCAAUCAAGAUGCUACCAAGAAUGAACUAAUUUGAAGCUCAAUUGAAAAUGGAAUUGAAACAAGAUAAUGAUGAAAGAACAAAAAGCAAUUAAGAUCAAAUUGAAUUAAAGAAUUGAAAGAACCAACAGAGGAAAAAUCAAUUCAACGUGGUUCAACUAAUUUGCAUUAGCUUGCAUCCAUGGGAGGAAAUUUUUGAUCAGUUUUUAUAGAAAAUACAUUAAUCCCACUUAAUCCAAGACUAGAAAGCAUCACAAACAUUCUUUAUUUUUAUACACAGUCAACUCUCUGCUGAAAUGAAAUCUCUUACUUAAUGAGUACACAGCUGAAACAAAGACAACUGGAAUUACUUUUCAAAUUUGAUACACUGCUAAUAAUAAUGACAAUAUUAAAAUGUGGCAUGUGUUGAUUCUGCUGCCUCAAAGCUUCACUUGAGCUAGCCCUUAAUCUACUGAUUCACCUCACACGAUUUUUGUAACUUGAUCUAAGAAUCAAGUAUGAGUUUGAUAAAUUUCAUGAGAUAGAUAGCAUAAAUUUCAAAGUCGUUAGUUAAUUUGUUAUGAGAUAUCAUAUCACAAACAUAUUUUAUUAGUUUAAAUGAAGCUUAAUAAUUAUUCAACGAGGAUUUAAUUAGUUAAUUGUUUAAAUUUAUUCUUAAUGGAAUGCUAACAAACCAAAUUAAAUUUCUACAUUUAUUUAAUUAUAUACAUGCAUAUCUUGAUAACUAUUUUAACGUGUGAUCCAAUAUAGAACAUAAUUUAAUCUUGAAUUUUGCUCUGAAUAUUUUUAUAGUUGAUUUGUUAUAAAUUUGAACGAGGGAUUGCAAUUACUUGCUCUUUUAUAAAUAUUUUUAUACCGUAGGCAAUAGUUAUAAAGAUUGAUUAUUGAUGAACUUCACACUUGCACACAAAAUUCUAUUAUUGAAAGUCGAUGCUUACUAUAACACGGCGUUUUUCUAGCUUUUACUAGACGUGGUUUCAAUUUAUUGAACCAUUAGAGGGACACAUCAGUAGUCACAAAAGUGCCCCUGUAAAUGGCAAUCCUUGUAAUCAUUUUGCUGCCGCUCUUCAUUCCACUCCCAAGUACGCAGCCCAAACUUCAACUUUCUUUGGGAAGGUAAUGAAGCGUGACUUUGUCUCAGUAAUCUGUCUUUCAUAUUCCAUUGAAUGAGCCAAAGGAGGGAUGCUUCUAUAAUUAGUAGCAACUAUCAAUCAUAUUGAAGGAAUUUCUGCAACAGAUAAAGAAAGAAUAUCAGAGAACAAAGCUGUUAAUCAAUCAACACAUGUACAGCAGUAUUAGUAUUUCUGCCUCAUUGUAUUGCCUAAGCGGGUAUUAGGAUUUCUCCACAAGAACGUUUACUAAGACAUUCAGCCAAGUGUGAAGUUCAUCAAUAAUUAAUCUUUUCUGGAAAUAAACGGAACCUAUUGAGUGUCAGACUUGCCCAUCCUUUGAAACAGGAUUUCAGAGCAAGCAACAGAACAAAGACAGAAAAUACAUUCAACUCAACCCAAACACUAGCAAGCAUCACAAAUAGUAAUUAUUUUUUGUACACAAUUAACGAAACCAUGGCCGAAGCACAAAUCAAUGAACUAUCAACUGAAAAGCCAAAACAAAACUUCUUAUUUAUGAAUAGACAGCGGAAACAAAGAAACCAAAAAAAGUCCACCACCGUAGGAUCAGGACUUAUUUGUGUAGACAGCAAAUGUGAAGACGGAAAGGUUCUGGUUGAAAUUGAAGCUCGGGCUACAGUCAUGAUGUUUUCUUGUCAUGACCCAACCCGUCUUGCCAAUUAAGGUGUGGAUCACCCCUUAUAAACCCAACAUCGCUCCCGUGCUUUGCCGAUGUGGGAUUUGCCUAGGGUGUUACAUACACCUCCCCUUGGGGACUCAGCGUCCUCGCUGAGGUUUGCCCCACCAUCGCUUGAGAGGACAUGCGGAGCCGCUUUGAUACCAUAAUGUCAAGACCCAACCCAGACCUGGCAAGAUAUUGUCCGCUUUGGGCCUUAACAAGGCCUGCACAGAUUUGUUCUUGGGGCGCUCACACACCCCAAAACGCGUCUUGCCAAUUAAUGUGUGGAUCACCCCUUAUAAACCCAGUAUCUCUCCCGUGCUUUGUCGAUGUGGGAUUCGCCUAGGGUGUUACAUACACACCCCCUUGGGGACUCAGCGUCCUCGCCGAGGUUUGCCCCACCAUCGCUCAAGAGUACACGUGGAGCCGCUCUGAUACCAUAAUGUCAAGACCCAACCCAGACCUGGCAAGAUAUUGUCCGCUUUGGGACAAGUGGACACGCGAAGCCACUCUGAUACCAUAAUGUCAAGACCCAACCCAGACAUGGCAAGAUAUUGUUCGCUUUGGGCCUUAACAAGGCCCGCACGGAUUUGUUCUUGGGGUGUAUGGGCGUAAAGCGGACAAUAUCUUGCCAGGUCUGGGUUGGGUCUUGACAUUUUUGCUCUAAUUUCACCUACACAAGUCAUUGAAGAAAUUGUGAAAAAUAAGAAAUCUAAAUUUUUUUUUCUUAACUACUAAAACAAAUGAACAUCGAUGUAUUGAAGAGGGUUGAUGAUUGGGGUGAGCAUUAGAAACUCUAAAGGGUAUUUAAUGUUGAGGCAAAUUAGAAGAAAACAAUUUGUAUAACCAUUUUUGUAUUGAAGAAAAGGGGAAAAAAUAUAUGAAAUUGGAUAAAUAAUUAAAAUUUGAAGAAAUUGUGUAAAAUGAGAAACAUACAUCAAGUUCAAUAGGGGCUAAUCAAAUUCCGUAAGGAUAGCCACUCGGCCAAAGGCCGAGUGGUUAGAGUUGCUGCCCUCCAAGUUGGAGGGCAGCAGUUCGAACCCCCACAAAUGCAUUGUGGGGGUAUUUCCUUCCUUCAUUAAAAAUUGAGUGAAGGUAGUCUUCCUUCUUACCCAAGAGUGAGGAGUAGACAUUCCUCGAAUAUUUGUGAGGGUUAAAAUUUGGGUAGAGCUCCAUUAGCAUUGAUGUAAGUUGGUCCCAGUAAUAGUCUGAUUUAUAAAUAUCAGUUAUAACCUCAUGUAAUAUGAGUUGUAGUUUGAGCAAUAGUCUCAUGUAAUAAAAAAAAAUUCCAUAAGGAUAUAGUUGAAUGCCACACUGUUCCUUAUCCUCAAAUUCCCGUAGCUUUUGUCUCAGCUCUGGUUGAGGCCACCAGCAAUCGAACUUGUUUAAGCUCUUUAUGCACCAGAGAUGUUCAGGCAUCUUUUUCAAGUAAGCACAAGGGUUGAUAAUCAAGCAUUCUAGUUUUGGCAUGGCUGCAUUCCCCAUAGUCCAGAAGUCAGCUUUCUGUAUGAAUACGAGUUUUGCUUCAGUUUGAGCACUUGAAGAAGCGGCAACGUUUCUAGCACCGGCAUGGGAUCAUCCAUUCGGUCAGUAUUAGAAAAACUCAAGUGGGUUAGACUAUGAGGAAAUAGGUAUUCAGCAAGGACGAUUUUGGAGAGCCAUGGCAUCUUGCUUUCAUUCGCCAGCUUCAAUGACUUGAGACAGCUCAAUCUGCAGAGACUUUGAGACAGCAAAGAUUGAUCAUAACUUAAAUCUCCCCGCAUUCAGAGAUUUUGAAGAUUAAGUAGCCUGCCUAAUAUAUCUUCAAUACAGCAGCAAAUGUGCAAGGCUGAAAUGAAAUUUAGAUUUUCCAGAGAGCCACAGUAUUUUCCUGGAUGCGCAGGAAGUGUGAUUGACCCAAAAUUUAGAUGUCUGAGUUUUUUCAUCUUCCAAAAUUCAUCUACCGUAUGAUCUAUAUAGCUAAAGGGCAUGUCUAGGGUGUAGAGGUUCAGAAGAUUGCUUAAUAAUGAGGAAGACAGGCUUUUGAGGGAAGGGAUAUUCAACUUCAAAUAUCUCAAAAGAAAUAAAUUUUCAAUUCCGGAUGGAUACUAGAUGAGAACAAGAGAUUCCAAGUCCAACACUCUGAGAAGUUUGAACAUUCCACAAAUUUUCUCCCAAUCUAUGGGGUCAAUGUGGCGGCUUUCUGGAGAGCAGCACAAGAAAGAAUGCAGUUGCGAGUCAUAAUCAUCUAAGCAAGCAAAAUCACUCUGUUGUUCUAAAGUGUAGAAACGUUUGACAUUUUUUUAUGAUUUACCUUCUAUAUCCAUGAAAGGGGAAAAGAUAAAUUCCACCUUGGAAGCCACUCCUAACAAUACAGGACGGCAACGACCGGGAAUAGAGCAUGUGUUGAUUGUGCCUCCAGCUCUUCUCUUAUUUGCUUCGACAAAGCCUCUGUUGAUUAGUUGCUCUAAGUACUUCUUAGCAGUUGCCUCAUUAUUGUCUUCAAUGAAACCUUCAGCUAUCCACAGUUGAUAUACAUGCCUGGUGGAUAUCUCUAAGUGUGCGGGAAACACUGAGAAGUAGAGAAAACAAGGUUUCAAGCAAAAAGGUGACAUACAAUAUAUGAUACAUUGAAGCCCAAGGGACAUGGUCAAUACUUUGUCUAUAUUUUCUUCCAAUGAGAUGCUUCCAUGAUACAAGAUGUGGAAAGGCCAUCCUUGGUAUGUAGCUCUCAAUAGUCCUCCAGUGGGCACAAAAUCAAGCCCAAUGUUCUCUCCGUUUUCGAACUGAAAUGAGGUGACAAUCUUAAUUUGAGCGAGUGUUAUUAAUACUCUACUUCCAUUCUGAUUAUCGGGAAGUAUUUUUCGAAUAACAUCCCAUGCUGAUAUUCUCCACACAUGAUAAAAAAAUAAUCAAAUACCGCUUGGUCAUUAGAUAUUCACGAGGAAUAUUUUUUUUAUUUCAUAAUUUUUAUCCUUCAUUUCACUCAGUCUAGAUGAAGGCAUUAGAAACUUAAUAAUGAUAUCUAAUAUUCGGUGAGCAUCAUAGCUGUGAGGCUCUGGAACCCAAGCGUGACAAUCAAAAUAAUGCUUCACAUAGUUGCUGCUGUAAGCUUCUGCGACGAAAGCCGUCUUGUCCAAUCCAAUGCUAUCAAGUAUGGCCACUGCUAAAAGUUGAUGUGGUCCUUCUAUCAAUAGAUCUAACAAAUCCUCCAUUCUAUCAUCUAGACCCACCGUGUCCCUAUUCUUAGACGAUGAAGAUGCAAGAAAAUUACCGGCUUCAGCUUCAAUUGAUUUGACUUCAUCAAUGAUUCCGGAAUCGAAGUGCUGAACUUGUUGCAUCCGUUGUUUUAUAUCAAUGAUUUUGCUUUGGAGUCCUAGCAGAGCAUCACAAAUGUCCUUGCUACGCCUGCUUUGUCUCUUCUGUUGAGUAAUGCUGUUGAUGAAUGUGUCAAUGAACUUCUCAGAUUCAUAAGUAAAGCAAUUGAUUUCAUCCAUAACGGUCCCAAGAUCUGGGUUGUCAAUUUCAACUUCUCCUAUUUUUUGCAUCAAAAGGCAAGAGAUAUCAUCUUCAAAUUCACUCAGCCAAGAAGUAACGAUUUCAACCUCCGCAUGAAGGUUCUGAAUAGGUUGUUUUGCAGCAUCAGGCAACGUGACUUCUUCACCAGCUAACACCCGUCCCAGCCUCUCGGAAAAUAGUCUGAAGUUGAUGUCCAUAUCUCCUCCUCUCUCUGUGCCUAGUGGUCCUAACAUGCAAAUUGAGACAUAAUUGAGAGAGACAAUGAUUAAAAGAUUAAAAAAAUAAUAAUAAGAAAUUUCCAUGUCUCUCAAUUCAAACAUUAACUAGCAUUAAUUGUUGAUGAAACUCUACUCAGAACCCUAUGCCUGAUACCUCCUUCUCUAAUUAAUCCUGCCGAGUGUUGCCAUUCAAAAAGUUAAAUCAAGAUUGCUGACAGUCAAAUUACAAGAGAUGAAAGGCAGAGUGCCGGAAAUGAAUCUUAUAUCCUCAUGUUGAGUAUGCAUUCUCAAACCAAGAUUGUUGACUAAUCGUUACGUAAAACGAAUAGAAAGAAAAUUUUUAUAAAAUGCAAAUUAGCUUGGAAAGAUUCUACCUAGAAACCAUCAUGUGACAAAUUAAUCUCUUUCUUAACGCAUUUCUAAAUGUAACAUAAUAAAUUUCGUCCUGGAAAUGAGCAAGAUUGUGCUUGUACUCAAAAUAAGCAAGCUUUCAAUCUUUUUUUUUUUUAAUUUCCCCCUUUUUAUUUGAUUUGUGAUCAUAUGAAACGUGUGAGGAAAAACAUAACUUGUAAACAAGAAUCAAACACAAAUAAAUCAUGAACCUCACAUUCAUGAUAUAAAAAUAAUAAAAUGGAGUUAUUUUGUGGAUAAUUCAGAUAUUAAACUACCUGUUUUUUCUUAAAGUGAUCACAAACUUCAAUAUCCUGACGAUAUAUAUCUUAUUUUGAUUAAAAACAACACAAUCAAAUUAUUACAUAGAAAGAAUAUGAAAAGGAAUGCUGAAUUUUAUUCAAAUUGGGUAUUGAUAGAUGAAUGAUUUGUUAGAAUUGAAAAUGAUCGUGCAUGUGAAAGAAAAAUAAGUUCAGAGAAAAAUAAAAGAUCAAGAUUAGUUAAACUUUACUUGUAAGUAAAGGAAAAAUCUUGGUUCAAGUAAAGAAAGAGAUACCAAACUCACAAAAUGGAAAAGGAGAAAGGUUAAACAAAGACUUAGUUCAAAGAAAAGAACAUGAUGCUGAUGUCCUGUAAUCUUUUUUUUGUUUAUUAAUUUUCAUUUUUCUUCUUCCAAUUUUUGUUUUUCCAAUCCAAAAAAUGAAAGCAAUAUGCAUUUGCUAACUGGGAAAAAAGUCAUUUGUCUCAAAAUAAAAUGACAAUAUAUCAUGAUUACAAGAUGUCUUGGACAUUCUUAAGAUAGCAAAAUCAAUAAACUCAACAUUAUGUUACUGGCUAAAGAGUGGUAAGAAUCCAAUGACAACCAAAGCAGAAGGAUCAAUUUGAAUACAAAAGGGAAUUCCUCUGCUGCAAACAAGGGCUUUGAUGUGACUGUAAGGAAUUGAGUGAGCAGCAGCACAUCCUCUCGCCAUCAACUUCAUUGCACUGCAUUACAAGGCACCCUCUGGAUGCUGGAAGGGAAAAUGUGAAAACGAUUAUAGCUGCUCUUUAUUCUUUUAGUGCAAUUGGGCUGCUAAUCAACCAAUAGAGAAAGAAUUCAGUCAUCAAUUCUAACGAAGCUUCCAAAAUCUGCAACGCUACAGAUUAAAUUUUAAAUCUUCCACUUUCAGAACUUCACUCGUUAAAUCUCCUCUUCAAUUCUACCUAGUCCUUACUAGAUCCCUAAAGUCACCAAGGAUUAGUGAUGGUUUUUUAUUUUACAAGGGCUGUUGGACAACCCAGAUUGACGAGGGCUAAAAUCUCCAUAUAUUUGGAGUCUAUGAAGAUUAGACAAUAUGCCACAGUUUCUUUUUUGUUGUGUUUAAUCCUCUGUUAGUACCAAGAUCACACACCUAAGACCCUCUUUGACGUAUCAAGAAUCAUUCCGGAAACCGAAACUCAAAAUUGAAUCAAAGUGCCUACAUCCACUGAAGAACAAGGACCAUUUCACAAUCAUUCCAAGAAUAUGCAACUUUUUCUCUUUAACUCUUUCUCUUUCUAUGGCUUUGAUGAGACCUGUGAAGAUGACCCAACAACCAGCGUUAUAAACUACAAUAAAGGUUAUUUCCAACAAACCCGAAAUUUCCAUGCUCUAUUUUAACGAACCCCAACUGACUUUUGACCAGCAUUGUCGCCCUUACAUUGGACGACACGUCGGCGAAAUUCUAAAAAACCGAAUGACAAUAUCGUUCUGUCAGUUUUAAGAUAAUGAGGUGUGAUCACAGCACAAAUAUUUUUCGUUUAACUAAAGUAAUGAGAUUGAACUGUACCACUACUAAAAAACUAGAAAAAUAAAAUAAAAUAAAAAACAAUAACAUAUAUGCAACUUCAAUGUUGACAAAUUGAAUACACACCAGUGAAUGGGAAAAUAGAAAGUAAAACAAUCAAUAAAACUUUUGUACAAAUUACUAAUCCGUGAAAACAAAGAAACCAUACAAUUCUUAUCAAAAAAAAAAAAAAGAAACCACACAAUUUCAGUGAAGGCUGGAUUCUUAUUGAAAUUGAAACUUUGGCUGCAGUACAGUUAAGAUAUUUUCCGCUCUGCUUUGACCUACACAUACAAGUAAUUGCAUAUCUUAUUUUACAGUUUUUCUUGAUUAUUUCAACAACCAAUACAUAAGGGUUCUGCCUCUUCUAUUAAUAAGCGAUUAAUGAUUAGUGUCAGUAUCAGGGAAUGUGAUGGACACUUCCAAGUCUUUGUUGAGACAAAAAUUAGAUUGAAAACACUUUAUGGUAUCAUUAUUAUUUAGGCUGCUGCGUACUAUCGAAUCAAUCAUAGAGAAUAGAUGUUUACCUGAAAUUAGAUAAAUAAUUAGAGGUUGAAGUUAUUGGAUAAAAAGGAAAAAAAACUUACAUCAAAUUCGAUCCACGCUAAUCAAAUUCCAUAUGGAUAUAGCUGAAUGCCAUACUGCUCCUUAUCCUCGAAUUCCCGUAGCUGUUGUCUUAGCUCCGGCUCAGGCCACUACAACUCCAAUUUGUUUAAGCUCUUUAGGCACUAAAGCUGUUCAGGAAUCGUUUUCAAGUGAGCACAAGGGUUGAUGAUUAAGAAUUCUAGUUUCGGCAUGGCUCUAAUCCCCAUAGUCCAUUCCUCUAGCCAUAACAUUGACUUAAGGUGCAGCACCUUGAGUUUUGGAAAGCCAUCAGAGCUACAAGCCAACUAUCUACCUGAAUACGAGUUUUGCUUUAGUUUGAGCACCUGAAGAACCGCCAGCCUUUUCUAGUGCCGGCAUGGGAUCAUCCAUUAGCUCAAUAUUUGAAAAACUCAAGUGGGCUAGACUUGGAGGAAAUUUGUAACGCCACAAAUUUCCAUAAUAUUAAAUUAUGGAAAUUGGGCUUUCAUUGAUAAUUAUGGGUGGCCUAUAACCCUUAUUAAAAAAGGGAUACUAAAUUAUAAAUAGAGGUUAUUUAUGAGAUAGUUUUGAAAAAGGGUUAUUUUUCCUUAUUAAAUAGGGUUUCUUAAGAUUCCCUAUAAAUUCAUACUUUUCCUCUUCCAUAACCCUUAGUCCACGACGUUUAUUCUUCUUCUCUGCUGCUCUUUACGCUCCUACCCAAAUCCUAGGAUUCAAACCUUUGUUUAGGACAGAAUCAAAGCAACGGGUAAGUUAUUCUCCUUAUUCUCAACAGAUUUCUAAUCACUCUAUCUAGGGUUUAUAUUGGCACGAUUNNNNNNNNNNNNNNNNNNNNNNNNNNNNNNNNNNNNNNNNNNNNNNNNNNNNNNNNNNNNNNNNNNNNNNNNNNNNNNNNNNNNNNNNNNNNNNNNNNNNNNNNNNNNNNNNNNNNNNNNNNNNNNNNNNNNNNNNNNNNNNNNNNNNNNNNNNNNNNNNNNNNNNNNNNNNNNNNNNNNNNNNNNNNNNNNNNNNNNNNNNNNNNNNNNNNNNNNNNNNNNNNNNNNNNNNNNNNNNNNNNNNNNNNNNNNNNNNNNNNNNNNNNNNNNNNNNNNNNNNNNNNNNNNNNNNNNNNNNNNNNNNNNNNNNNNNNNNNNNNNNNNNNNNNNNNNNNNNNNNNNNNNNNNNNNNNNNNNNNNNNNNNNNNNNNNNNNNNNNNNNNNNNNNNNNNNNNNNNNNNNNNNNNNNNNNNNNNNNNNNNNNNNNNNNNNNNNNNNNNNNNNNNNNNNNNNNNNNNNNNNNNNNNNNNNNNNNNNNNNNNNNNNNNNNNNNNNNNNNNNNNNNNNNNNNNNNNNNNNNNNNNNNNNNNNNNNNNNNNNNNNNUGGUUUAGAUUAUGUGAAAACAGUUUCGAAUUUGCUGAGAAGUAAAUAGUUUUUAAAAUGUUUUUGAUAUCGGAUUCUCUUGUAAAUUUUACAUGGGGUACUCAUGGAUGUCCAGAAUAGUUCCAUAGAAUAUUAUAUCAUUCUGAGUUUUAGAUUAAGAGUUAAAAUUCUGAGAAUCAGACCUAUACAGAUAUGAAUUAGAAAAUCAGAUUCUUAGAAUAAGUUAUUAGUUAUCAUAUAUUGUAUUUGUUUAAGGUAUUGAAGGUGACUGAGGCUCUUAGAAGCUUAGAGGUGUGUUAAUUCAAAUUCAUUUGUCGAGGUAAGUAACUUCAUUCCUAAUGUACUGGAUAUGUAUAAGUAUUUUGAUAUUAUUAUUAUAAGUAUAAAUGUUUUGAUACUACUUAAAGGAUUACUAAUUUUGAUAACAAAAUUAGCUUUAUGUAAAUGUUUUCAAACCAUUCUUUUUAACAAAGUAUUUUAUAAAUGCUUUUUAAUAUGUAAAUGAUUUUAUGACAUGACAACCUUUUAUGAUUUUAUUUUUAAAAUGUUAUGCAAGCCUAAAUUAUUGAUAUGAACUUUUAUGAAACUGAUACGAAUGUUUUGUACCUAUGUUUGAUUUCAAUUAUUGAUGAUUGUAUGAGAUUCUUAAUGUUUUGGCUCAUUGUCCAUAGUUAUUCUGAUUCUGAUUCUGAUUCUGAUUGUAAUAUACGAUAAAAUUUUGGAGAAACAAAAUUUCAUGAUAUACCAAAUUUUAUUUUGAUUCACACCAUCUUACCAUCCACCUUAUGAAUAACACAUCAUUUAAAAAAAAUUAGGAUAAAAUAACUCGGGAUAAAAAAAGCAGAAUAACAUUUGAGAUGUCUAGUUUUUAAUUAAGUCUGUGUAUGUGUAUGCUGAAGAAAAAAAUUAUGAUCAGAAUCAGAAUUGGAUGUUCGAGCUGUGGUUUCGGUAAUGGGGUGAAUUGGCAUUUUGAUAACAAAAAAAUUAGGUUUCUUUUAAUACAAUUUUACAAAUUUUGUUUAAUCUAAAUCAAACAUAGGUACAAAACAUUCGUACCAGUUUCAUAAAAGUUCAUAUCAAUAAUUUAGGCUUGCAUAACAUUUUAAAAAUAAAAUCAUAAAAGGUUGUCAUGUCAUAAAAUCAUUUACAUAUUAAAAAGCAUUUAUAAAAUACUUUGUUAAAAAGAAUUUAGGUUUGAAAACAUUUACAUAAAACUAAUUUUGUUAUCAAAAUCAAUUAAUCCUUUAAGUAGUAUAAAAACAUUUAUACUUAUAAUAAUAAUAUCAAAAUACUUAUACAUAUCCAGUACAUUAGGAAUGAAGUUACUUACCUCGACAAAUGAAUUUGAAUUAACACACCUCUAAGNNNNNNNNNNNNNNNNNNNNNNNNNNNNNNNNNNNNNNNNNNNNNNNNNNNNNNNNNNNNNNNNNNNNNNNNNNNNNNNNNNNNNNNNNNNNNNNNNNNNNNNNNNNNNNNNNNNNNNNNNNNNNNNNNNNNNNNNNNNNNNNNNNNNNNNNNNNNNNNNNNNNNNNNNNNNNNNNNNNNNNNNNNNNNNNNNNNNNNNNNNNNNNNNNNNNNNNNNNNNNNNNNNNNNNNNNNNNNNNNNNNNNNNNNNNNNNNNNNNNNNNNNNNNNNNNNNNNNNNNNNNNNNNNNNNNNNNNNNNNNNNNNNNNNNNNNNNNNNNNNNNNNNNNNNNNNNNNNNNNNNNNNNNNNNNNNNNNNNNNNNNNNNNNNNNNNNNNNNNNNNNNNNNNNNNNNNNNNNNNNNNNNNNNNNNNNNNNNNNNNNNNNNNNNNNNNNNNNNNNNNNNNNNNNNNNNNNNNNNNNNNNNNNNNNNNNNNNNNNNNNNNNNNNNNNNNNNNNNNNNNNNNNNNNNNNNNNNNNNNNNNNNNNNNNNNNNNNNNNNNNNNNNNNNNNNNNNNNNNNNNNNNNNNNNNNNNNNNNNNNNNNNNNNNNNNNNNNNNNNNNNNNNNNNNNNNNNNNNNNNNNNNNNNNNNNNNNNNNNNNNNNNNNNNNNNNNNNNNNNNNNNNNNNNNNNNNNNNNNNNNNNNNNNNNUUCUUUGACCCCUUGUAUGGUUGAGGCAUUGAUAUGUACCGAAAAUUGGUUACAAGCUAAACUUUUUGCUAAUCCUGUCUACAACCUUCAGGAAGAUAUUAAAGCUGCUGUACCGUACAUCCGCCUUGGCCGUACAGCAGCUAUAACCCUUAUUUAGAAAGGGGUACUAAUUAAAUAGAGGUUAUUUAUGAGAUCAUUUUGGAAAAGGGCUAUUUUUCCUUAUUGAAUAGGGUUUCUUAAGAUCCCCUAUAAAUACAUACUUUUCCCCCUUCCAUAACCCUAAGUUCACAACGUUUAUCCUUCUUCUCUGCUGCUCUUUACGCUCCUACCCAAAUCUUAGGAUUCAAACCUUUGUUUAGGAGAGGCUCAAAGCGACGGGUAAGUUCACAACGUUUAUUCUGAACAGCAUGAGUAUCUCGAAUUUUUAAAGCUAUAUUUUCUGAACGAAUUUUCUUAUAAAAUUUAUAUUUCUGGAAACUAGACAUGUAGGGCUUCUUGAUUAAAUUUUAUUUCAUUAAAUUCAACUUCGUUUUCAAUUUUAUACGUAUUUUGGAAAUAGAAACCACUGCACUGGAAAUCCACGAUUCCAGUAUUGUGAUCAGAUUCACAAGACUAUUUGUACCACCAAAUGAACUCAAACAAUUCUGAAAGUUUAUAUUUAUGUUAAUAUAUGUGUCUAGGAUUCCCAGUUUUAAUUUCAUAAUUUUCUGAUUAGUAUUUUAUUUUAUAAAAAUCACGGAACCCGUUCUGUUUGGUUUAGAUUAUGUGAAAACAGUUUCGAAUUUGCUGAGAAGUAAAUAGUUUUUAAAAUAUUUUUAAUAUUGGAUUCUCUUGUAAAUUUUACAUGGGGUACUCAUGGAUGUCCAGAAUGGUUCCAUAGGAUUUUAUAUCAUUCUGAGUCUUUGAUUAAGAGUUAAAAUUCCGAGAAUCAGACCUGUACGGGUAUGAAUUAGAAAAUCAAAUUCUUAGAAUAAGUUAUUGAUUGUCAUAUCUUGUAUUUGUUUAAGGUUUUGAAGGUGUUUGAGGCUCUUAGAAGCUUAGAGGUGUGUUAAUCCAAGUUCAUUUGUCGAGGUAAGUAACUUCAUUCCUAAUGUACUGGAUAUGUAUAAGUAUUUUGAUAUUAUUAUUAUAAGUAUAAAUGUUUUUAUACUACUUAAAGGAUUAAUUGAUUUUGAUAACAAAAUUAGUUUUAUGUAAAUGUUUUCAAACCUAAAUUCUUUUUAACAAAGUAUUUUAUAAAUGCUUUUUAAUAUGUAAAUGAUUUUAUGACAUGACAACCUUUUAUGAUUUUAUUUUUAAAAUGUUAUGCAAGCCUAAAUUAUUGAUAUGAACUUUUAUGAAACUGAUACGAAUGUUUUGUACCUAUGUUUGAUUUAGAUUAAACAAAAUUUGUAAAAUUGUAUUAAAAGAAACCUAAUUUUUUUGUUAUCAAAAUGCCAAUUCACCCCAUUACCGAAACCACAGCUCGAACAUCCAAUUCUGAUUCUGAUCGUAAUUUUUUUCUUCAGCAUACACAUACACAGACUUAAUGAAAAACUAGACAUCUCAAAUGUUAUUCUGCUUUUUUUAUCCCGAGUGAUUUUAUCCUAAUUUUUUUUAAAUGAUGUGUUAUUCAUAAGGUGGAUGGUAAGAUGGUGUGAAUCAAGAUAAAAUUUGGUAUAUCAUGAAAUUUUGUUUCUCCAAAAUUUUAUCGUAUAUUACGAUCAGAAUCAGAAUCAGAAUCAGAAUAACUAUGGACAAUGAGCCAAAACAUUAAGAAUCUCAUACAAUCAUCAAUAAUUGAAAUCAAACAUAGGUACAAAACAUUCGUAUCAGUUUCAUAAAAGUUCAUAUCAAUAAUUUAGGCUUGUAUAACAUUUUAAAGAUAAAAUCAUAAAAGGUUGUCAUGUCAUAAAAUCAUUUACAUAUUAAAAACAUUUAUAAAAUACUUUGUUAAAAAGAAUUUGGGUUUGAAAACAUUUACAUAAAACUAAUUUUGUUAUCAAAAUCAAUUAAUCCUUUAAGUAGUAUAACAACAUUUAUACUUAUAAUAAUAAUAUCAAAAUACUUAUACAUAUCCAGUACAUUAGGAAUGAAGUUAUUUACCUCGACAAAUGAAUUUGAAUUAACACACCUCUAAGCUUCUAAGAGCCUCAAUCACCUUCAAUACCUUAAACAAAUACAAGAUAUGACAAUUAAUAACUUAUUAUAGGAAUCUGAUUUUCUAAUUCAUACCCGUACAGGUCUGAUUCUCAGAAUUUUAACUCUUAAUCUAAAACUCAGAAUGAUAUAAUAUUCUAUGAAACUAUUCUGGACAUCCAUGAGUACCCCAUGUAAAAUUGGUAAGAGGAUCUGACAUCAAAAACAUUUUAAAAACUAUUUGCUUCUCAGCAAAUUCGAAACUGUUUUCACAUAAUCUAAACCAAACAGAACGGGUUCUUUGAUUUUUAUAAAAUAAAAUAAUAAUCAGAAAAUUAUGAAAUUAAAACUGGGAAUCCUAAACACAUAUAUUAACCUACAUAUAAACUUUCCGAAUUUUCUGAGUUCAUUUGUGGUACAAAUAAUCUUGUGAAUCCGAUCGCAAUGCUGGAAUCGUAGUUUUCCAGUGCAGUGGUUUCUAUUUCGAAAAUACAUAUAAAAUUGAAACCGAAGUCGAAUUUAAAGAAAUAAAAUUUAUUCAAGAAGCCCUACAUGUCUAGUUUCCAGAAAUAUAAAUUUCAUAAGAAAACUCCAUAAUAAAUCAAAACCCUAAACAAAGCCUAAAUACAUUCUAAAUCAUGCAUUAUGAUCUAUAACCAUCUAGAAUCGUGCCAAUAUAAACCCUAGAUAGAGUGAUUAGAAAUCUGUUGAGAAUAAGGAGAAUAACUUACCCGUUGCUUUGAUUCUGUCCUAAACAAAGGUUUGAAUCCUAGGAUUUGGGUAGGAGCGUAAAGAGCAGCAAAGGAGAAGAAUAAACGUCAUGGACUAAGGGUUAUGGAAGAGGAAAAGUAUGAAUUUAUAGGGAAUCUUAAGAAACCCUAUUUAAUAAGGAAAAAUAACCCUUUUUCAAAACUAUCUCAUAAAUAACCUCUAUUUAUAAUUUAGUAUCCCUUUCUUAAUAAGGGUUAUAGGCCACCCAUAAUUAUCAAUGAAAGCCCAAUUUCUAUAAUUUAAUAUUAUGGAAAUUUGUGGCGUUACAGAAGGCUUUUCAGGGAAGGGAUAUUCAAGUUUAGAUAUCUCAAAAGAAAUAAAUUUUCGACUUCGGAAGGAUAUCGGAUGAGAACAAGAGAUCCCAAGUCCAAUACUCUAAGAAAGUUGAACAUUUUACAGAUUUUCUCGCAAUAAUUGGGGUCAAGGUAGUGGCUUCCUAAAGUGAGGUGCAACAAAGAAUGGAGGAACGAGUCAAAAUGAUCUAAAAAUUCAAAAUCAUUCAAAUUUCCAUGAGCGGUGAAGCGUUUCACAUUUUCUCGUAAUUUAACUUCCUGAUCCAUGAUUGGGGAAAUGACAAAUUCCCCCUCGAAAGCCCCAGUCAACAACGCAAGACUGCAACGCCCAGGAAUAGAGCACGUGUUGAUUCUGCCUCUGUCACUUUUCUUCCCUACAUCAACAAAGCCUCCAUUGAUUAGCUGUUCUAAGUAUCUCUCAGCAAUUGCUUCAUUGUUGUCUGGAAUGAAACCUUCAGCUAUCCACAACUGAUAUAAUUGCUUGGUGGAUAUCUCAAAGUAUACAAGAAACACAGAUAAGUAGAGACAACAAAGUUUCAAGUAAAAAUGUAACAUACAAUAUGCAACGACUUGAAGCCCUCGGAGUUCAUCAAGUACUUCCUUUAUAUUUUCUUUCAGUGAGAUGCUUCCAUGAUAUAAGAUGUGGAAAGGCCAUCCUUGGUAUGUAACUCUCAAUGGUCCUCCAGUGGGCACAAAUCAAGCCUAAUGUUCUCUCCAUUUUUAAACUGAAAUGAGGCGACGAUUUCAAUGUUAUAAAAAAUAAUCACAGUGAGUUAAACAAAUAAACUAGUAGCUAAUUUGACUACAGCAAAACAACAACUGAUAUAAACAACAGGAAAAAAAAUAACAACUGAAGAAAAUAAACUCGAGGCCUGUAAUACAGUGUCCUUAAAACAGAUUUACCACCUAUUGAAGUGCUUUAGGUUUACUGGUAACUGUUUCCCAGGAUACAACGGGCACGAAUUUUCUGUCAAGCACAGACAGAUAAUUCCGGCGAACUACAACAACGGUAAACUCGAUCAGAAAACAAGACAAAAGAAGGAAGAAAGAAAAAUUGUAAGUGCUCUGUGUGCUGGUUUCAGUGUGUGUAAAAACAGAAGAAGAAGGUGCCUUUUUAUACUCAUGUGGGUACGUAACAAUAGCAUAAAAAUUGAAUUUCAGAAUUCAAUAUAUGCAAUUUAAUUGCUGUAACAGCCAUUGAAUUUUAAACAAUUCAAUUCAAAAAUUGAAUUGCAGAACAACCCAAAAUAAUUGCGAAGCUAUUACAAAUCUUUUGAAUUCAAAAGGUGUGAAACUAUUACAACAAAUUUAAAAGGAAAUAAAACACGUGCCAUGCGUGCUUGGGAUGACAUUCGCGGGCGCACACAAGUUCAACCAAAUCGGUCAUGGAUUUGCCCCCCUCCCCUCGCGUACACGCGUGUGGAAAGAGUCUCUAUCCUUAAAAUUCUUGUUCAUGCAUGGUUAAAUGUUUAUAUAUAAAUACAAAUCCUUGGCUUCUUCAAUGAGGAUAACAAAGCCUCCAUUGAUUAGCUGUUCUAAGUAUUUCUCGGCAGUUGCCUCAUUGUUGUUUGGAAUGAAACCUUAGGCUAUCCACGUCUGAUAUAAUUGCUUGGUGGAUAUCUCAAAGUGUACAGGAAACACAGAUAAGUAGAGACAACAAAGUUUCAAGUAAAAAGUUAACAUACAAUAUGCAAGGACUUGAAGCCCCCGGGGUUCAUCAAGUGCUUCCUCUAUAUUUUCUUUCAGUGAGAUGCUUUCAUGAUAUAAGAUGUGGAAAGGCCAUCCUUGGUAUGUAACUCUCAAUGGUCCUCCAGUGGGCAUACUCAUCUCUGAUCGGCUCAUAUUUGUCCCCGUGUUCUGCUCGUACCAUUUGGCUGAGGUGAUCCAUGCCGGGGCGGAAAUAAUAGCAUGGCCGACCUGGUGCUUUUAUUUACUUAACACUCUACUUCCAUUCUGAUUAUCCGGGAGUAUUUCUCGAAUAAUAUCCCACACUUCAAUGCUCCACACAUCAUCAAUCACAAUCAAAUACCGCUUGGUCAUUAGAUAUUCAUGAAGAAUAAUUUUUUUCAUUUCCGAACUUUCUUCCAUAAUUUCACUCAACCUACUUGAAGGCAUCACAAACUUAAUAAUGUCGUAUAAUAUUUGGUCAGCAUCAUACAAUAAAGACUCUUCAACCCAAGCGUGACAAUCAAAAUAAUACUUCACAUAGUUGCUGCUGUAAGCCUCUACGGCAAAAGCCGUCUUGUCCAAUCCAAUGCUAUCGAGUAUGGCCACUACCGAAAGUUGAGGCGGUCCCUCUGUCAGUAGAUCUAAUAACUCCUCCAUUUUAUUAUCUAGACCCACCGUGUCCCUAUUCUUAAAAGACAAGGAUGCAGGAAAAUUACCGGCUUUUGGUUCAAACGAUUUGAGCUCAUCAACGAUUCGGGAGUGGAUGUGCUGAACUUGCUGCAUCCGUUGUUUUAUAUCAAUGAUUUUGCUUUGGAGUCCUAGCAGAGCAUCACAAAUGUCCUUGCUGCAUCUGCUUUGACUCUUCUGUAGAGUGAUGCUAAUAGCAAAUGUGUCAAUCACAUUCUCAGAUACGUAUGAAAAACAAUGAAUUUUGUCAAUGAUAGCCUUAAAAUCUUCUAAUUUUGCCAGAGUUUAACCCUCUUCUGCAUUGACUUGCUACAUAAACCAAGCAGUGUUGUAUCCAGAGUCCCUCAGCCAAGAAGCAACGAUUUCAGUCUCAGUGUAAAGGUUCUGAAUAGGUUGUUCAGCAGCAUCGGGCACCGUGAAUUCUUCAGCAGCUAGCACCCUUCUCAGUCUCUCUGAAAAUAGUCCAAGGUUGAUGUCCAUAUCUCCUUUACUCUCGGUAGUCAGUAGCCAGUAGCCCUAGCAUGCAAAGAAAAUAAUUAAAAAAAAAUUGUUAAAAGCUCUCCUUUUAAUUCAACAUUAGUCAACAUAAUCAACUGAGGAUGGCACCAAUACCUCCUUCUGUCAAGAAGUUGAAUCAAGUUCAGGUGGCUGUUGAGGCAGAACAGAUUAAGGCAGAGCAGUACUAGAAAAUGAAUCUUAAAACUAAAUGCUGUAGAUGUCGUGGGGAUACUGAUUGAUAAAGAGGGAUUAUAUUGAGAAAUUAUUGAUGUACAAUAAUGAUUUUUUGCACAAAACCUGAGGUAUAAUGUACGUGUAUAUAAAAUAUUAAUUAUGCAAGAAGAUAAAAGGGUGUCUUAUAAUUUGUGUUAUAUGUAUAUGUAUAUGUAUGAAGAAAGUAAAAUAAGCUAUCAAGACUAGUUUCUUUUUUGCCCUCUCAAAAGACUGAAAGAUUAAAAAUAAUUCCACUGGGACCAUAAAGCUUGUCUAAAGAAAAAAAGCAUCACCUUAGAAUUUGAUUCAUUGAUGCAUCUAAUGCAUAAUAGUCCCUAUUGUUUAGAUAUUUUCUUUUCAAGCGCUCUACAGACUACAACAGAAUGCGUUAUAGUUUCAAUGGUUAGAUGAUCAUUCAAUAGGGCUAAAGGUGUGCAUUGGAUUGGAUUCGAAUAGAUCUGAUUUGAAUUUGGAUGUUUUAAUCUAAACAAUCUGAUUGGAUUGAACUACUCUACAUAUAUAUAUAGAAUUCAUGAUUGUUUUGUAAAAAUUAUCAAAAAGACCUAAAUUCGAAUUCAAUCCGAAUUUAAAAUACUAUUUGAAUUUAAAUACUAAACAAUCUAAAACCAAAUUCAUCUGAAAUAUCGAUUUAUUUUGAAUCGAAUUGAUUGUAUUUGAGAUUUAGGUUGGAUUUGAAUGAUUUUUUUUUCCUAAUCCAAACAAUUCAAAAUCCAAUCGGAAUUAUCCAAAUCUAAAGUGCAAUAUUCAUCUCUUUUUCAUAUAUCCUUCGCUAAUUGAAAGCAUCAUGAUGUCGGGCCCUUCUUUAAAAAAAAAAUAAAAAUCUUCAACUUAUAUGCAACUCCUUUCUCAUUAUUAGAGCUGACAAAAUUUGACACGACCCGAUUACCCGACACGAACACGACAUAAAUAAAUGGGUAUGGGUCGUCAAAUUUAACACGAUUAUUAAAUGGGUCGAGUCCGGGUCAACACUAUUUUUUUCCGUGUCGGGUUAGGGUUAAAAUUCUUGACCCAUUUACCCGAUCAAUGAUCCGAUUAUAUUUUCUAUUUUAAAAUAAUUUACAUAUUAUUAUCAUUAAAACUCAAAUAUUAGAGAUGAUUUUUUUUUUAUUCUUUAAAAGGGUGAAUAUAAACACAGUGUUUUAUUUAUAAAAUUUUAAAUACAUUUAGAGCUUCAAUAGUGUAAAUAUGUAAAAAUUGAUAGACAUGUAUAUUUUAUAAUAUACAUAUAUAUAUAUAUAUAUACAUACAUACAUAUAUAUAUAUACAUACAUAUAUACAUACAUAUAUAUAUAUAUAUAUAUAUAUAUAUAUAAAAAUUCGUAGAUAUGUAUAUUUUAUAGUAUCGAUAAAUUAUGUAUGUAUGUAUGUGCAUACGUAUGUACUAUAGUGCAUAAAUAUUUGAUGUAACUUUUGUUCAAUAUAUAGAUAUUAAACGGGUUAUUGGGUUACCCGAUUAUUUUUCCGUGUCGGGUUUGGGUCUCAAUAUUUUGACAUGAUUAUUAAAUGGGUCGGGUUUGGGUCGACCUAAAUUUGACACGAUACGAAGCUGACAUGACACGAAUACGACCCGAUGACCCGUUUUGCCAGCUCUACUCAUUAUUACUCUUCUUUGUGUUCGACUAUUGUAGUGCUUUUUCUUUUGAGAUAAACUUUAUGGUCCCCAGUGGGAUUGCUUUUACCUUUUCUUUCCUGAAAGUGGAUAAAACAAAUUGAUCUUUGAUUGAUACUUGAUGAUGUCCUAUUUUCUUUUUAUUUUCAUAUUUAUUUUUUUUAACAUAAUGGAAGACUGGAAUAUAGAUAAAAGACAGUGUGUGCCAGCAAGAAAACUUUUUCUCAAGAUUGAAAAUGACUUAAAAAAACCAUUUUUCUCCAACUAAUAUCUUCAAAAUCAUUAUUGUAAUAACAGAACCCAAAAAAUAAUUAAAUAUUCUCUUGUUUAAUAUGUUGCAUGCUUGCAGAAAAUUGCGGAUGAUUGCACCAAUAAUUCAACCUUUACUCCGUGAGCUUUGAACUAAUAAUAUGUCAUCAGUUAUUGUCUAAAUAAAGAAAUUUAUGAAUCGGUAUAAAAUGGGGUCCUAAAUCCUGACCUACAUUGAAAAUUGGGAUAUGAAAUUUGUAACAAAUCUUAUAUAGGGUUUGUAUCUCGAUUGGUAUCUGGAUAAUUUUGCCAGCCUAGGUUCACGUAUUAACAGUUAGAGCGGGAGAUCCCAAAAAAGGGUAUCUUGAAUUUAACCAAAUUCAUUAUAAGGAUAUAUGGACCCAUUUGAUUGCCUAAGGGAUCUCGAAUGAGAUUUUCAGACAUCUCAAAUCCCGUCUUGAAUAUUAAGUUGGAAGAAAAUUAGAUCUUGAAUCUCAACUCGAAUAAUAAAUCAGAAUGAGAAACUUUUAUCAAAUCUUGUAUCAUUUAGGACGGAUUCCCAAAUUCCAAUCGAGAUUUGAGGAAUUUUGUAUUAGCAACCAAAGCCGAAGAUCCCAAAAAAUGAUAUCUUGAAAUUAACCAAAUUCACUAUAAGGUAUAAACUCAUUUGAUUGCACCCUUAAAAAGUAUUACCGAUGACACCACACAAUCAUAUUAUUAAAACAAACCAAACCACACAUAUCCAAGCUUAACAUGUAUAUAUAAGAGCACAAAAAAUAACUUCUUUCUCGUUAUAAAGGAGAACAGAAUCAGCUAGAAGCAGGGGAAUCAAUGUAUAACAGAAAAUAAAAGGGAAAAAAAAUGAUACACAUUCAUUUUUUCAGCAAAAACCAACGACUAUAAGGUGAACAUGAGGCAACAACCUCUAAAAUUGGACAGAAUCGGCUAAUACCUUAAAAUUCACAUGCUAAUACUAUUUAUAAUUUCUAUGUCAAAAAUUUAAAAUAAUCGGUAGUAUUUGUUCAAAACAAGCAUUUGUAAUCAAUAUUUUUCCUACAUUCUUAUUUGGAUUAUUAUUUAGAGAAUCUAAGAUAAUAACAAUCCAGCAUUCAAGUUAUUUAUGAAUGAUAAGGACUUGAAUCUCCAUAAAAUUGGAGAUUCUGAAGAUUAGGCAAUAUGCCCCAGUUUCUAUUUCUUUUAUUUAGUCCUCUGAUGUAUCAACAAUCAACGCUAGAAACGCAAUCCCCGAAAUUGAAUUAAAAAAAAUAUAGAAAACAUAGAGCAAAUCAACAGUAGAUUCAGCAACAAUGGUGCCUACAUCCAAACUUUUCUUCUAAUGGAAGUGAUGCAGAAUUCCCUUAAGACAAUUAUGACAAUUAACAUGUAUUACACAUGGUACGACCAAACCACACACGUCCACACUAAGUUGGAGUUUCAAGCACAUUACAAGAAUGAAGACACACGAAUAGAAUAUACACAGUGAAUCCAAAAACUUGACAUUAUUACUUGUAGCAGAUCCUUGAAAACAAAGAAACCCAACAAUGUCCUGUAUCAAUCCUGAGGACUCAAUAAUGUGUAGACAACAUAAGUGAAUACUGAAAGGAUCAAGGCCGGAUUCUGGUUGAAAUUGAAACUUUUGCUGCACUACACUUGACAUAUUUCCCGGUAUGAUUUCACCUGCGCAAGUAAUUUAAGAUCUGAAAUUAUAGUUUUUCCUGACUGUUCAACAAUCAAUACACAAGGGUUCUUCCUCUUCUAAAAAUAAUUAAGGGAAAAUGGUCGGGGUCAGCAAUAGGAACUGUGAUGAACACUUUAUGUCUAAUGUUGAGACAAGAAUUAGAAGCAACCACAAUUAGAAAACACUUUAUAGCAUUAGCAAGCUGCGUACUAUCAAAUAUAUUGAGGAGAAGAAAAAAAAAUGUAUGAAAUUAGAUUAAUAAUUAAAGGUUGAUGAUAUAGCAUAAAAUGAAAAACUUACAUCUAAUUAAAUCCAUGCAAAUCAAAUUCCAUAAGGAUAUACUUGAUUGUCAUACUGCGCCUUAUCCUCGAAGUCCCGUAGCUUUUGUCUCAGCUCCGGCUGAAGCCACCAACACUCGAAUUUGUUUAAGCUCUUUGUGCACCAGAGCUAUUCAGGAAUCUUUUUCUAAUUAGCACAAGAAUUGAGAAUCAAGCAUUCCAGUUUUGGCAUGGCUCCAAGCCUCAUAGUCCACUUCUCUAGCCAUGGCAUUGAAUUCAGGUGCACUAUCUUGAGCUUUGGGAAACCAUCACGCCCACAAGUCAGCUAUUUACCUAAAUAUGAGCUUUGCUUCAGUUUGAGCACUUGAAGAAGUGGAAACGUUUCUAGUGCAGGCAUGGGAUCAUCCAUUUGUUCAAUAUUUGAAAAACUCAAGUGGAUUAGACUUUGAGGAAGUAGGUAUUUGGCACAGACGAUUUUGAAGAGCCUUGGCAUCUUGCUUUCAUUCACCAUCUUCAAUGACUUGAGGCAUCUGAAUCUGCAAAGGCUUUGGGACAUCAAAAAUUGAUAAAAAUAUAAAUCUCCUCAUAUCCAGAGAUUUUGAGGAUUAGGUAGUCUGUUCAAUAUAUCUUCAAUACAGCAGCAAGGAUGCGUGGCUGUAAUGAAAUUGAGAUUUUCCAAAGAGCCGCAAUAUUUUCCUGGAUGUGCGGGAGGUAUGAUCGAGCCAAAAUUUAGAUGCCUGAGUUUGUUCAUCUUCCAAAAUUCAUCUGUUGUAUGAUUUAUGUAGCUAAAGGGAAUGGCUAUGGUGUAGAGAUUCAGAGAUUUCUUAAUAAUGAUAAAGCCAGGCUUUUGAGGGAAGGGAUAUUCAGCUUCAUAUCAAAAGAAAUAAAGUUUCAAUUUUGGAUGGAAAUUGGCUGAGAACAAGAGAUCCCAAGUCCAUUACUCAAAACAAUUUUCACCCAAUCUAUGGGGUCAAGGUGGUCGCUUUUUUAAGUAUAACAAAUUUUCAUCCAAUCUAUGGGGUCAAGGUGGUCGCUUUUUGAAGUACGACAAAAGAAUGCGGGUGGGAGUCACAAUCAUCUAAGUAAGCAAAAUCACUCUGUUUUUAAAAAACGUAGACAUGGUUGACAUUUUUUCGCGAUUUACCUUUCUGAUCCAGGAUAGGAUGAAAAGAUAAAUUCUGCUUUGAGAGCCGUUUGCCACAAUGAAGGCCAGCAACGACUACGAAUAGGGCAUGCGUUGAUUUUGCCUCCAUCACUUCUCUUCUUUGCAUCAACAAAGACUCUAUUCAUUAGUUGUUCCAUGUACUUCAAAAAGGUAAACAACUCUCAAUAUUAUGUCUGCUUUUGAACUGAAAUGCGAUGACAAUAUCAAUUUCAGUGAGUGUUAUUAGUACUCCACAUCCAUUCUGAUUAUCCAGAACAAUUUCUCGAAUAACAUCCCAGACUUCAAUGCUCCACACAUCAUCAACCACAAUCAAAUACCACUUGAUCAUUAGAUGUUCUUGAAUUUUUUUUUCAUUUCAUAAUUUUUAUCCUUUAUUAUACUCAACCUAGAUAAAGGCAUUAGAAACUUAAUAAUGAUAUCUAAUAUUUGGUCAUCAUCAGCGUCAUAGCUGUAAGGCUCUGGAACCCAAGCGUGACAAUUAAAAUAAUGCUUCACAUCACUGCUGCUGUAAGCCUCUGCAGCAAAAGCCACAUUGUCCAACCCAAUGCUAUCAAGAUGGCCACCACUGAAAGCUGAGGUGGUCCCUCUUUCAAAAUAUCUAACAACUUCUCCAUUCUGUCUUCUAGACCCACCAUGCCGCUAUUCUUAGAAGAUGAAGAUGCAGGAAAAUAGUCAGCUUCAUCUUCAAUACUUUUGAAAUCAUCAAUGAUUCCGGAAUCUAUGUAUUGAAGUUGUUGCAUCCGCUGUUUUAUAUCAUUGAUUCUACUCUGAAGUCCUAGCAGAGCAUCACAAAUGUCCUUGUUGCACCUGCUUUGACUCUUCUGUUGAGUGAUGCUGUUGAGAAUGUGUCAUUGACCUUCUCAGAUUCAUAGGUAAAGCAAUUGAUUUCUGCCCAAGGUCUGGGUUGUCAACUUCAUCUUCUCCUAUGUUUUGCAGCAGAAGCCAGGACAUAUCGUAUUCAUAGUCCCUUAGCCAAGGAGUAACGAUUUCAACCUCGGCAUGAAGGUUCUGAAUAGGUUGUUUUGCAGCAUCAGGCAAUGUGACUUCUUGGCCAGCUAACACCCUUCUCAGCCUCUCCGAAAAUAGUCUGAAGUUGAUGCCCAUAUCUCCUCAUUGAAAAAUUAGUGUUGGCUCCCAUUCCUCCCUUCUCUUAGCUAGUACUCCAUCCAAGAAGUUGAAUCAAGAUUGCUGACUCUCAAAUUAGAACAGAUCAAGGCAGAGCAGUGCGGGAAAUGAAUCGUACAAUACUUUGUCUUCCAUAUAUUGUAAAAAGAAUAAAGCAGGGAGAAAUAAUUACAACAUCAUCAAGUAUCAGUCAAGGCCAAUUUGUUUUAUACAUCCACUCUCAAGAAAGAAAGGGAAAAAGCAAUAAAGCUUAUCUAAAAAAAAAAAGAACAGAGUAAGCGAAAGAGCAUUAUCAAUUAUUUAACAAUUGAAGCUGUGGAAAAAUAGAAAGUCAUGUCUGCCACUUACUAAAGAAGUAAUAACAUAGCAACUUUAUAAAAGCACUGGAUACAAUCAUUGCUAUUAUGUUGAAAUUAACCAACUUCACAAUCUGGACAUGAACUCAUUUGAUUGCAACCUUUAAAUAGACUAAUGGAUCACUUGACACAUUGUCUUAUAAAUGGACUAAACAUAAUUGUGAUAAUUUUUUCCCAAACACACUUGAUCGUUGAGAUUGUCAACAAAAGAUGAACAUUGAUGAUUGACAUGUAGUUUUCAAGUAUUUAGAGUAUGACGCUGAGAUAAAUUAGAACUCUACAUGACCAUCUGAAGAAAUUUUCCUCAAAUGAAUCUUUUGAGUUGGAAUUUAGACACAUUCACUAUCAAAGUAUCUUAAAGCAGUGGAGAAUACAUAUGACAAAGGUUGAAGUAACUAAUUUUAUGAGCAGGAACUGAAAUGAUUUUGGCAUGAGAUUACAACAGAUGAUUAACAUAUAUGCUUUCUCUAAGGCAGCCUCAUUAAAAAUGUUAUUUCGUCAAGUCAACUGUCUUCAGGAGAAAAAUGAAGCAACGGUAAUAAAGUAGGUGGUUGAUGCUCGUGAUUCCUCAGUGCGGCAGCAGAAAUAAAACUAAAUUUCAGACUUGCUGUUGUCAUAGAAUAGAUUCACCCUGUCCUUGUCCUUGCCCUUGUCCCUCUUUUUAUACUGAUGAAUUUGAGGCCGACGAUAUUUCUGUGAAUAAAGAAAAUGAUAAUAGAAAUGGAACCAUUGGGCAAAUGGUAGUGUAACCUUUAGUCGACGAUGUGAGUUCACCUUUAUGUACUAUUUAAUUUCCAUUUGUUUCUUGAAACAUAUAUAUGCAAACUUUAGAACAUCAAGGGAAAAACUUGGACAAAGAUUCCAUUUCUUUAUUCACAUAAACAUAUCAACAUCAGUACAUGUCUUUUCUUCUUAUACUUCUUCAAGUUCACCGUCUCUCUUCUUAUCUUAUUUUCAACCGUUAAUAGAAAAAACAUUAGUAAUUAAGAUUUAAAGUGAUAAAACUCAAUUAAGGCAUGCAUGCAAAUUUCAGACCCCCUCUCCCAAAACCAAAAAAAAAAAAACCCACAUUGCCAACAAUUACAGUAAUUUUAGAAAUUUUAAUUAAUUGCAUUUGUAGGUAAUAAGAAUGUUAGGACCCUACUAGUUUAUUUUAUUUUAAUUGCUUGUUUUAAUUUCUUUCCUAUUAGUAUUAGGUUUUCUUAUUUCAAUUAAAGUCGUUAUUAAAUUACAAUUAGGAUUGUCUUGAACUACUAUAAAUAAGUGGUUCUUAUUAUAAUUUUAGGAGACAAGUAAUAAAAUUAAUUCUAAUUCCUAUUAAUUCUUCUCCCUUCUCUUUAAAUUCUUCAUCUAUUCUCUUUUAAUUCUCUAAUCAAAACCCUAGAAUCCUAUCAUCUGGUAUCAGAGCACAUCCUUCCUGCCACCAUUUUUUUUUUCGUUCACUAUUUGAAAAAAAAAACAGCAACCAAACUUUUGUCAAUAUCUCUUGGCUUUUGGAGACUUGAACCGGGCACACCCUCCAAACUUUUUCCAGCAUCUAAAUUUUUCAACCAAACGUGAAUUUUCUUCGAACUUUUUUUAGGCAUCAUGACUGUUAAAGAGCUUGAAGGCCAAGUUGAGCAGUUAUCACAACAAUUCCAUGACAAGUUUACAGCCAUCGAUGAAAAGGUUACAACCUUAGCCAAGCAGAAUAACGAUUUGCAGGAACUCAUGCACGGCAUCCUUCAGUAAUUGAGUUAGUUGUGAAAAGGCAAACAACCAGCUACUGAUCAACGACAAGUUGAUAUAUUUACUGGAGGGACCUCUGCUCCUCAAACGGUCAUUGCUACCCAUUCCCCUCUUGAACCUACUGAACGCAUUGGAAGUACUCUUGUGCAAGCUCGUAACAUAUGCCUUGACUUUCCUAUUUUUCAUGGUGACAAUCCAACGGGAUGGAUUUUUCGAUGUGAGCAAUAUCGUCGCCUUACUGGAUUAUCAGAUGCUGACUUAUUGUCUUUAGCUAUUGGCCAUCUUGAUGGUGAUGCGGUACCUUGGUUUCAUUGGCUAGAGCAGACUAUGGGCGAAAUGACUUGGGCGCAAUUUACACGGGCUUUGACUACUCGAUUUGGGACAUUAGAAGAGAAUGAUGCAGUUGGCAGUCUUACCAAACUAUGUCAAACAGGGACUGUUCUUGACUAUCAACGACAAUUUGAAAAGUUGGCUGAUCGGACUAGCAAUUUAACGGAGCCUUUCUUCAUUAGUUGUUUCCUCUCUGGGUUACGUGAAGAUAUCUAGGCUGGCGUACAACUAUUCAAACCUGUUAGUCUCCUACAAACUUUUGAACUUGCUAGAUUUCAGGAAAAGGCAAUUACUUUACAAGGCAAUUGUUCCCCUAUUCCUGCCAUCCAAGAUCCACUCCCACAAUUACAGUCAACUCCUACUCCACCAGCACCCUCUUUAUUAGGACUGGUUCCCUCUAUCUUACCUAAUAAUGUCAAACGUUUAUCCUCAACUGAGCAGGCGGAAAGAUGUUCUAAAGGGCUUUGUUUCAACUGUGAUGAGCAAUUCAAGCCUGGACAUCGCUGCAAACAAUCUCAACUAUUGCUUUUAGACGCUAAUAUACCUCUUCACAACCCUCAAAAACCACCUGACCAUCAUGUGGAUUGGAAGAUCUCGGUUAUUGAAACUGGGUAAAAGGCUUGCGGACAAGCCUGUUUUAAGGGGCAGUGAAUGUUAGGACCCUAAUAGUUUAUUUUAUUUUAAUUGCUUGUUUUAAUUUCUUUCCUAUUAGUAUUAGGUUUUCUUAUUUCAAUUAAAGUCCUUAUUAAAUUAUAAUUAGGAUUGUCUUGAACUACCAUAAAUAAGUGGUUCUUAUUAUGUUUUUGAGGGGCAAGUAAUAAAAUUGAUUCUUAUUCCUAUUAAUUCUUCUUCCUUCCCUUUAAAUUCUUCAUCUAUUCUCUCUUAAUUCUCUAAUCAAAACCCUAGAAUCCUAUCGAAGAACUUUCAAUCUCCAUCGAAUUUUUUUUUCUCUAAGCUUAUCAAUGUUUCAGUUUAUCUCCAUCUCCAAAAAUCAACCACUAAAUUGGAUAUGCAAUUUAAGUCGGAAGCCAGAAAUUGGUCUAAUUAAAUAAACUUUGGAAGCAAAAUAAAAGUAAUUAGUGGAAACGUUGAUUAACUUACCUCGGAAUUUCCUGAAGAACGAAGCCUCGCUACUAGGUUUCCGUUCCAAAAUAAAAUUUAAAUCAGCUUCAGGUUUUAACUUGGUGGGACACGUACCACAUUUAAAUCAUUUCAAAGAAUUAUUUAAAAAAUAAUUCACAUUUUUUCAAUUUAAAAUAAAUAAAAUUUAAACAAUUAAUCAAUCAGAUCUUUCUUGUAAUUAGUAAAUUUCAUGGGAAAAAUAAUAUAAAUUUUUUGAGAUAUCAUAUCAUAAAUGUAUUUUAAUUAUUUAAUAAGGAUUUAAUUAGUCAAUUGCUUAUUUUAUUCUUAAUAAUUUGAAAUCGUUAAAAAUAAUGUGAAUUUUUUAUGAUUUAAUUUUUUAAAGUGAGGUAGGUUUACAAAAUUUGAGCGAUGGGAAUAUCACCACCCUAUAUUCAAUUAUAAAGCAAAGCAAGAUCUCUCUCUUUAUAUUAUAGAGAUUCCGUGUGAUUUUCUACAACAUCAUGUGGUAUUAUAGUCAAUUGUAAAAACAUGUUAACAUCAUAUGAUUUUGUAGUGAAUCCGCAUGAAAUCCAUAUUUAGACUUCUGCAUUUAAAAGCUUUGAUAUAUAGAAAUUCUCAAGUGUCGAUAUGUAAAUUUUGUGUAAAUUCGCUAUAACACUAUAUAAUGUUAAGUAUAUGCACUCAAGAAUCUCUCUCUCCCUAUAUAUAUAUUAAAUUAAUAUUUUUAAAAAAUCGUUAUUGAAAUUUGACUUCCGAUCUUAGAAUUCUAAACGACUUCCACAAAAAAAAAAUAUUUAAAUUGUUACAAUCUAAAGUGUAAUGAGAGUCUAGAUAUGUAUAAUUUUAGUACAAAUAAAGGUCUGGCAAACAUUUAUUAAGAUGUAUAUAUAGCUAGUACAUAUGAUUUUAUUAAAUCCUGAAAAUCAUGUAUCUCAAGACUUUCGUAAAUAUAUAGUUUAAUUCAACCUUGGGCAAAAAAAAAAAAAAACUCAUAUAUAUAAUAUAUGGACUUAGCAUUUCAAUUUAAAAUAAUUAAAAUUCAAAACCGAGUUAGAAGUUUGAACUCUUUUAAAGGUAGUGAGGUGCAAAGAUCAAAUUAAUUUUUAUCAUCUUUCCUCACCACAACUCAAACUUAGGUGGUUAGCUAAAUAAAACUACUUGAAAACUAUUGAGUUAGAGCUCCAUGGAGGCACACCACUAGCAUCUUCAUUCAUGUGAUAUAAGACCUGUAAAUCUAAGGAUUUAUACGCAAGAGUGUGGCAAGUAUGAUGUUCAUUGUUGAUGCCGAAAAACGACCUCAACAGCUAAAUUUGUUUUCUUUUGGGGAAUUACAGUGCGAAUCCAAGCUCAAACGUCGGUCUGAACCCAGCUUUAUAUACCUGACAACUAGAAAACACGGUUAGGAUACGCCUGUGGGGUCUCGACGUAGACCAUCUGAUUCUUAAGUUAGAAAUUGUGUAUAAGAAAAAGGUAAACGAAAAGGGAAAACUGAAAAUUAAGGAUUUUUUUCAGUAGAGAAAACUAAAAAUAUUGUCGGGAAUCCUAUGACUUUUAGAUAGGUGACUUAUAAAAUUUUUGGUUCAUUUUUCUAACCCCUUCCUCAGAUGCCCUUUUUAGCUUAAAUAGGCCCUUGGUCGUGGGUGGUUACCACCUUUAACUUCUGCCCAUUUUCUUCAACAGUUGCACGUGGUCAUCAAUUGCAGACAGUUUAAAUGGAUUGUGGCACACAACUUUCCUAGAAAUUAGGCCACGUUAUCUCAAUCGAUAGCUUUCUAUGUCAAGCUAAUUUUUGGGUCGAACAAAUAAAUUUCGAGAUCAGAUUUCUUCACUUUCAGGUCGGACCAGUGAAUUUCCUGGUCGCUCAUAUAGGCUUAAGGUUGUAUUCUUAAAUCAGGUCAUUUACAUAAAUCUCAUAUCAUACUUGUAAACCAGGCCGCCAAAAUAGGAUCUAGGUUGUACUUACGAGAUUAGCUCGACGACAAUGAGUUCUGAGUAGAUUGGGGUCGACUAUAUUUCUAAAUAUUACUAGAAAAAUCCAACCCGAACAAUGUUGACUCUUUCUAGAGGUUAUCAGAAAAAUCCAACCCGAACACCAGUCUCAUAGUUUUCAACAUCAGGAAGCUAUUUUCGGUGUUGGACACUAAUUAAUGAAAAAUAUAAAAAUUCUUAUAAAUUGAACACCAGUCCCCUAGUUUUCAGUACUGAGAAGAUAUGAACGGUAUUGGAAACUGAAACAAUGAAGAAAGCGUAGUAUGGUCUCCAGCAGAACAGGGGUAAUGUGAAGUAGAACAAGGAUAGUGUUGCGUUAAAAUAGGCUUAAAAGUAAGAAUUUGGCAAAAAUAAUAAUAAAAAAUAAAAAUAAGGAAUAAAUAAAGAAUAAAGUAAAUAAAUAAAAAAGCGAGACCAUGGAGAAAAAGCAUAAGCACGUGACUUAAAGGCAAAUUGAAAACAUACAUUUUGUCUUUUCUCAAUACCUUUUGGCUUCUGUUUCGUUUGGGCUUCUGUUUCGUCCUCAUCCUCCACACUUUUUCACAAUAAAAGUGAAAUAUUGAGCUGUCGCCGUCCUGCGAUUUUUGGGUAAAUUGAGCAACGACGCUACAGAGCCAUAAUCAAACAUGUUAGUGAGUACCUCGCGCGCCAUCUUCUGUUGUGCUUUUUUUUAUAAUAAAUACCAGAUCUAUAUAUGUGUGUAUUGAAACCAAACGCCCUUUUUUUUUUUUUUAUAAACAGAACUCGCCUUUUUUUUUUGUUUGUUUUUGUCACAACUCAACUUCUUCUUCUCUUUGCUGCGUUUCUCUCUCUCUGUUUUUUUUUUUGUUUUGCAUUCUCCCUCUCUCUUUGUUAUUGUCGAAACUCAAACUUCUUCUUCUCUUUGUUGUGUUUCUUUUUUUUAAACUACUCUCAGCUAAUGUUGCAUUUUAUUGAUGUAGAACCAAUGCUGAAUGAUGUUACUAUUGUUGACUAUCAGCAAAACUGGAAUCCAUUAUGACUAAAGGAGAUCCGGUGAGUUGUCUCAUCCCAAGCGCAUUUGCUUGUUGCUGUGUUUUGUAUUGUGUUGGAUGUGAUGUUGACAAUGAAAGGUUGCUUGUAAUUUGCUGUUUACAUACUGGGUGUUAAUAUUGACUGGAAAUGAGGUUUUGUUAAAUGUAACAUUAGGUAAUAAUGGAAUUAAGGAGUGAAGAUGGGUCACUUUGUAGCGAUUCGCAAAAUGCGAAUAAGGAGUUGUUGGACGGGCUUAGUGAUAUUGCAUCGGGUGUAGAUGAUAAUGGAAAAGUCAGGGAAGAUAAUGUAGAAUUAAAUUGUAACGUGGCCGAAAAUAAGUCUAAGAAAAUAAGACGCGGAAAUGAGGUGAAUGAGGAAUCGAGUUGUGCACAAUUUGAAGAUGAGGGAGAUGAGCAUGAAGAAUAUGGCGUGAAUAGACUAAACUUUGAUAAGACUAAACUUUGAUACAAAAGAGAAAGAGAUUGAAGAGUUGAGGAAGGAAUAUCUUAUUGCAGACGAUAUUACACUUAAGUUAUUGGGCGAAGAUGAGGUGGCAAGCAAAUUGGGUAAUGGAAAUUUUUUAACUUGGUUUCAAGUUGCUCAUUCAACCUUACUUUGCUCGAAUGUUGGUGAGAGUGGGUUUGAGUCCAGGUCAACUUGACCAAAAUGGCUGGAGGGUUUUAGGUGGUAUGUAUGUUGUAUGGGCUGAGCAGAAUAUAACCGAGCCGUGUUUUAAGGAGUUUACUCACUUAUAUUUUUGUAAUGAGCAUGGGAUCAAUCACAAAGGAUAGUACUAUUUUAUGUCAAAAUCAAAUAGUAGAAGAAUAGUACUUGACUUUCCAAGCUCAUGUAGAGGUUGGAAAAACAAGUAUUUCGUGGUGGGUGGAAAUUAGGGUAGGGAUGUAGAGCUGACCAAGGGUUGGUUUAAAAUUCCCACUCGUUUUAGUAGACUAGGUAAUUCAAGUUUUGUUCAGGUUGAGGUCGAAAUAAGGAUACAAUCUAACACAUGUUUUUACUGCAGUGACUUUGAAGAAGAAAGUUGAUAUAAAUGACAAGCUGAGUGCUAGAGUUGAGAAAUGAUUGCUAAAUGCAGGAAACACGUCUACUGCUAAGCGUACCCCUGCAGAAAUUGCAAAAGCCGUGAUCAAGGAGAUAUCGAACGAGAAAGGAAAACCACAUAGUAAGAAACCAUGGCGGGCAUCACAGAAAAACAAAGCUGAUGAGAAAAAAGAAAAAUAACUUGCUGUUUCAGCUUGCAACAUGCUACCUCAGAGCAAAAGUGACCGAGCUAGCGACUCUCGUCCCUUGCGCAUUUUACCACCUACCUCUUCCCCGAUAUGUCCGAAAGGAAGCUUGCUUGAAAGCAAUGACAUCAUAGAGUCAAAGUGAGGAAGAGCGGAGGACUUACUACCCAUGGUGAACUUAGCUGCUCGAUUUGUGAGCCAGGGUACCAUCAAGAAUUUUUCCCACUUGUCAGCUACUCAUGCUCUUGAAGUGCUUGCUCGAAACCAAGCUGAGGUGGGUAUUAAUUCACAAUCUUUAUUUCUUUGAUGUUUAUACUUUUCUUCUUAACCAUCAUGCUUUCUUUCACAGCAAUCCUUGAUCAUGGCCGCGGAUAUCGAGACGUUUGCAAAGUCAUUGAAAGGCCAUGCAAAAAUAGAAGAAGUCGAGCGCGCUUUGAUGAAAGACAACCUCACGAACAAAAAGACAGCAAGCGAGCGAGAUCAGCUCAAGCGUGACCUCAAUGCUCACAACGAUGAAAAUACUCACUUGGCAGAAGACUUGGUAGCCAAAAAGAAAUCUAAUGCGAGUAAAGACUCCAAGAUUGCCGAUCUUAGCUAUGAGUUGGAAAAAGUUAAGUCUGAUGUUGAUCAACGCAUUCGACUGGAGAAAAGGCAACUGAAGGCAGAUGUCAUUUAGACAUGCAUUGAAUUGUUCCAAGAACAACACCCGGACAUGGACUUUCAAUGGAUGUUGACUGCUUAUGUGAGCAAAGAAAAGGCUAAGAAGAAGUCAUCGAGUACGGAUCAAGAAGAAAAUCGAGUUCUUCAGGGUGAUGAGAUUAGAGUUGAGGGUGAGACAUCUUUAACUAGCAGAGUUAUUGAAGACGAAGAGCAUGCUUCCUAAGUAGAUUUGAGAAGUUGUUAUAAGGCUUGCCUUUAUGUAAUGUUACGAACUGAUAACUCUUGUUGAGCUUUCAUUUUGUUUUUGUAUUCGGAUAAUCGUUACGUAGCCUGGACGCUAAUUUUUAACAAAGCUAAUGCCGACCACAACAAGACUGAAGAUGUUUAGGCUAUUGCUGAUUGUAACUAGGCUGGAAAGUCGACCUUAAGAAGCGCGAAGCUGACCUCAUUAUAGAUUCUUACAAAGUUAAAAUGUUGCCCUCCACCGUAGGUCUUCCAAAUCUAAAGUGUCGACCUCAAUCGUAGACCUCAAAAAACUAAAUUGUCGACCUCAAUCGUAGAGCUUACAAAGCGAAAGCUUCAACCUCGACCAUGGAUCUUACCAAGAUAAAAUGUCGACGUCAACCGUAGGCCUUACAAAUUUAAAGUGUCAACAUCAAUCGUAGACCUUACAAAACUAAAAUGUUGACCUCAACCGUAGGCCUUACAAAUCUAAAGUGUCAACCUCAAUUGUAAACCUCACAAAACUAAAAUGUUGACCUCAAUCAUAGAGCUCACAACUCAAAAGUGUCAACCUCGACCAUAAAUCUUACCAAGCUAAAAUGUCGACCUCAACCGUAGGCCUUACAAAUCUAAAGUGUCGACCUCAGUUGUAGAUCAUACCAAACUAAAAUGUCGAUCUCAAACGUAUGCUUUGCAAAACUAAAAUGUCGACCUUAAAUGUAGAGCUCACAAAGCAAGUGUCGACCUCAACCGUAGGCUUUACAAAACUAAAAUGUCAACCUCAGUUGUAGAUCCUACCAAACUAAAAUGUGGAUCUCAAUCGUAAGCUUUACAAAACUAAAAUGUCGACCUCAAUUGUAGAGCUCACAAAGUAAAAGUGUCAACCUCGACUAUAAAUCUUACCAAGCUAAAAUGUCGACCUCAACCGUAGGCCUUGCAAAUCUAAAGUGUCGACCUCAGUUUUAGAUCCUACUAAGCUAAAAUGUUGACCUCAACCGUAAAGCUCACAAAGCAAGUGUCGACUUCAACCGUUGGCUUUGCAAAACUAAAAUGUAGACCUCAAAAGUAGAGCUCACAAAGCAAGUGUCAACUUCAACCGUAGGCUUUACAAAACUAAAAUGUCGACCUCAACCGUAGAGCUCACAAAGCAAGUGUCGACUUCAACCUUAGGCUUUACAAAACUAAAAUGUCGACCAAAGUUGUAGACCUCACAACGCAAAGGUGUCGGCCUCAAUUGUAGACCUCACAAAACUAAAUUGUCGACCUCAAUCAUAGGCCUUACAAAUCUAAAGUGUCGACCUCAAUAAAUUGAAAAUUGUAGAACUUAAAUGUUAUGGCUAUAGCCGACCUCAACGAGUUGAAAAUUGUAAAUCUUAAAUGUUAUAGUUAUAGUUGACCUCAACAAGUUUUCACGUUGGACCUCAACAAGGCCAAAAUGUUGAUCUCAAUCUCAAUAAGCUUGGAUAAAUUUUUCAUGUUCGGUCUCAAUAAGGUCUAAAUGUCGAAACUCAAUCUCAAUAAGAUUUGAUAAAAAAUUUCACGUUGGACCUCAAUAAGGCCAAAAUGCUUAUCUCAAUCUUAAUAAGAUUGGAUAAAUUUUCACAUUCGGCCUCAACAAGGCCCAAAUGUCGAUCUUAAUCUCAAUAAGAUUUGAUAAAAAUUUAUGUUGGACCUCAAUAAGGCUCAAAUAUGCCAAUCUCAAAGAAGAUCAGUCACAAGUAGGUAAGAAAUAAAGUUGCAUUUCUGAAUAACCUCAUUGAUAUUAAUAUGACAGAAAUUACGUAAUUGAACACAUAACGAAUUGAAAUAACAAAGAAAAAAACUAUCAUAACAUAUUUAAAAAAAAAACAAACAAGAACAUCAUAAAUAGGAUUGGCCAACUGAUAGUAUUUUUGUAAGUGCUCUGCUUUCCAUGACUUGCCGACGACCCUGCCAUCCGGAUAACCUAACUUAUAUGCGCCAUUACCAAAUGAGUGUAGUACUUUGUAUGGUCCUUCCCAGCUCGGCCCCAGAACUCCAUCAGCUGGCUUUUUGGUUGAUUGAUUGACUUUGCGGAGCACCAGGUCCCCCUCCUAAAAUUGUCGUAGCUUGACAUUCUUGUUGUAGAACUUAGCCACUUUUUACUGGUAAAUUGCUACUUGACCUCUUGCCGACUUUCUCUUCUCAUCAAGCAAAUCUAAAUCCAACAAUAUAUAUUCCCUGUUUAUUGUCUCAUCAUAAUAUUUUGUGCAGUGUGUCUCCAUGCCAACCUCAGCUGGGAUUACUGCCUUAUGUCCGAAAGCAAGUGAGAAUUGAGUCUCCCCCGUUAAAGUCUUCACGGUCAUUCUAUAGGCCCACAGUACUCCUGAAAGCUCAUCCACCCAAGCUCCCUUCUUCUCACCUAACCUUUUCUUCAACAAUUGCUUUAUAGUUUUGUUCGCCGCUUCCACUUGUCUGUUUGCCUUCGGAUGAGCAGGUGAGCUAAACCGAAGUUCAAUAUCAAGCUGACCACAAAACUUCUUGAAAUUCUCAUUAUUGAAUUAGGUUCUAUUAUUAGUGAUAAUAGCUUGCGGUAGGCCAUAUCUGCAAAUCACAUUCCUCCAUAUAAAAUAUGUUGUGCGCUUCUCGGUUAUCUUUUGUAACGGCUCAACUUCAAUACAUUUAGUAAAAUAAUCAAUGGCUACCACCGCGUAUUUCAUUUGGCCUCUCCCGGUUGGCAUUGGUUUGAUAAGAUCCACCCCCCAUUGUGCAAAUGGCCAAGUGCUCCCCAUUGUCAUCAUGUUUUCUGGUGGUUGUCUUACAAUUACGACGAACUUCUGGCAUUCAUCACAUCUCCGAACUAACUCUUGUGCAUCUUCAUGCAUGGUCGACCAAAAAUAACCAUACCUUAUUAUUUUAUGGGCCAAUGCCAUACCUCCGCUGUGAUUUCCACAAAUUCCCAUAUGCACCUCUCUCAUCACAUAGUUGGCAUCAGCUGAGCCCAAACAUCGCAGGUAAGGUAAAGUGCAACUUCUCUUAUAAAGCACAUCUUCGAUAAUGGAGUACCGUGUUGCCUGGCAUCGCAGCCUUCUUGCCUCUGCUUUAUCUUGAGGUUGUUCCUCAAAUUCAAUAUACCUCAUGAUAGGCACCAUCCAGUUCUUCUCAUCUUUUACCAUACAAACUUUCAUUUCAGAAUUAACUAUUGGCUUUGAAACUGACUCCAAUGGAAUUCCUCGUUGGAACUUUGGGCAUUCUAUAACUGCCAGUCUUGCUAUAUAACCUGCUCAGUAAUUCUUUCCCCUCAGAACUUUCUCCAUUGUAGCGUGAUCAAAACUACCACAUAACAGUAGUGCUUUGCUCAGAUACUUGGACAUGUUCUCACUUUUGGCUUGAAAUGUCCCAUUCUAGUAGUUCACUACCAGUUGAGAGUCACUUUUCACCUUCAAAUGCCAAACUCCCAAUGCUCUUGCUAAUUUUAGACCCGCACUGAGAGCUUCGUAUUCUGCUUCAUUGUUUGUAGGAUGGAAUUCAUACUUGAGAGAGUAGCAUACUUCUUCCUGGUCGGGUGAAACAAGAACAAUUCCCCUGCCUGACCCUUAUGGGUUUGCAGCUCCAUCUACAUUAAGCUCCCAUACAUCAUUCUUCUUCUCUGCCUCUUUAAUCUCCUGCUCGGCAUCCAUCUCUUCACUCCCUUCACUGCAAUUAUUAAUGAAGUCGACCAGAGCUUGUGCUUUAAUUGCUGACCUCGAUUGGUAACCGAUGUCGAAUUCACUUAGUUCUACUAACCACUUAACUAGUCUUCCUGAAAUGUCUUAUUUUUGAAAAAUUGAUCUCAAAUGUUGAUUAGUGACUACCACGAUCUCAUGAGCUUGAAAAUAUGGCCUCAGCUUUCUUGUAGCUACAACAAAAACCAUUGGCCACUUUUCUGCAAUAGGAUAUCUUACUUUUGCCCCUGUAAGAGAUCUGCUCAUGUAGUAUACAAGUUGUUGUACUUCAUCUUCUUCUUUUACCAUGACUGAGCUAGUUGAAUAAUUUAAGACCACCAAGUAGAUCAAGAGAACAUCACCCACUAAGGGCUUAGCCAAAGUGGGUACAUUGGCCAAAUAUGCCUUUAAUUGUUGAAAUGUUGUCUCACAUUCUUCCAACCACCUCAAUCUUUUUCCUUUCUUCAUCAAUUCAAAAAAUGGAUGGCAUUUCUCUGAUGAUUUCAAAAUGAACCUACUCAGCGCAGUAACCUUUCCAGCUAAGCUCUGAACAUCUUUAAGAUCCUUCGGCGACCUCAUCUUGGGGAUGACUUCUACUUUUUUCAGAUUAGCUUCUAUCCCCAUUUGACUAACUAGGAAGCCCAAAAAUUUCCCUGAUUCCACUCCAAAGGCACACUUUUCCGAAAUCAACUUCAUCUUAUCUUUUGUAGCACUUCAAAUGUCUUACGCAAAUGCGUUGUAUGUUCCGCCUGCUCAACAUACUUGGUUAUCAUGUCAUCUAUAUAUACCUCCAUCAUUUUACCAAUCAAGGGCUUGAAAAGCUUGUUUACCAACCUUUGAUAAGUAGCUCCAGUAUUUUUUAAUUCGAACGACAUCACAUGGUAGCAAUACAAUCUUUGGUCGGUCACAAAAGCUGUCUUUUCUUCACCUGCUGUGGACAUACGAAUCUGGUUGUAUCCUGAGAAUGCAUCCAUAAAACUCAUUAAGUCAUGCCCGAUUGUUGAAUCCACUAACUAAUCAAUCUUUGAGAGAGGGAAACUAUCUUUAGGACAAGCUUUGUUGAGGUCGGUAAAGUCUACACACAUCCUUCAUUUUCCAUUCGCCUUUUUAACCAUUACCACAUUCGAAACCCAUUCUGGAUAGUUCACUUCCCUUAUAAAUCCCACUUUCAACAAUUUAUCUACCUCAUUAUGGAUGGCCGCAUACCUUUCCUGGUUGAACACUUUUCUUUUCUACUUCAUUGGCCUAUGUUUUUUAUCUAUAGCCAACUAGUGACACAUGAUUCGUGGGUUUAUUCCCAGUAUAUCUUCAUGUCUCCAAGCAAAUAUGUCAUUAUACUCCACCAAUAAAUUCUGAAGCUCAUUAAAAAUGUCAUCUGUUAUCUUUGUUCCCACUCUUACUACUCUGCUCGGAUCAUCCUCACUUACUGGUACUUGUUUCAUUUCUUCAUUAGGUCGCUAUUGGCAUAACCUAUUUUCAGCUCGUGGAUCGAUACUUGUGAUCUUCAUGGAUUCUCUCACAAUUUUAGUGUAACAGCUUCGAGCCACUUAUUGUUGGCCUAUCAUCACUCCAACUCCACCUUGAACUCUAAAUUUCACACAUUGCAUAUAAGUUAAGCUCACUACUCAUACUAUCCUAUUGAACGGUCUGCCCAAAAUAACUUGAUAAGGGCUAAGCUCAUCAACUACCAACCAUGUCACUAUCACUGUCUUUUGUAGUGGGUUGGACCCUAUUGUCAGCGGCAAGUCAAUCAACUCAAGUGGAAUCAGCUCAAAUCCACCAAACUCCUUUAGCGAUGUUCUGACGGGAUCAAGCCUGAGGUCUCCUAUUUGUAGAUCAUCCAAAGUUUGCUUAAACAAAAUGUCUACCGAGCUUCCCCCAUCUACAAAAGCUCGAUUCAAUUCUUGCCCUGCCAAGACAACCUUCACUACAAGCAUAUCCUCAUGUGGAUGUACGAUCGCUUCCUCGUCCUCGUCCGUGAACAUGAUCGACACCUUGUGAAUCCGCUGCUUCUUUAGUGCCAGAAUAUUAAAAUUCACCUCGAAACUUUUUAGUGAAUAUCUGCUAUAAUUUCUCCUCAAGCGGUUUGAGUCUCCUGCUAAGGUCGGCCCUCCUAUAAUCAUCAUCGCUAUAUUAUCUCUAAUGUCUUCUCUUCUCCCACCUCUUCUUUGGUCAUCCACAUACUUCUUUAGAUAUUGAUUUUACACUAGCCAUUCAAUUUGUUCCUUCAAGUCUAUGCAAUCUACAGUUCCAUGUCCGGUCACCUUGUGAAACUCACAAUACUUGUGGUGAGCAUUUCCACUCAAACCCCCUACAAUCGGCUUUGGCAGUGUUAGUAACCCCUUAUCUUUUAUUGUAACAUAUAUUUCUACUUUGCUUAUGUUUAGUUGUGUGUAUCUUCCACUCUGUUAUAAUAAAUUCACCCCAUUAGCAGGUCUCGAUCCUCUUCGGUCUACAGGUGGUGGCAACCUAUUGUAAUCUUAUACUUGGCUCUCCCGUUGGUUCCUCUCAUAAUUAUUUCCUCCCUCUCGACCCCUUCCUACUAAUGAGAUUUUUCUUCUUUCAUGAUUUCCUUCCUAAUUUUGACUCGGCCUUUCUGGUUGUCUAUAAUUGAACAAUCCUUUGUCGUAAUGAUGCUUAUCAUUCGUGUUCAUCCUCGAGCUAUACCCAAAGUUAUCUCAUCUUCUUCUCAGGUCCCCCCUUCUCAUCGGAUCCCAUGUCUGCAUUUCCAUUCUCCUUGUUUCUUCCUCUGCAUCUUCAAUUUUCAUAUCCAAAUUUUCCUGGUCAUACGCCUCAGUAUAUGUUGUUAUCCUCUUACUAUAUGAGUUAUUCCACAAUCGAUUGAUUCUCAACCCUUUCUUUAAUCCCUCUAGAGCAUCUGGAUGAUCAAAGGCCCCUAGAUCAGUAAUCUCUUUAUGAUACCUGGUCACAAAACUCCUCAAACUUUCAAAUUCUCGUUGGACUAAUUUUUUUCAAUCUACUCGUAUCUUACUCUAGUAUGCAUGAACAUCUAAAACGCACAGCGAAAAGCUCACAUAACUCAUUGAAAUUUUCUAUGCUUCCCUUCUUUAAUCUCUGGUACUACUCCCGUGCUCGUCCUUCUAAGGUUAAAGGAAAAACACGACACCUUUGAAAAUUAUUCAAACCUUGGAUCCCGGUCAUCUUAUUAAACUUCUCCAUAUGAUGAUUCGGGUUAGUUUUUCCUUCAUACACCAAGGCUGGAACCACAUACUUAGAUGGCAAAGUUACCGCCAUCACUUUACGUACUAAGAGGGACUUGUCAUCAAGUAACAACCUUCCUACCACUUGCUUGCCCUCUGUUUUCGCCUUUAAUGCCUCUAAAGUUUUUUAAAAUUGCAGCAUUCGCUGCUCAAGCUCAUUUGCCUGGUGGGGGUCUCUCAGCUCUUCCCUCUCUCUUUCUUGAUUCAAGUCAUUGAUUCUCUAUCUCAACUCAUUCACUUGUUCUCCUACACUUCUAUUUUCUUGUCGUACCCCAACUUGUGGUAGUCCCAUUCUGCUCUACUGUUCACCACCAAGCUCUUCCCUCUCUCGCGCUCCACUACUCCCUGGGUCACUAGCUCGAACUUGAGCCCCUCUGACUUGGGCAUUAAUCAGCCCCCUAACCAUCUCCUCAAAUUUUGCCAUGUGCCUCUCGAUCCAUUCUCUCCAUCUCUUAUCAGCCCCCUAACCCUGUCUGGUAUGCUAGCUCUGUUCAUUGAAAGCAAAAGCAAUGGAAUCUUUGACCUUACUGCCACAAGAUGAUUGUCAUGGAAGGCACCAAAGUUUCCAAGUAUGUAUGCAUAUCACACACAUACUUGCAUGUAUGUAUAUCACAGAUAAAAUUUGUAUCCCAGGGUUAUAAAUGUGAAUUACUCAAAUAAAUAUGCAUUAUUAAUCAUGUCCGAUGCUCUCUUAUUUCUUCAACGAGAUUUAGAGAAAGUACUAAAUCCUUUGUAAAAUUUUAUAUUUAAUAUAUCUUCAUUUUAAAACUACAUCCAUAUCCCGCAGAAAUUUGGGGAUCUUUUUAGCAUUAUUUUUUAAGAAAUGCAAAAUGAUAAAGAGUUCUAACCGUGACAUAAGGGUGACAAAAAUAAUAGUAAAUUGUGUAAUGUUACAAUGUUAAUUCAAAAAUAGUUAUAAUUUUUUAUUUAAUACUGUAAAUAAAAUUUACAAUUGUUUUGUCAUCAUUGUAUCAUUCUUUGAUUCAAAUAUCAGUAUUAAAUGAACCCUCACCUUUUUGAAAGGAUUACAUCUUAAGAAACUAUUUAUAAUUAUUUUCAUUUGAGUCCUUAGUGUUAAAAAUAUAACAAUGAAAUUAAUGAUAGUCGAAUUCCAAGUAGGAAUGACAGAAAAAUCCGGUCUAACUAGAGCAUGUUUUCUAAGUACUCUGGCUGGACUUGGACUUUGGUUUAAAAGCCCGAACCCAACCAGAAAGCCCAAAAAAUAUUGAAAAUUUUAAAAAUCUAUAUUACUUUAAUUAAAAUACAACUUUUUACAUAUAUGUAAUCCACUUAUAGCAUAUAUUUAAAGUUUUAAGUUAUUUGAACCCAACUAUUAAAGCCUGAUCUAACAAAGAAAAAACUAAAUUUUAUAAACUAUAAAAUUUGUAAAAUAUAAUGAAAAAAGUUUUUUAAAAAAAUACAGAAUGUAUACUUCAAGCUUUUUGGCUUGCCUUUGGAAAAAAAAAAACCAAUGUUUUGUCAUCCCUAAUUCCAAGCCUUAAAUACUUCUCCAAAUGUAUAGUACAAUAUUGUAUAAUAGGACCAAUCACAUGGAGAUGAUUUGUAAAUUUUUGCAUGCAAUUUUAAUAUGCACAUCAGAAGAGAGGCAGCAAUCUUAGUUGAUACUUUUAUUUGACAUAUGAUGUAAGAAAUGAAACAAAGAUUGUAACGUUACAAAUUUUGCAAUUCAGCAUCCAAAAUAUCACUAGAACUUGCAAUACAAGCUUUAAUCUCUUCAACAACACAUUGAAUUGCGUCCAGGAACACAAACAAAAAUAUAGUUAAUUAUGCAUGCAUUAAAAAGAUGAGGAAGAGAAGAUUAAGGAACAACAUGAGGCCACCAAGAGAGUGAUGAAAAAUGUGGAUUUAAGUUUAAGUUCCACAAUGUUUAUGUAAGCAAAAGUGAAAAACUGAGAGUCUGAGGAUAAUGAUAUUAUUAAAUUUAAUAUGGGUUUGGUUCGUUUAGAUUCAUGAGUUUCUCUAGACAGUAUAUAUGGGGAGGCCAAAACUACUUUGCAUUGUAGGUUUUGUACACCACUCAUUUGUCAUUUACCAAAGUCACCGUUGGAUUUCAUCUGAUGGCUAGAAAAGAAACACAUAGAGAAAUAGGAGUAACUAGAAAAACAAAUAAUGGGCCGGUCACCUAGAUUGGUAAUUGAGCAUAGGGAAAUUAAAAAAAUUAACCUAAAAAUUUAUGAAUUAUUGGCUACUUCCAGCAAAAAUCUAAACCAGCAGUUUUUGAUCAAGCAAAUAAAUUAAUGGCAACAACAACGGCUAAUCGAUGCCGCGACGACAAUGGCUACUUCCAGCAAGAGCGGCCUCUUUAAUUUGAGUUAGUUCGCUGAGUUUAUGUCCAAAUUCUUAAAUGGAUAAUGGAUUUAUUGUUUUAGUACUAAUUGUUGAUGAUUAUAGGUUAGAUCUUGUUGAGCGAUUAGUUUUGUAACAUUAAGCUUGAACUAGGAAUGAAAAUUGAUAAAAUGCUUAUGGAAAUAAGUUUGUUAAAUAUGACAAUACAAAUGUUUGCUAAAUGCCUCAAAGAAUACAAUUUUUUGUAUAGGCUUAAUUUUGCUAUUAUUUUACUUGAAUGAAUAUUUAAGAAGGUUGCAACUAGUAUUGUGGCUUGAAUAUAGGCAAUGGUAUGGUGUUAUAGGUGAUUAUGAGCAAAAGUUGUUUGUCACGAUAAACUUAUAAGUGAAAACCUUCUUUUUCUCAAACAAAACCCAGAUUAAGAAGAUUCAAUACUUCAUCAUAGCUUUCAGAAAACAGUAUCAAGACAAUAAUGCCAAGAACCAUCGCCUGUAAACUUUAUCCGUCGGAAAAAUCGCAAAUGAUGCUUACACGUACAAACUUUUUUUUUCGAUUUACAGGUGCUACGCCUUCAGCUGGUUACCCAUUUUCCAAAUGUUAAAUCUCAAUUGUUAGAUACAUUUCUUCACAUUCUAAAGGCUCAUUCGCUAUAAGACAAAGGACUAGGGUACCAAAGUCAUGAUGCAAGAUAGCUGGAUCCUAUAUGGGGGAAAUUUAAUCCAUUUGACAACUAAAAAAUUCAGAAAUCAGACCUCAAUUUGACAAAUUAGAAAUUGAAACAAUUAAUUUUGUUCCAUAUGCAUGCAGAAAAUUAGAUGUAUGUAACUUGUCAUAUGAUAUAUAUAUUCUAUCAGGUGGAAGAUUUUCCACUUCAUUUGUAUGAAAUAUAUGGUAUCAAUCAAUAAAUUCUUAUUUUGUUAUAUAUACUAAUAGUAUCUUAUAGUAAACUAAGAAAUAUUAAAGAUCUUCUAGUGUGUUUUUGAGUUGUAAAAUGUUUUUUUUAAAAAUUGAGUUGUAAAGUAUAAUUAACUAUUUUGUGUUCCAUUACAGGUAUUAUGAAAGGUUUUUGAAGUUUUUAGAUGUUUUUUGACCCAUUUGUCAAUAAGUGAAACUAUUAGCACCACUUUAAACUCCUCAUAAAACCUUUCUUCUAAAAAUACACCAUUAAAAACAUAUGUAAAUCACAGUACUUUUAACAACACCUAUGUUAAUUCCACAAAUAACCUUAUAUAUUCUUUUUUCUUAAAAAAUCAUAUGAAAACAAAAAUCUUUUAGUACAAAACCUUUUCACCAAUUCAAUCUGAAGCCCUUGUUCGGUCCAUGAGAAUCAACUUUUCAAUUUAGAACUGUUUGAGCUUCUUUUUCCAAGUUUUUAUUCUUAUUCUUAUAUAUAAAUGAGAUUCUUAUAAUAUAGAAUUCAUUUUAUUACUUUAUUUUAUCAUUCCAUGGGAAAAGAUAUCAAAACAUUACUAUGAAGUAAGUUAAACUAGUAGAAAGUAGAAUCUAAAAACUAGAUAAGAAAUAUUCUAGGCCAUCCUCUUGAGUGGAUCUAUUUUAAUUCCACAAACGUCCUUGUACACUUCUUUCUCACUAACUUUACUAUGAGAGAGAGAAAAAAGAAUUAAAUAAAUAUUUCUUUUAUACUAAAAAAGAUUGUUUGAAGCUAAUCCAAUAUUAUUUUAUACUCUGAAUGUGACAAUUCACAUACUUUUAUAUGAACACGUAAAUUGAUAAAAUCAAGAGAACAAGUAGCCAUAAAAAAAUAAGCCUUUCAUAAUUUGAAAAUAAUGAACUAAAAUUUCAGUCCACCAGAAACCACUAAUUUAAGAAUAAAAAUAAAAAUAAAAAACAUUUUCACUAAAACAACAAAAUUAUCUUUUAUUUAAUAAAAAUAAAACCCAUGUGGGGUUAGAGGAAGAUAGAUGAAUAGUCAAACGUGAUUUGAUUAAAGUUAAAAAUAUAAAUUUAAGAUAUAAGAAUUCUUUUGGAGGUGCCAAUAGCUCCACUCUAUUCUCUUUUUGUAGUUCUGCAAGUUUUAAACACAGGGUUCUAUGAAGGUCUUAGAGGGUGCCGAUAGCUUUCAUUAAUGUGCAUAUAGGUUAAACAAUAUCAAAUUAUUAGAUGGACCUUACUACCUUGCAGAUUCUGUGAGGUACACCUCUCUAAUAAGAAUGGAGCGUGUCUCACUUAAGACCACCUUUAUUUUACUUAUUUUGGAUGGACGUACCUUACAGAAUCUAGGUACCGUCUUCUUAUUUGAUCCAAUGUAAUCAAACAAUCUAAUCUAAUUGACUUGCUGCUUUAUGUUAAUAUAUAAUUAUGUUUUCUUUCAAUUGUUCUAAUAGUUGAGAGUUUUAUCGGGAAGAUAGCUCGAAAAUCAGCACUAAUUCCUACUCAGAAGGGAGGGGAAAUAAAUUGUGAUAGAAAAUAAAUUAUUUGAGUGCUCUGCGAGUCGAAGACCCACUCUCAGAUAAACAACUAUCUUUGUAAAGCAGAGCAGAAUUUAGAAAUGUCAUUCUUCUCAUUGGGUCAUUUCUUCAAACGUCCUCCGUACAAACAACUCACCCGCCAUCAGAAUCUAUUUCCGCUCAUAAAUCAAAAACCCAGAACCCAAUCAACAGCACCCUCUUCCGUUCUCAUAAAAGUUUUAGCCCGUUCUUCUUAUCUCUCAGUUCGCAUUUGCUGUCAAAAACAUGCCUUAGUGAGUUUCACUUUUUUUACUUGUCUGUGUUUUUAAGCAUUUUGAAUUAGUAAUUAUUUGGCAUUAAAAUUGAGGUGCCUUAACUUGUGUUGUCAGGAUAUGUUUUCUGAAGCUCUUCUAUGUUUCGGUGCAAGUUCUACAAGCGUGGAUGAACAUGAUAAUGAUGCUGAUGAGAAUUCUGAUGAGGUUGAAACUUUAGUUUUUAAUUUCUUCUUUUUUCUUUUCUUUGAUUAUUGAUUCAUGUCUUGUAAAGGAUCUUGAGAGCAACAAUAAACAAGAAAUGAAACUCAUUUCCCAUUUGCAAAUUGGCUUCUAUUUGUGUUAAAAAUGUGCUUCUAAUUUCCAAUGUAAUGUUACCAGUUAGCCUUAGAUUUUUGUUGACUUUGUUGGUUCACUUGCUAGAAAGGUAGCAAGAGGAAAAAAUUAAUAAUAAUACUAAAUAAGCACAAAAUUUUCAAUGUUUGGUAUGGAAUUGAAAAUUGUCUUCUUUCUGUGUUAAAAGAGUGCCUCGAAAACGCCAUUAUAAUGUUACUAGCUGGUCUUAGAUUUUGUUGAAUGUAGAGUGGCUUCUGAAUAAAAACUAUAGUUGUUUUAAGUAUUACUUACAGAUUGCUUUUAUGCAGAUCUAUAUUUAUUCCAUAUUUCCUGAAUGCGAAGACGUGGAUGAGUGCAUAUUAAAUGCUGCUAAUUCCAUUGGCUCGAAAGAGACACCGCGCUAUGAAGUUAAAAUGGGCGAGCAAUGCAAUUGGAUAAAGAAAACUCAGGUUUGUUUGCUCUCCUUUUUCUCUCUAUCACAACGGUAUAAUUGGAAUUAUUGUUAUGUCAAUUUGAUUAUGUUUUCUUACAUGUUGCAGGAGUCAUUUCCUCCCGUUGAGGUGACAAAAUGACUAUGGAUUGUGCCCGAGUGGAGUACACCACCAAUAUGAUUAUGUCACUCCCUUGGGAGGUUUUGUUGCAGUAAUUUCUCAUCUUUUAUAGGGUACCCUCUUCUUCAUUGCUUCCGUAGAAGUCAUAUCAGCUAGUUGCUUCCGAAUCUUUAAAUUUCUUCAAUGAGGAACCUUCGUUUGGAAAAUUGAUUUUCAUCUUAUUCGAGAAGGUUGCUUUGAAGGAGAGAGCUUAUGAAAUGCAGCAAGCAAAAUCAUAACUACAAAGCAGUAGACUAAUUGUUAGCUGACUCUAAGCAAAGGCAACAUUCAUAAAAGAUGAAGAAGAGUUUCUAAUAUUUACCAAUAUAACUUAUAGCAAGUGCACAGAAUAGAGCCAUAUGAACAUUCAGGAGCAUAAGAACAACCAAUGUAGCUGCAAAGAUGAGAUGUAAUUACUACCGUGAAGACGAGGAAAGAAUUCCAUUAUUUAUCAACAGCUAGACUGUAGUAUAAUGGAAAGACUUGCUAAGGAAAGUUUAAAGCAACACUCAUCCAGAGAAGGCAAGAACAAGUAUAGAAGCAAAAGUGCACACAUUCAUAUAUAGGGGUAACGAGUAAUGUAUCAUAAAUCACUUGCUCUAGCUCAGGAAAAAAAAAACAACGCAAAAUUGCAAAUUCAUAGUGUUGUUAUUUAUCAAUUGGAACCCAGAAAAAAAAAAUCUAUACUUAAUUAUUCAUUUAAGCAGAUUGAAACCCUUACAAACACAGGUAAGCAAAUCAAAAUUAUCAUUAAAAAUCCAAUCAAGGCCACAUAAAUCUAAUCACAUCCAAAACCAUCCCAAAAUCUCGUUCAAAAUUCAUAUACCCACAUACAAAAACCAUUCAGAAAAGGAAACUAAAUUCUUACAGAGAGCAAGCAAAGAAGAGGAUGAACAAAAAAACAGAAUUCCUGGCAUAAAGUUUAACAUUCUCAUGAACUCUUAACUUAAGGGUGUGUGGGGAAGAGGGAAACGAGUAAGACCCAAGAGCCCCAAUAAACUCACGGGUCCAAGAUGGGGUCUUGGCUGAGAAAUCAUCAGUGGUGAGUUUAGCAAAAGGGUUGACGAUAAGAAGAGCGACAAAGGUGUAUAAAUAAUGUAAAAGGCUGUGAGUUAUGGUCGUGGCUGUGGCUGUUUCUUUGGUGGAGGCUGUUGUGACGGCGGUGGCCGACGUGGUUGUGGCGGUGUUGAGGAUUUCGAGGUAGCCUGAGUCGAUGGAAUUGCAUGGGAUAUAUCCCGUUUCCUUCGUAAUACCUAAAAUAUACCUCAAUCUAUUAAAAUUUAUAACUUUACACAUACAUACUUAAAUAAAUUAGGGAAAGUACAAAAAUAGCCUCAAUAAAAUACCAAUAAAAAAUUAAUACUCGACUCAUUCAAUCUACUUACUCGACUUUUUACUCGACUCAAUGCUCAACUUACCAGAUUUUGUACCUGACUUCGUACUCGACUAGAUACUCGACUUAUUCAAUUGCCUUCACUUCUUACUCGACUGAAUGCUUAACUUACCAUACUCCAUACCCGACUUCGUACUCAAUUAGAUACUCGACUUAUUUAAUUGCAUUCACUUCUUACCGACUGAAUGCCCAACUUACCAGACUUCAUACCCGACUUCGUACUUGACUAGAUACUCGACUUAUUCAAUUGCCUUCACUUCUUGCUUGAUUGAAUGCUCAACUUACCAGAUUUCACUUUUUUAAAAAUAUUAAUACUCGACUCAAUGUACUUACCCGACUUAAUACUCGACCUCUUUAAAAAUUACAUAUAUUUUACUCGACUUGUUAAAAAAAUUUAUUUGACUUUUACUUAAUACUCAACUCAUUUAAUAUGCUUACUCGACUUCCUACUAGACCAAUUCUUACUCGACUAAAUUCUCGACUUACUCGACUUCGUACUCGACUUCUUCCUGCACUAAGAGGAAGAAAUGUGUGGAUUCUUAGUUUUUUUAAGGUUAUUUUUUACUUUUCCUAUCUUCGUGAGGUAUAUAUAUGUAAUAGGGUAUAAAUUUGGUAUUUAAAGAUAAAUUAGGGAUAUUUAAAUAAAAAACCCUCCUGAGUCACGUAGCCAUGACUCGAAUGUUGGGUCGGGUACAUUUAGAGAUAGUGGGUUGGAUGCGAAUACCUUCCCCAUUAGAGAGAGCUAUCCAACUUUGGUUGAAUGAGAGUCCCUAAAUUAUCAAAAUAUUAAUAAUUAACUAAUUUGUAAAAAAAUUCAUAUGAUAUGAUGAUAUAGGGCUUGGUUUGUGGUUUUCUAAGCACAUUAUUAUUAUUAUUAUUCUUUUAAUCACUCCAAGUUUAAAUUUGGAAGAGGUAGAGGAUAUAAAUAAAUGAUAUUAGAAUUUGCCGAUUUGCCAAUAAAACUUCGGUAUUAUAUGCUAAUUUUUUUUAAAGAAUUUUCUUUUAGUAUUGUUUUGAGAAAAUAAAUAAAGGUGGUCAAUUUAAUAUACUUGAUGAUUGGGGUGAGCAUCGGAAACUCUAAAGGGUACUUAAUGUUGAGACAAAUUAGAAGAAAACCCUUUGUAUAACCAUUUUUAUAUUGAAGAGAAGGGAAAAAAAGUAUAUGAAAUUGGAUAAAUAAUUAAAAGUUGAAGAAAUUGGUUAAAACGAGAAACAUACAUCAAAUUCAACGGGGGCUAAUCAAAUUCCGUAAGGAUAUAGUUGAAUGCCGCACUGUUCCUUAUACUCAAAUUCCCGUAGCUUUUGUCUCAACUCUGGCUGAGGCCACCAGCAAUCGAACUUGUUUAAGCUCUUUAUGCACCAGAGUUGUUUAGGCAUCUUUUUCAAGUAAGCACAAGGGUUGAUAAUCAAGCAUUCUAGUUUUGGCAUGGCCCUAGUCCCCAUAGUCCACUCCUCUAGCCAUAGCAUUGAUUUCAGGUGCAACACCUUAAGCCUUGGAAAACCAUCAGAACCACAAGUCAACUUUCUACCUAAAUACGAGUUUUGCUUCAGUUUGAGCACUUGAAGAAGCGGCAACUUUUCUAGUGCCGGCAUGGGAUCAUCCAUUAGGUCAGUAUUAGAAAAACUCAAGUGGGUUAGACUAUGAGGAAAUAGGUAUUCAGCAAGGACGAUUUUGGAGAGCCGUGGCAUCUUGCUUUCAUUCGCCAACUUCAAUCACUCGAGACAGCUCAAUCUGCAGAGACUUUUCGACAGCAAAGAUUGAUCAUAACUUAAAUCUCCCCGUAUUCAGAGAUUUUGAAGAUUAGGUAGCCUGCCCAAUAGAUCUUCAGUACAGCAGCAAGGGUGCAAGGCUGAAAUGAAAUUUAGAUUUUCUAGAGAGCCACAGUAUUUUCCUGGAUGCGCAGGAAGUGUGAUUGACCCAAAAUUUAGAUGUCUGAGUUUGUUCAUCUUCCAAAAUUCAUCUGCCGUAUGAUCUAUAUAGCUAAAGGGCAUGUCUAGGGUGUAGAGGUUCAGAAGAUUGCUUAAUAAUGAGGAAGGCAGGCUUUUGAGGGAAGGGAUAUUCAACUUCGGAUGAGAACAAGAGAUCCCAAGUCCAAUAAUGAGGAAGGCAGGCUUUUGAGGGAAGGGAUAUUCAACUUCAAAUAUCUCAAAAGAAAUAAAUUUUCAAUUCCGGAUGGAUACUGGAUGAGAACAAGAGAUCCCAAGUCCAACACUCUGAGAAGUUUGAACAUUCCACAAAUUUUCUCCCAAUCCAUGGGGUCAAAGUGGCGGCUUUCUGGAGAACAGCACAACAAAGAAUGCAGUUGCGAGUCAUAAUAAUCUAAGUAAGCAAAAUCUUCCUGUCUUUUAACAGCGUUUAACCGUUUGACUUUUUUUGGUGAUUUACCUUUUGGAUCCAUGAAAGGGGAAACGAUGAAUUCCACCAUAUAAUGAACUGUGAGAAGCACGGGACGCCAACGACCAGGAAUAGAGCAUGUGUUGAUAGUGCCUCCGGCUUUUCUCUUCUUUGCUUCAACAAAGCCUUCCUUGAUAAGUUGUUCCAAGUAACUCUCAGCAGUUGCCUCACUAUUGUCUGGAAUGAAACCUUCAGCUAUCCACAACUGAUAUAACUGCCUGGUGGAUAUCUCUAGGUGUGCGGCAAACACAGAUAAGUAGAGAAAACAAAGUUUCAAGCAAAAAGGUAAGCUGCAAUAUUUGAAGUGCCGAAGCACAAGGGGUAUCCCCACUGCUUUCCCUAUAUUUUCUUCUAAUGAGAUGUUUCCAUGAUAUAAGAUGAGGAAAGUCCAUCCAUUAUAUGUAGCUCUCAAUGGUCCUCCAGUGAGCACUAAAUCAAGCCCAAUGUUCUCUCCAUCUUCGAGCUUAAAUGAGGUGACCAUCUCAAUUUGAGUGAGUGUUAUUAAUACUCUACUUCUAUUAUGAUUAUCCGGAAGUAUUUCUCGAAUAACAUCCCACACACCAAUGGUCCAUACAUCCUCAAUCACAAUCAAAUACCGCUUGGUCAUUAGAUAUUCAUGAAGAAUUAUUUUUUUCAUUUCAUAAUUUUUAUCCAUGAUUUCACUCAACCUAGAUGAAGGCAUCAGAAACUUAAUAACGAUAUCUAAUAUUUGGUCAGCGUAACUAAUAUCUGGAAUCCAAGCGUGACAAUCAAAAUAAUGCUUCACAUAACUACUGUUGUAAGCCUCUGUGGCGAAAGCCGUCUUGUCCAACCCAAUGCUAUCAAGUAUGGCCACCACGGAAAGCUGAGGUGGUCCCUCGAUCAAUAGAUCUAACAACUCCUCCAUUCUAUCAUCUAGACCCACCGUGUCCCUACUUUUAGAAGAUGAAGAUAUACCGGCUUCAG